UUAACUCUAAACAACAUUAAUUUUACUUCCCUACACCCUCAACUCUAAACCCUCCAAAACUAUAAUAUUCCCCAAAACACAAUAUGAAUAUAUACCACUUGGCCCAAAACCACCUCCUAGGGUUUUUUAGUGGCUUCUCAUUCUAUGGUGUUUUAGGGGUUACGUACCUUACCUUCCUGAAAUAUUCACGAGGGUUUUUUUUAUUAGGGGUUUCUCUUUCUAGGGUUUUUAGGGUAAUCGGGGAUAGUUCUUAACCAGCGCGGUACUGCCACAAGCCAAAGCCUUCGGCGGAAUCAUUCCCACCAUAUGAACUCCUUCGGCAAACACAACUCCCAUUCCCAUAUGCAAAUGAGGUUCAAUAUGGCAAUGGAACGCCCAAACACCUGGGUUAUCCGCCACAAAUCGAAUCGCCGUCCACCCAUAUGGGAAAAUCACCACUGUGUUCCUCAACGGUGGAUUUUUCAAAUUCAGUUUCUUCUCAUCCUCGGGGGCGUAAAAUUUCCCCUCUCCAUACCCCAAAACCCAAAAAUCAUGGCCAUGCAAAUGCCAAGGGUGAAUCUCACUCAUAUUGGGGUUUAACAUAUUAGCGUUUUGUAGAAUCACAUCUACCGUUUCCCCCAUAUUGAACUUGUAAACGCCGUUGCCCGUUGUCGUUUCAGGGUUCGGCGGUGGGUUGUUGAUGUCGUAGUUCAAUGGGAAUGUUUCUGGUGGUGGAUUUUGGUUGAAGGCAGUGUUUAGCCUCAUUUUCAUGGCGGCGAGGUACGGCGUUGGAGGGAGAGCUAAAGAGACAUUGUUGAUGGCCCAUUUCAUGAACCCGUUUAUUCGAUUUUGGGUGUUGAGGAGGAAGAGUCGGCGGUUGUAUCUCACCGGUGGCUUUGGACUGCCCAUGGCAGCGAAGAUUCUGAAUGUGAAGUUUUUGCUCCGAUCAAAAUCCUCCCAGUGGGGGGUUUCCGGAGGUGGAGAAAUGGGUAAUUUGGAGGCGGAGUUGGGGAGGUAAUUGAGGAGGGUUAGUCCUGGAGGGGUUUUGGGUAGCCGUGCGCGGACGCCGAUGGAUACCCAGUAAUUUUCCAAUGGGUUUUGGUCGGUGGUAAUGAGGACGGAGUAUGACUCGCCGGAAUAAAUGUCGAUGUCGGAAGUGACAAAUGGUUGAACGUAGUUGCCGUCGGCUUCUACCACUAACAGUUCGUGAUUCUGCAGAAGAAGAGGAGAAAAUAAUUAUUAAAAUUAGUUUUAAAUUCAUGGAUAAACAUUAAUGUUGAAAGUUGAAGAUAUUAUUUAGUGAAAAAUUAAAGUUUAAAAAUCUAAAAUUAAAUGGAAAUGAACAAUUUGAAACUUAUAAACUAAAAAGGAGAUUAGAAUUUUUUGUUCAUAAUUAUUCAAGUUUACUUUUGAUUAUUUUUAUUUUGAUUUUCAAUUACUAGUUUGAAGCAUGAAUAUGAAUUAUUAACAUUCUAACAUGCAAUUAUUCUAAAAAGGACAAAACAAAAAUGAAAUUUUGAUCCAUUUCUUUCACCACUGAAAAAGGCUAAGAUUUUGUUUUGUGUAAUUAUUAUGUGCAUAAUUAGAGAGAGAUGGACCUCAUUUUGUUAUACCUUUGACAAGGAAUUAAAUAAAUCUUCAUACUUAACAUACUAUAGAUUUCAUUUAAGUGUAGAAAGAUUUGUAUUUAGUACUCUACUUUUUUAUUAUUUUUCUCCCUUUCCUUUUUUGUUUAUUAUUAUUAUUAUUAUUACUUUCUUUAUAAUUUUCUUUUAAAAAACUAUUCUAUAUCACCCAACUUUUAUAAAUAUUUACUAAUAUAACAAAUUGAUAUCGAUCUAUCAUCUAACUUAGUCUAUCAUAGUCCAUUUUCCAUAAUAGAUAAAAUAUGAAUUUUGCUAUAUUUUGUAAAUAUUUUGAUUUAUUUUAUUAUCAUCUAAAUUGAAUUUUAAAAUAAUAUUUUAUUAUUUUUUUAAUAGUUUUUGUACCCUAAAUUUAAUAAUAUAUUAUAAAAUCUUGUUUAGAAUUUUGUUUCCUAAAGUAUAAAUGUAGAUCCCCACCACAGUACAUCUAGAUCUCAAACAUUUAUGUGGUAACCUUCAACUUUAACAAUUAUUCCAUAAAACAUCUUCCCCAUUAUUAAAAUAAAUGAUAAAAAAAAUGAGGCAAUAGUUUAGAUAUAAAAUCAAAAGAUGGGAUAAGAUCACAUAUUAUUUUAAUCAAAUUAUACAAAUUUAAUCAUAGUAGUUGGGAUAAUUUUAGGAGUUAGUUCCAUAGUUUAUAAAUUACAUAUAUUAUUCACAACUAUUAGCAUUUAUUUCAUCUAGAAAGAAGCAUUAAAACUAUUUAUAAUGUAAAAUCACCUUGGUACCUCAAGGGUCACAUCAAUAAAUAAGAAUAAGAUAUAGUAAAUAAUAUCACUUAUGCUUUACAAUUUCUUACAUAUUUGUUACUUCUCAAGUGGGUUUAUAUAUGUGUGUGUAUAUAUAUAUAUAACUAAAUAAAAGUAUGAUUAAAAUUCUAUAUUAAUAAAAGUACAUAUAUAGAUAUUUUAAGUUUAAGAGUAACAAUCAACUCUCAAGUAAUAUUUUUAAAACAAAGUGAAGCAUUUAAGUGUUAUAUAUAUAAUUGGAUUAGAAAAAGAAAAGAUAAAAAGUAAUAUGAAUAGGACAAGAAAGAUGGGAGCAAAACAUGUGGGAUACCUAAGAGAAGAGUUGGUCAAUGGGAAUCACAUCAUAUUAUCAAUACCAAUAUGUCCAAAAUGUCAGAAAUGUUAGAUUAGGUUAUCUAUUGUUUGUACUCUCCCAAACACUGCUACAUGUGUUUAAAAGUAAAUUUAAAUAUUAUCUCUUAAAUUGCUAUUUUUAAAUACAAUGAAAUAUUAUUAUAUUAUAAAAUUUUGUUAUAUUUAUAAAUAUUUAUGUAAAAAUUUAUAUAUUAAAGGUGGACGUGGAUUAAAAUAGAAGAGAUUUAAUGUAAAGUUUAAAUAUCAAAACGAAUAUUUUAAAGUAUAAUGUGAUAUAUUAUACUCCAGAAUUCAAACCCUAAUAUUCUUAUAGUCAAUUUUGAAAGGAGGGUAAAGUUGAUAAAAUGGCUUUUGAUUGUUUGGUAGCUAUUAUUCUCACUAGUGAAAGAGAAGUUUGUGUGUUUUGGUUAGUUUCCUCUCUCUCUCACACACACACAUAUAAUAUAUAUUUGCUUUCACUAACUACUCCCACUUUUAGGACUUUAUGAGUCAAAACCUUUGAAAUUAUUGGAAGUAAUUUUCAAACAAAAAGCAACUUUCAUACUUCUAACACCUUUUUAACAUAUGGUUUGAUAAAGCUUAAUUAUUUCUUUUGUACAAUUUGUCAUUGGAUGGAGUUACUUUAUCAUGUUUCUUUUAGAUUCAUUCGUCGUGAUUGAAAUUGAACUACUUAUUAAUUUACUCGUUGAGGCUAUUUGAGUGAUUUUUGGAUGUUUAAUUGUUUAAAUUUGAUGAUUUUCGACUGUAAUAUCGAUUUAGAAAGUUUAUUUGGUCAUUACUAAAGGUUAAAUAUCUUUGAAAACUGCUACAAUUAUUUAAAAUUGAAAGAUUAAAUCAUAGAAAAUACCUCAAAAUUGUCAUUUGUUUAAAAAAAAUUAUACCUUCAAAAGUUUAAUACAUACUAAACGUGGAUGGAAUGAAGGUGCAUCGAACUAUACACCAAAACACACAUCCAAUGCCAAAAGUGAAAAUAUUUCAAAAUUACUACGAAAUAUUUACGAAGGGUUAGAGGUAACACUUGAAGGUUUCAAUAUUACUUCUAACUUUCAUAAAUAUUUUAAAAUUUCCUUCGUGACAUGUUAAUGAUGUGACAGUGACCCGUUUUAUUACAUGAUUUCAAGUUUAAUUUUAUGUAUAAGUUAAUACAAUCACAAUAGUUUUGAAAAGACUAGAUACCUAACUUCAAUAUAAGAUAAUUUUGAGACAUUCAUGCUAACAAUUUUGUUACUAAUUUUUUAAUGUAUUUAGUCUUUAUGUUUUAAUCCUUUACCGUUCGAUAAAAAUUUCAUUAAAUAUAUUCAAUCUAAUUUAAAGAUUUUAUCGAAUCAUAAAAACUAAAUUCUACUUUUUUUACGUGAUACGACUAAAUUUGUGACUUAAACCAAAAUGAAAGAUAAAAAGAAGCAAGACUUACUCCAAUGGCAAAGUUGAGGGAAGCCAAGGCAGUGGUACUAGCAAUUCUUAUCCGAUAAGUUUUCUUGGGUUGAACAUGUAGGAUAAAUGGUGCACAUUUUUCUUUUCCACUCAACUCACAUUGCUUCAAACCUUGGUUGUAUUUGGCUGCUAUUGAACAGUCAAAUUGCCCUUUCCCAUUUAUCAAUAUGCUCUGAAAAAUAGUAAAAACACACAAAUAUACGAAGUUACAAUAUUAUUCUUGAACAAAUGUGAAGUAUAUAUAUAUAUAUGCAGAAUUUUAGAUGGAAAUUAAGACUGGAGAUGAAAUGUAUGGUGUUGGCAUGACAAAAUUUUACUUUAUCUUAUAUUCUCCCUAAAUGAAUUUUCAAAAUUUCGUAUUUUGUUUGUGUUAUAUAAAUUGAAUAUAUUUCAAACAAGGGAGGAUUGAUUUUGAAAGUGGGAGAAUAUAUAUAUUUUCUCCAAAUAUUUUUUUCUUUUGUUAGGAGCUAUGGCUUAACUUAGUACAUGUAUAUAUAUAUGUGUGUGAGAAAAGAUAUACAUGUGUUGUUUUAUCCUUGUAGUUUGAACAUGGUGUUCUUUUAAUUAGAUUAUACAUUAGAAAAUUAUUGAAAAAAUAUUACAUUAUAUUGAUAGAUGUUGAUAAAAUUCUAUCAAAUUCUAUUUGUGCAUUGAAAUUGUGAUCAAAUUUAAAAAAAUUUAUUUUUAUAAUGUAUUGGUUAAUUUUGUUUUUUAAAAAUGUUCGAUAUAUAUACUUAUCUUUUAUACCUAAACAAAGAAUAUUUUAAUUUAUUAAGCUUUCUUUUUAAACAGUGGAUUAUUAUAAGAAAAAGAAAGAAAAGAAAAGAAAUGGUCAUUGAAUUAGUUAAUAAUUUAAAUUAAGGAAAUUGAUUUAAGGGUAAGAAGGACAAAUUAUAUACCCACCAACCUCUCAAGUCUAUUCAAUCUACUAACUUUUCUUUUUCAAUUUUCAAAAUGCUUUAUUUAACAAAAAUAUAUUUUUUUUAACAAAUGAAAGCAGAUUCUUGAAAAAAAAAAUAGAAUGAAACUACUUACGAAAUAUAAAUAAUUUCGUCACCUAUUCAACGUUAUUCACAAGUUUGUAUGCAAAAAUAUAAAAUAAACAAAAUUCAGAAUAUGUACUUACUUACAAGUUUAAAUAAUCACUGACAUACAAAACCUAAAAAGUUAUGAACACUUAUUUUAUAUUUAUAACAAUUGAAGUCAAUUAUUUAUCUUGUUAUCAAACAAAUAUAAACCAAUCAUACAUUGAAAUUUUCAAGUCAAACAGUACAAGAGAUGAAGAAAAAAAUGAUCACACACACACACACUUCAAGAAGAGGAAUGGAAAAGGACAGAGGAAAAAGAAUAAUUGGUGGAAUAGUGGUUUUGGUUGUGUAAAGCAAAUUUCAGCGAUGCAUUUUUUCUCAACUUUUUCUCAUGUGUAAUAAAAUAGGAAAGAAAACAAUUAACUUUAAAAGUGGUUUGUUGAUCAUCGUCAUUUAAACAAUAAUAUCCAAAUCUCAACUUUACAUAAUGAAUAACACUUCUUGAUUUUGAAAAAAAAAAAACAAUUAAUUUUUACGCUUAAUUAUGUUAAAAACUUUGUGUUGAAAAUGUGUUUUAAAGUUAUAAAUAUGUUUAAUUAUGUGUUAAAAGUACAUCUUUAAUUUAAAGUUCUACUCGUUACAUCAAUCUCCAUCUUUUUUAAAUUAGUAAGUAGGGAUCUUUUUGAAAUACAAAAGAACAAAAAUUAAACUUUUCUAACCAGUUAGUGAAAAGAAAUUAAACUUUUCAAAAUUAGAGGCAUGUUUCAAAAGCUAAUGAGUCUUCUUUUUUUUUCCUAAUUUAACUAAAUACUAAUAAAUGAUUGUCAAUUCAUAGUUGAUAAAGUAGAGAUGGACCAAUUGACACUACUUUAUUCAUACAUAUUGUCAAAAAGAACUAAAAAAAGAAUACUUAGUUGGUAAAGCACUAAUUACCUGAGGCUCACCAAUCCAACGCAUUGGUUUGGAGCUGAGACCAACUUCUUGCUUGUGAACACUCUGAUGCCACCAAUCACUAAGCAAUAAGUUGAUCUCUUCGUCAUAAUGGAAUGGCUCAGAUCUUCCUUCUGGUGGAUCCACUAUCAAAGAUCCAUACAACCCAGCCGAUCUUUGCAUCCCUAAAUGGCCAUGAUAGAAAUAUGUCCCAGCCUACAGUAAAAUAUGAAUAAAUAUUAUAAAACAACUUGCAAUAUUUCCUAUGGACUCAAUACGUUUUAAACCCUUCUUACCUUAUCUACCACAAACCGGUAAGUGAAGGUCUCACCCGGGUUAAUGGCACACUGCGAGAUGGAAGCAGUGCCAUCAGCCCAAGGAGUACCUCGUUGUAGGAUUCCAUGCCAAUGAAUAACAACACCUUCAGUGUGGAGCUUGUUAGUUAGCUCCACAACGACGAUGUCGCCAGCGUUGGCUCUAAUCGUCGGUCCAGGGAACUCGCCGUUGAUUCCCAUAACAAUGUUUUCAACACAAUCUGGCGACCAAAACAUGUACUCAACAUCCCAUUUGUAGUGUUUUAUUUUGGGAAAACCUGCCUCAGAGAGAGUUAUUCCAAAUCCAAAAAUGAUUGACAAAACAAGGAAGGAUAGAAAAGGCUUGGGGAAGAAAGGCUUAUCUGCAACUUUUGCCAUUUCGAAGGGUUGAGGAGAUGAAAGGGAAGAAUAAUGAUGCAAUGAGGAAAAAGGAAGAAAGGAAAAAAGUGGGAAGUUUGUGUGUAAGAUGCCACUAGAGUUUGCAAUUUGCCUCCUUUUUAUAAUGAAAUUUUGAGAUAUUUUGUUUACCCACUCCCUCUCUUUCGUUAAGUCAAGUGGUUGAUUUUAAUUCUAAUUUUCAUUUUUAUUUUCAUUUGUUGUGUGUGUGUAUAAUAUAUAUAUAUAUAAAUAUAUAUAAUUAAUUUGUGUGUUUAUACUUUUUUCUUUAAAAAAUUACUACAAAAGAAAUGGAAACUGUCUCUCAAUCAAUCUCAGACCUAUAUGAAAUGAGAGACAUCUAUGGAAAGAGAUUAAAUUCAAAUGUAGGACCCUAUAAAUGUUGAUCUAUAAUAAUUAAAUUAUAUAUAUAUAUAUAUUAGGUUUGCUAUAUAUAUACACACACUAUGAAAGAUUCCAUUUAUCUUUUAGGUUGUUUGUUUUUUGGAUCUAGAUAAUAAUCAAAGAGCUAGUUGUUUCAAUGUUUGGAUGUAUUUAUUUGACUAAGUUAUAAAGUAAUGCUUGAAAAUAUCAAUAUUAUUAGUUAUGUUUGCUUUGUAAAAUUUGUGUGCAAGAAAUAUGUGUGUUGAGAAUUAUGUUAUAUACCAAGAUUGUUCAAACAAAUUUUAGGCAACUUAAAUUAACAAUAGUUCGAUACAUUGUUAUGGAUACUUUUUGGGUUAAAGUAUAAAAUCGAUAUGAUGAUAAAUAAGAGAAAGUCAUCGGGUGAUCAAGAAAGCAACAAUAAAUAGGGGCUCGCUAUCCGGCCAAGAUAAUAAAAUUGGCUUAAAGAAAAGAACUAAUUUGUCCCGAUUGGUUUGCUUCGACCAAGGCUGAACCUACACAAAACAUAUAUCGUUACAUCCCAUGCAUGAUGUGAGCUCACACACGAGCCUUAAGAAGAGGAUUGACUUGACCUAAAACCACUUCGAUCGACUCUACUUUGUCCUUUGUGAAGGCUUAACUCACUAAGUCAAACCUAUUUUAAUGUUCUAGAACAAAUUAAAAGAGAAUAUUUAGAAGCUUAGGAAAACACUCUUCCUAAUUAAGGAGAGGAGAAUCCAAUCACCCGCUUUAUAAAUAAGAUGGUAAAAAGACAUAAAAUGUUAGUCGUUCUCUCUCCAGUAACAUCAUACUAUAAUAAAAUCUUUAGAUCAUUUUCCUUGUUUUAAGUAACAAAGUGUGUGACGCCCUAUAUCAUACCAGUGUGUCGUUCUUGCUAAUUAACUCGUAGUUGAUCUUCUUCACCAAAAUAUAUAUUUAUCAUAGUUAUCGCUUUGAGGUCAGAUCAUUUUACCUGCUCAAAUUUUAGAAAAUUAUUUAAAUUCAUUUAACAUGUUUUCUUCGUGGUAAAUUUAUUUAUUCAAUAUUUUAAUAUUUUAAUUUUAUAUCAAUUAGGUAUACACUAACUUUAUUGGUUGUUAAAUUUUAUUUAUUCAACUUUACUUGAUGGUGAUGGUUUUGUAGGCCUUCGGGCAUUUUGGUUCUUUAAUCAAUGAAGUUCUUUUGAAUAUACAAUAUAUGUAUGUUGUAUAUAUAUGAUUUAUUAAAUUGUAAUCAUUUUCAAGAAAAGACAAUUAAUAUUUAAUUAUGAUAGUUUUAAUAGAUCACGUUUAUUUGAUUGCAAGAUUAUAAUUUUUUGUGUGAUUUUUUAGUACAAAACAUUGACUUACUCAAUUAUCCAUCUCUGAGUCGGUAACUAAUCUAUUUUUAUCUCAAUUGAACUAUAUUGAGUUGAAUAUAUAUAUUUAAUAAUUUAAAUUUUAAAAGUAAAAGUGGAUAAUUAUAUCAAAUAAGAAUAUGAACAGUUGGACACUUAUGAAAUCUAGUACGUUCAUGUUUACAAACUCACUUCAAUUCUUUGAAGAAAAAAAACAAAAUACAUGUUUAAUAUGUUAAGGCUAAACUAUGAGUUUUGAUCCCUAUAAUUUGAAUAAUAAGGUUAAAGUUUUAGUUCAUAAAAUCAAGAGUAAUUUAUUAUCAUCUAACAUAUUGAGGGGAUAACCACGACUACUUUACUAUGUUGAAAUUAUUAAAAUGUUCCCAAUUUCUAAAUUAUGUUAUUAAAUACACAUUGGAAACAUUUCAUUCAAAUUUUUUUAUUUAAAUUUUGUGUUUUCAAAUUUCUAUUUUCAAACUGUCUUUAACCUACAUAUUCAUUUAAUAGAUAUUUUAGAUUUUUUCCAAACAAACAACUUCUUUAUUUAUAUGCUUUGUUCUGUGUUUGUGUUUGCAAGUUAAGUUAACGAUUUGUUGUAUUUAACAACAUUCAAUGAGUCAAAAACUAUAUCUAACUUAAUUAACGAAAAGUAUAUAUCACUUCGAUAAAAAAGUGAAAUUUCAUAUCCUUUUCUUUUCAAAAAUCAAGCAGGGUAGGUCAUAUCAACACGCAUUUUUUUAAAAUAUUGUUGUUUCAAAAAGAAAAUAGUAAAAUAUGGUUGUUGGUAAGAUAUACUUUAUAAAAGGAAUAAAAUAACUGAAAUUAUGAACUAAAACAAAUGUAAGGAUUGGAGUGGGGAAAUGGUGAUGUUAUAUAAAAUAUAGACAAGUUGAGACAAAAGUAAGGAUAAGAAAAAGUGCAUCAAACUUUUUAAUUUUCAAAAAUCAUUCUAUUUUUCUUUUUAUAAUAUAUAUAUAUAUUAUAAAGUUCUAAUAUUUAAUAAGGUAAAUCCAUGUAUAUAAUCUUGCUAUUUAUUUUUAAACUCUCUAACCACCCAUUAUCGAUUGAUGGAUAUAAAAUUUUGAAUAUACAAGAAUUGAAAUAUUUAAAAUCCUAAAAAUGUUCAUUUUUGAAAAUUGGUGAAAUAUAAAAAGUAAAUGUUUGUGUUUAUUUUAUUAGUUUUUGUUUACAAUAAUUCUUCUAAAUUAAAGGUAAUUGUUUUUAUUAUAAGAUUGAUCAAAGUUAUGUUUAUAAAUAUAGGAAUAUUUUCAUUAGCUCUCUUAUCAAUAAUAAAUAUUUUAUUAUUUAGUUUAUAUUUAAUUAAUUAAUAAGGAAUAUUCUCCCUAAAAUUAGUUUACAAAUUAACUAAAAAGUAAUCAAUGAUUAACUUUCUCUCUCCUCUAUUGUUCAUUUUUCAAAGAAAAAUAGGUCUAAUCUCCAAUAAGAACAAUAAUACAAAUUAAUUCAAAGUUUAUACUCCAUUAUGAUACUUUUAUAUUUGGAUAAUAAUUAUCUAUUUAUUAAAAUAAAUAUCCACCGAACAAACGUUAGUUGAUGAGAGAAUACAUUUUCUUUUAAACAUUUUCUUGAAAAUGAGUUUAAAUUUAAACAUUUACAUGUUUGAUUAGAUUUUUUUAUGAGUGUUUAUAUAUGAAUUUUGUUUAAUUUAUCUUAAACCAAAAAUGUUUAUACUUAACUCAAAUUAUACCAUAAAUGACUACUAAACAGUAUGACCUAAUUUCAUAAAAAAUACAUAUAUUUUAAAUUUAAAAAAAUAUAUAUACUUUGAAAUUAAUGGCACAAUCUUUUGGAACUAAUUGUUUUAAAAUUUUGAAAUUAGUAAAGUUAGAACCAAAAACAUUAUUUUUUUAUUACUUUUUUUAGAUAGUUUUAUUUUAGAAGUAGAGGUAUACUGAUAUCUAAAUUCAUAAUCAAGAUAAAAAAUAAAAAUAAAUAAGAGAAAAGAAAAUUAAUAAUAACACCAGAAAUAAAGGGAGCUUGAUUUAUUAUAUUGUUUUAGUAAUUAUUCAAAAUAAAAGAAAGAAAAACGUGAGAUAAAAAUUGCCAAUUUUUCAACUUUAAUUUAUAAAAGUUUGGUUUUUAAUGAUUUCUUUAAAAUGAAUUAUUUUAUAAACGAUUUUUUUAAAAAAAUGCAUUAUUCUAAUUUUUCAUAUACGAAAUUUUUUUUUUACAAAAUUAAACACUUCAAAAUCUCAAUCAAACACAUCAUAAUUCUUAUUAAUUUUUAAUAAACUUUUUGUCGUUUGUAAUUAAGUGUGUUUAUUUAUUUUAUUAGUAGUCUUCAUCUUUUUCUAAUUAAACAAUUUUAGUUCAAUUUUAACACGAAAAUAAGUUUUAAAAUGAUAUAUUAUCAUACCAUGAUUUUGUUUGUGACUUUUUAUAAAAUUAAAUAAACCAAGUGAAGAAAUCAAUAUUAAUUUUCUAACCAUAUUUUUAAAACAAUAAAGACCCAAAAACAAGUUUAAUUACUCUUUUAUAACUAGCAAUAAACUUUUUCUUUAGUACUAAUUAGCAAUAAAUUAUUGAGUACUGUGUUUACAUUAUUCGAACUUAAAUUGUGGUAACAUUGGGUCCCAUUUCUACUUCUAGGGCUUAUUUGGGUUUUCAUUACAAAUCACAAUUUACACUUUUGUUAACCUAAUUUUUUUCUACUCUUCUUUCUUAAGGUCAAUUUUCAAUUAGAAAGUUUCAUAAUAUAUAUAUACACACACUUCGUUUUUCCAACUUUUUCACAUUUUGGUACUUUAGAAAAUAAUAAUAAAUAAUAACUAUGUAAUUUAAAAUUUUCUAUUUGUCCACCCUCGUAUUUUCGUAGUUGUCGAUCAUGACUGAGUAUUUAGCUAUAAAAAGGAUUAUCCAAUAAAUCAUCCAAAAGAGAGUGAUUUUAUUUAACAAAGUAUGGUGGCCGACUCAUCGAUUCAACAAUUAGAAUGACUAAAUAGAUAAUUAAUUUGAACUGAUUAGAAACAUAAAGGUCAACUCUGAGACAAUCAACCAUCAAAGUUAAGAAAAUCAAUUAUGUGGAUUUCAUGAAGGUCGACUCAUAGGGUUAGUUAUGGUAGACAAAUAUAAGGCCUAAGCAUGUAGAUAAACCCAUAGAAAUCAGAGUGGCUAUAUAACGUAAGAUCAAGAUCAACAUUACGAAGGCAAAGAUUAUUAUGCCUAAAUAAGUGUUUUACUUUUACAUAUGUUUGGGUCAUUAGUAAAGUAAAUCCACCACUUCAUAGCGGCUAAGUAACGAUUUGAUUAAUGAAUCAAGAAGUUAAUUAGCAAAUGGUCAUUACAAAUACGUUGUUUUUUUAUAAACAACAGGGUGCAUGAUGCUUGUUCGCUUCCUCUGAACAAGCUUUGAAAAUUCAUGGUUGGUACCGAAGUUUGGUAUUGAAAAAGUAUAAAUAAUUGUUCAUAUUACUUUUGUUCAUAUAAUGUCAUAAAAGGAAUAUUUAAAUGCGUGACAUAAAAGACAAUAACAUAUCAUCAAUUGAGGAGUCAAAUCACCCAUGGAAGAAGUAUUUAUGACAGUGGUACCACAAAUUUCAUACACCCGAUGUUAGCAAGUUCCAAGAUAUGUUAGUAACUCGUUGAAACAAGAUGCUUUUUACAAGAAGCUUUUAGUUCUAAAAUGGAAUAACAAUUUAUUAUUUAUUUGCUUUUAUUUUAAAAUGAAAGUAACAUAUCUUAUUUAGGAAAAUUAAUUUUGAUAUGAAUUUAUAAAUUUUCAAGUCAUUGAAAAAAUACUUUUUUCUAAAUUUAAUUAGGGUUUUAAUCCAAUUUAUUUUGUAUCUAGAAGUUACAAAAGGUUACAUUCUACGUUGAUGGAGUAAAAAUUUCAAAUUGGUUUGAAAAAAAUAUGGUAAGAAAACUAAUUAAUAAUUAUAAUUCUUCAAAAUUAAUUAACAUUAACAAUAAGUACCAAAGGGGUUAUUUAGUGAAAUUAAAUUUAAUUUAAAAGUUAGCCGCAAAAUGAAAAUAAAAACUUAAAACUUGGGUAGAUAUAUAAUAUUUUGAAACUUAUAGAAAAUGAAUCUUAAACUUAAAACUAAUGAUAAAUAUUAUAGUAGUUCAAAAUGUAUAAACUAACAUCAUGUUUACCGAACUAUAAAAAAAAUUGAUGUGAUUAUGAAAAAAAAUUUAUUGAUGGAUCAAUUGUAAUGAACUUGAAUCGUAAAUAUAACUAUAUUGUUUUUUUACGGCGUUUACUUACAAUCAAGAACUUUGUCAUAUUUAUUUUUACUUUUACCUCUAUCUCUUAAGGUCAAACAGUAACGUCGAUAAUAGUAAAAGAUGUCAAAAUUGAUAAUUUUUCAGUUGUAACAAUAAAAAUAACAGUAGAGAUAAUUAUAAUAAUAAAGUUAGCAAUACAAUGUAAUUUUCAAAGGAACGGUUGCAAAAAUAACCAAAAAUGUUAUGAUAAUAGGUUCUAUAUUAUUAUAUUUUAUAAAUUGCAAAAAUAACAAAUUUAAAAAUCGACAACCUUUUAAUAACCCUAUGAUAUAAUUAAUUUUGUCAUAUUAGCAAUAUAUAUAGAAAAAUAAGUGUUGUUGAAUAUUUUUUUCUAAAUGUUUUUAUCAUAUCAUACAAUUUUUUAUUUUGAAACGUAAUGAAAUUAUGAAAAGAAGUUUUUUGGAAAAAUAUAAAAAUUUGAAAAUUUUGAAAUAAUUGAAAAGAAAAGGGAAAACGCGUUAUGUGAUUUGAUUGAAUUGCAAAAGGGCAGGCCGAGGCUGCUCCCUUUAUUGUUUUUGUAUUAUCACAUAUCUAUAUUCAUUUCUCACGUGGGAAAAUGAAAAUAAUAUCUCUUCUUGCUCCCUACCCUUAUUAUCUACUCCUUCCCUUACAUUCCUUUUCUUCCACUUUUCUUUUAAUUUAAGAAUUUUUAGCCUUAAAGCCAAGUGAUAAUUGACAUCUCAUUUUCGAUCUGGCCUACAUGUGUGAGAUUUUGUCUUGGUAAGUUUACCAUAAUAGGAUGGUAACAAAUAAUUAAGGAAACUUUAAUUUUAUAGAGUAGGUCUACAAAAUAAUAAUGAUGAGUAUUUUUAAUAUAGUAAAAUAAAUUGAAAUAUUUACGAAAACAUACCAACAUUUCAUAUUUUAUAUGCUCAAUUUAUAUAUAAAACAUUGUAUAAUUGAAGGUUCAGUCCAAUAAUUGUAAUAUUCAAUGCUUCACUUUACUUCACUAUAAAUAUACUAUAAAUAUUCAAUAGAGUUGUCCAUUAUUUCAAAAGCAAAUGCCUUUACAAUGAGGAUACUGAGAUUUCCAUUCUUUUUUACUUGCAUAUGCAAAACUUUGACUAACAUAAAACGUAUUAAAUUCAACACCAAACAAAUUAAAAUAAUAUACAUGUUUUUUUUCACCCGUUUUAUUUUAGUACAAUAACUAUGAGAGAGAUGAUUGAGUAGACUUUUAAAGAUAAAAUUGAUGUCAAUCAUAUUAACCUAAUUAAGCUCGUUUUGAUAGUAUAACUUUGUCGAUGAUACGUUAGAUUUUCGUAAAGUUAAAAGAUUCAAAAUUGAUAAAAAAAUAAUUUAAAAAAGAAAAGAAAAAUGACAAAAUGGUGAUGUAGGAUUUUUUUUUUCUAUAUUCGUAAAUACAUUGAUAUUUUUUGAAAUACCCCAUUCAAAAUUCUUCUUCAAAUUUAUGAAAUUAGAAAAAUUAAAUAAGUUACAAUUGUUUAAUUACUACAAUUCAACCCAAUAUUAACCAUAUAUAAAUUAAUUAAUGAUUCUUCUCAAAGAAAAAUGUGUAUAUAAAUUAUCACCCCAAUUUUGUGGCACUAAAUGACCCAUUUUGUGCACUAAACAACAACAUUGAUAAUUACUAAUUAAUAUUAAUUAGUUAAAUUUUGAUUGACGGAUGACUUUAAUUAUUUAGUACUCUUAUUGAUGAUCAUCAUCAACUUGGCUUGAUACUGAUAUGUUUAGAAUAAAUGAUUGAUUUACAUUAAUUAUGCAAAUAAUUGUUUAAACAAUUUGAGAUGGAAUAUAAUUAUAAAAAAUGUAUAUGGAGAAAUUUUGAUGCGUAUAAAAAUGUCAAACUAUUUACCGAUAAUAGUAAGAUCGAAAAACACUUAUAGACAUUCAUAAACUUUAUCAAUGAUAUUCGUAUAUCGAUUUUCAUUACUGAUAGACAUCAAUAAAAUUUAUGAUAUAGACUUUUAUAAGUUUCUAUCUGCAUCUAUUAGUGAUAAGAUUAUGAAUUAUUAUCCAAAUAUAAACUAAAUCAAACCACACGAUCGUUAAGUUUGAGAGUGUAACGGUAGCUGCUUGUGUACCACAAAAAUAGUUUUUGAGAUUUAUCGGAUAAAAUAAUAACGUGAGCACAUGGCAAAAUGAAGUACGUUAAAAUAAAGAAAAAGGCAGUCUACCCCACACCAUAAACAUAGCCUUUUGGAGUGGGGAUUGAGACAACUCACUGUCCAUCUUCAAUAACUCAACUUUGUGUGUAACCAUUGCUUCAAUUCAUUAUUGGAUAGGACGUAGAUCUUUUAAGUUCUCUACUUCUACUUCAAACCACAAACAUUUAAAACCAAGUUAUUAUGAUUAUUAUUAUUUACUAUGUUUUUAUAAAUAGAGAUGCGAAUAGCACAGUUGGGAUUGAUUCAGUUAUUUAUUCAUUUCUUUAUGUUGAUCAUAAGCUAAAGAAUAAGAAUAUUGUAAACCAAAAUUGUUUGAUCGAAAAUAAUUUACAAAAUUUUAGAGAUUUGAUUAUCUAUUCCAAAACGGUUUGAUGUGUCCUUAAUAUAACUUUUGAAAUUAAAGGGAUUCAAUAUGGGUUAUCCUUAUACUCAAGUUCAAAAGUUAUUUGACAAUGGAAUAGGUACAUUCCAACUAAUAGGGAUUAAGUUGCUAAAGUGAAGAAUAAAUAAUACACUAAUUUUAAAAAAAUAAUAAAUAUAAGAAAACUCGAGGGAAAAAUCAACUUUUUCUUAACUUGGUAACGUAAAUGAAAAUGAUCGAAACUAAAAAAAAAUAAGGGGUCUUUUUAAAAAUAUAACAUAGCCACAAAAUAUUUACACGAUAUAUAACAAUUUCAAAAAUGGAAAAAAGCCCACACAGAUCCACCGUGAGAAAUACCAAAAAUAUCACGUGAUUAAUUGACAUCUAGUGCGCAUAAUUUUCUAUACCAUCGUUUAGAUUUGGAGUCAAGUCUAAAUGAUUUUUUUUCAAUAUUUUUUGGUACACGAUAGUUUAUAUUUGAAACACAAUCGUUUAUGUUUGAAAAACAAUCAUUUAGAUUUGACCUUUUAAAUUUGGCUACCCAGAUCUAAAGAAUUUUUCUUUUAAAAUUCUUUGUACAUAAUCGAUUUUUUAAAGAUUUUUUGUACACGAUCGUUUAGAUUUGACUAUCUAAUAUCCUAACGAUUUUUUUUUUUUAACAAUCUUUUAUUUUUGGAACAACGAUCUUGAACCAAAUAACAAUUUGAAAAGAAAAAAAAACUGCAGAAGAAAAAGACAACGAAAAUAAGAGUAGAAAUACGAUGAAAACGAAUGACAGACUUGAAAUAUUUUUAAAAAAUAGCAAGUUUGAUGGACUUUUUUAUUUUGUUACAUGGACCGUAAAUGUUUCACUGGACUGUUAUAUUUGUGAAAAUUAACGAAAAAGAAUAAGAGGAUUAUGAUUUUGAAGAUUGAAGAGAGUUGUAGGAGCAUGUGGUAUGAAGUUUGAUGAAUGAUUGUGAUAUGAUUUUAUAUGUUGUGAGAUCCUUUUAUUGCAUGUUGCAUGCCAAAUGAGUUAAGUGGUAAUUAUAUACUCUCUUAAUAGCAACUAUUCACACACUAGUCUUUGUCCCUUCGGGUACACCAAUUACUUUGAAUAUGUCUCACCUAUAAUACUAUAUAUUUAGUUAUUAUUCACUUAAAUGUUUCUUCAUAUAAAAUAUUUUUGUGUAGCUUCACCUCUAUAGUGUACGUAUUUUAAAUAUUCAUCCUUUCAUGAAACGUGUUAUUUUAAUCAACAUUUUAAGGGAUUCCAAAACCUAAGUUUGUUUUGAAAUUCCUACAAAAUUAUUUUACUCAUGUUUUAUUUAAUCAUCUAAUAAAGAUGUUUAUUUUAAGUAAGGAGGCCCCCUACUAUAAUUAUCUAAAGGAUCAUUUGAUUCAAUGUUUAUCUUGACGGUCAUGUACGUCAAGAAAAGCCUUCUUGUUUUGUUGAAGGAAAUAUGACAAAAUGUAAAAAAGAAAAUGUGGAUUCUUAAUUUUCUUGAUGGACAAAGUAAAGUUUUCUUAGUUUUAUUGAUGAUUCACAAACGUCAAGAAAACUAUUUCUUGAUGGACAAUACACAUCCAGGAUAAUAUAUUAGUUGGACUGACAAUAUUAGGUUUUUUUAUGAACGAUACCCAUCAAGAGAUGAAUUUUUGUGAUUCGCAAUAGCCAUCAUUGAAAAAAAUUAAUAUAUUUCUUUUGAAUUUCUUGAUGGGUCUAGGGUUUCUUGAUAGACAAAGACAAAAAAAAAAAAAAAUUAUGGGCAAUAUCCAUCCAGAAAAAUGGUAUGCUCGUCAAGAAAUUUUUUUAUAAUUUUGGGUUUAGGAUAAAAUCAUUUGUAUGACCCAUUAAGAAAAAUGAUAUGUCCAUCAAAGAAAAAAAUUAUUUUUCACAAAACACGAAAUUUAGACCCUUGUUAACCGACUCAGUGAGCACCAUAUUCAUCAAUAAAUGCCUUAAACAUUUACUAUUUUUUUUUCAAUUAUUACUUUCUAUUCAUCAAUAAUACAAUAUUAUUUUUCUAAAAGUUAAUUGUAUUAUUACUUUUCUAAAAGUUAAUUGUUUUAAUUAUAACUAGAUUGAAAUAAAUGUCUUUAUCAAAAUAAUUAUUGUGUUUAACUUUAAUGAGUUUUGAAGUUUGUAAUUUAGGAUUUUUAAAAUUUGUAGAAACUGGUUAACAUGAGCUUAGUUCAACGGAAACAUAUAUGCACAUGUGGCCAAGAGGUCCCCAAAUUCAAAUAUCACCACUUGCAUUAAAAAUUUGUAGAAGCUGUUUAUAAAUUUGGAAUUCAACGUUACAAAUGUUAGUACAAGAAUCAAUUAGCAAGGAGCUAAGGUGGGUGUGAGAAAAGAUGAACUCAAGAUCAUGAAGAUAAAGUCUCGUGUGCAUGUAGUGGCGGACGAUAAACUCCAAUUAACUAGCGAUUAUCAUUUUGAUAAAAUCUAAGAUUUUACUAUAUUUUACAAAUAUUUUUAACAAUUUUUUAAUUAACUAUCCAUUUCCUAAUAUUUAAAUAACUUUGCAUACUUCUUCAAAACUUUUAGAUUAAAUUAAAAAAAAAAAGUUAUAAAGAAAAAAGAAAGUUAGAAAAUGUCAGAAAAGUCAUGAAAAAAAGCUAUGGUUCACUCCACAAGUGACAAUUGCUAGAAAAUGAAAAACUGCCAAAAGGCAACAAAGGAAAAACACAGUUGCCCAACCUUUAUCAUAUAUAUGUAUCAGUUCUUUUCCAUCACUGUUUUGGACCAAUUAGUUCAUGAUUUAAAUAUGAAAAUACAAACACAAAAUGAGAAAAAAGGGGGGGUUCACUUCACGUGAAUCACUAAUGCCCACACCAUAACCUACUGCCCCAUCGUAAUUAAUGUAUUGUUACACACAAAAUCCCAAAACUUAAACAUCCUGUACUGUGCUAGAGGGUGACGGUGGGUAGUGCCAUUUGCCAACCCAAGCGGGCACCAAACAACGAACCCAACAUCGCAUCGCCCUUGUAAGCAGCAGUCUACUCAACAAAAUCCACAAGCUUCGUAUAAUAACCAUCCCCAGCCAAGUUUAAUUUAUUGCACUGAUAAGAAUCAGUACAAUCAGACAAACUGGAGGGGAGGACCAAAAGAGUUUACUCUAAAGAGACAAACCUAAUAGUAAUUGCUUCAAGAAUUUUGAUAUUUCAUUUGUAUUCAACCUUGGUACAACUUGCAAAAGAAACCAAACAUUUUUAAUGCUUACUUUGAAGUUUUGAGAAAUCAUUGAUACACACGUUUUAAUUUUGAGGAUUAAAAAAUGUAAUUUAUUCUGAAUUCUUCUAUCAAAUUAAAAUAUUAUUUAAGUUUUUUAACUUGCUUCCUGUUUUGACUCACAAACUUCCUCACAAAAAGUUAAAUAAUUACUCAACUCUACUAAUAUUGAAGUUUGUAUAUUGAUUGAAAAACUCUAUCAAUGAAUCCAAUUGUUUCCCCCGCCAAUGACAAAACUCGGGUGAUAUUCAUUGCUAAAGACAUGCUUUGAUGACCACUUCUAAUGUCUAACUUCAGAAGCACCUGUUGUUGAUGACCACUACUGCCCUAUUCCAACUACAAUGGUUUGAUGACCACCUCUGGCAGCAAACCCCAAUAUUUUACCACCUCCAACAAUCCUCUCCCGCGACCACCUCUGGCGUUCAACUCCGCUUAAGUACUACUACCUCCAACAACCCUACAUUAGUGAUCACCUACAGUGACCAACUGCGAGCACCAAGUUAUUGAUCAUCUUCAACAUUAACUCCCAAUGACCAUCUCAAUCAAUCAUAUACUAGAAAAGCAUGAUCAUUAGUGAAAGUGUUUUAUAAGCAUAAAAACAAUGGGUUAACAGGUACACCCAGAUCAUUUCCACUAGAUGAACAUCUCCUUUAACACUCUUAGCAUUCCUACUUUAUUGAUGAUCAAGAAAUACAAUACAUGAAGCAAGGAACAAGUAAAAAGGGCUAGAAAUAAGUCAGAACAAGAUCCUAAAAUUAUACAAAAGCUUGAAGAUUUACAACAAUAAAGCUAACAAUGUAAUUGUUAAAGAGAUUUGAUCUACUAUUCCAAUAUCUGGUGAGAGUUUGAAUGUCUUCCCUCCACCAUGGAACUAUUCUUAUUCUUGAAAUUUUUGUUGUUCUUCUCAAACCAAAUGGUCCAAAGGAACAAAUGAUGUUAAAAACAAUAGUAUCUAUUUUCCUUUUUUAUGCCACAGAUGUUCUUGCAUAAUGAAGCUAUAUUGUUCAUAAUGUUUAACAAUUGUCUUAUAUAGUAAUCUUACAUUAAUAUAAAUACUUUAAUUUGAGCAUUACAGUCAAACCAAGAAAUUGUGUAUGAAAACACUUCAUGAGAAAAUGAACCUAAUAACCCAUUUGUAUUUUUUAAAAAUAGUUUUUAAUUAUAAGAGUUAAAAAUGCAAAUGACUUUCUAAAAAACAUUUUACAGCUCAACCAUUGGAUACCACCAUGAUUGCAUCUUUUCAAAUGCUCAACUUCUUUCUUCAACCCUCAUUACAAGUAUAAACUCUAAUGAUUUUAUUUUUAUUUUCAUCCAAAAUGUCCUCUCGUAUCAUUCAAGAUAGUUAUCCUUUCAUAUAUACUCAUUGUUGCGAAAUCAACAAUUAAAUAAUAGAAGAAUAUAAAGAUCGACAUAAAAAGAUAUGUGUGGUUCAUUAACAGUGUAUUAGCUAUAUUCACGUAUAGAGAAAAAAACAAAUAUUAUUAGAGCGAAUGUUUUCACAAUACAAUAUAUGACGUCACUGGAUUAGAAAGUUUAUAUAUAUGCACUUCUCUAAACCUUAAGCUUAAAAUCAUAAAUAACAACAUAUGCACAUCUCAAUUGUUUAUUUAGUGCCACAUAAAGAACCCAAGAAGAACACCCAUGAUUAUGAUCCUCUCAUCCAUGCAAUGUGCGUGCGACUUCGAUCACAUUCCUAAUACUAAAAUAGAGGCAUAAUACACUGCAAUCUACAAUUUGACAUAAUGCCAUACAAAGUCCUAUGCCACCCCUUGAUGAAGUACUACGUUUUUUAUGCAUUUUACUUUGAUACAUUCUAAUUUCUACUAUUCAGAAAGUGUAAAUUUUUUAUGUUUAAUUUGUGUAAAAUAAUAGUAUUUUGCAAACCUCGAGUAGAAUGGUUACAUAUUUUUAGGAGAAUUGUGACUAGCUAGAGAGAGUCAUUAGGGUACAAUUAGUUUUACUCACAUUAUAAUUAUGGUCUUUUUUUAAUGAUCAAAUUACUUAAAUCAUAUAUAAUUAUAUGAUUUUUUAUCCGUCGUUGGGAUUAAUAAUUGGAAAAUUACAUCAAAUAACAAAAACAUUUAGAAAAAAAACAAUUCACGACACUAAUUAUUUUGCAUAUUGUGAAUAUAAAAAAAAAGAGUGAUAUCAAAUGAUUAUCAGACAGUAAUCGAAGGACUAUCAAACGAUGGUCAUAAGACUAUGAGACAAUCACCACUUUUAUAUUUGUUAAUUUUACAAAUUUAGAAAAUAGUGUGACAUGAACUCUAUUAUCAUAAAAAAAAUUCUAUUUUUGCAAAAGCCUCUUAAUAAUUGUGUCUCAUCAUCGUGAAAAUCAUCCUAAUUUAUCUAAUACAUUAUUGGAAGAAAGAAACUUUCAUAUUCUUUUUUCAUAGCUAUUCAUUAUUAAACAUGAAAAUAUAAAAGAUGGACAUUGGCAUCCAACAUAUUUACUAGAGCUAGUUAUAUAGUUUAGUAGUUAAGAUAUAUAUCUGUAUACUUUUAACCUCAAACGUCAAAGUUUGAUGUGAUUCCAACUCUACAAUUAUUGAAUUUAGAAAACAUGCAUAUAUACAUAGAUUAGAAAAAAGUAUAUAUUAAAAGCAUGAAAAUUUUUCCAUUGAUCUUGAAAUUGUAUAGAGUAAAUAAGGGACCUUGGAAGCCAUUUAGUAGCAUCAUUUUUCUGUCGUAAGCUUUAAGAAUUAAUACUACUUACUACUUGUUCUCUAAGUCAUCACGUCUCGGUCAUGUUGGCGAUUGCAAAUUGUUGGAAAAAUAAAUAUCAAUCAUUAUUAUGUUGUAUGUUGAACCACUGUCUUAGAAACAAAACUUUGGUCCAAUCUUAGUGCUAAAUCGCAUAUAUUGGUUGUUCCACAAGAUUAACACAUCUCUAUUGCUCUUAAUUUAAAUGUUUUUGUAUAAUCUACUUUUUCGGAUUGGUUUCUGACUUUGGAUCUCCCUUGGACUUUCCUCUAGUCCUUAUUUUUGCUUCCUUGCUUCAUGUACCUAUCGUUUAUUAUUAAUAGAACGAGAAUGAUGAUGGUGCUACAAAUGUGUCUACCUAAUGAAGAUGUUUCAGUGCAUCUGCUAACUCAUAUCAUAUUUUUUUAGAAAAAAACGUAUACUUCUCUAACUCACCGUGGAAUGGAAUCAAACAAAAUGUUACUCAAAACAAACAAAUGAAAGUUUCAAAAAAGAAGAACCACUCCCAUCACCAAAAUCUUUCUUCAAAUAUAUAUAAUAGUUUUAAAUCUAUAAUUUUUAGUGCAUUAAAAUAUAUUAUUAUAACCACAAAACCAUUAAAUAUUCUAAUAAUUAUCAUUGAAACAUUAGUUAUAAAUCAUUACAAUAAUAGUCAUUCAAUUACACAAAUAUCCUAAAACGAGGCACAAAUCAUUACUAUAUAAAUUCAACUCGUAAUCGUGGCAAGUAUUAAGAGCAUCUUGAAUCAUCUAACAGCAUUCUUCUACCCAUUGGUUGGGUGGAUCAAAAUCAGUUGCAAUAUCAACACAUCCUAAUAAUAUGUAAUCACUUGCAAUUGGUGGAGGUGGUUGAUCAGCAGUGACAAAAGAAAAGAAAAAAGAAGGUUGAGAACUGGAGAAGAAGAGAGCAAGUGAAGAGGUUUUGUUGGAAGAACCCAAAAGAGGAAAUUCUUAGAGAGAUAUUUUUAGAGGGGUGAAAAGAUCAGUGUGGUAAUUAUGGAAGGGUUUCUAUAGGGUCUUAAGAAAGAGGGCUGUGCAUGAGCGUCCUGGUGGAUAAACUCAUUGUUAAUUAAGUUAGGCUCAUUAUCUAUAUUAAUUGAUUUGCAAAUCUUUAUGAAGUGGAGAUUACAAUAUUUGUUGAUCAUAUUUGCUGUGAUUUCCACUAAAUUACUUUGUCUUUCAGUGUUAGUGUGAUUUAAAAUAAGCAGGCAUUCGGUAUUUUAAAACUCAGUUAUUCCUCUCAAGUUGCAAUGCUGAAGAUAUUAUUGAUGAACAUAACAAAGUUAAUUAGUGGGCUAACCCAUUUUCUAAGAUAUUGGGGAUGAAAAAAAAUAAUUUUAAUAAUAAGUAUGCAAAACCUAAUGGGAAUUUGACUUUUCUCCAUGUCCAAACCAAAAUUAUCUCUUUAUGAAAAGAAUCAUUAAAAAUAUUUUUUAUUGGCAAUGUCAUCCAACCAUUUGUAUUAGGUUAAUCCCGAACAACGAAAUUUUACGUUCACCCCAAACUUAAAUCGCUCUCAAAUUUUGUGAGUAGAGAUUUCUUGAUUUGCAUACUACUUCAAACAACAAAUAUUUCAUGAUUGACAUGACUUAUCAAAAAAGAGUUACCUUGACUUUUCAUGGCUAUCCAACGAAUUCAAAAACUGAAAAAUCAUCAUUUUUACGAGAGACGACUUACAUAUUUAAUUUGUUUAUCAAGGAAGGUAAUUUUCUUGACGAACGUGCACAUUCAAGGUAAAUAUGAACAUUUAUUGUAUAAAAAAGUAUUUUUUUUUUAUGGUCAAGAAAACUAAGUUUGUGUGCGUAAGAAAAACAAAAGUUUAAAUGAAACAAGAGCAUUUUGUCGGCCAUAAAUAAUACAUUACGUUACGUACGUAUACAAAAAGAAAUGUAGAAUUUAUGUCUUAAGUUAAGUUGAUAUAUAUUUUUGUACGGUAAAUAUGUGUGUAACUGUAGUGUUAAACCAAAAAUUAAGCAAAAAAUUUAGUCUAGUUUUAGGUCAACAACAAAUGGGAAACAAAGAUUUCUUAACUUCACUGUCAUAUUAAUUUCAGAUUUUAGAACUUUACUCAAUUGGUCACUUAGAAGGCUACGUUUUUUAUUUUCUAUAAAAUAAAGUAAUGUAUUUCAAUAUGUCCUUUCUUUUAUUAUCCACAAAUAAGUUGAAUUGUCCACUUGUCACUCACACAUAAGAUAAAAUAGACAAAUGUUAUCACAUUUAGAAAAGGUAAGAUAUGAUUGUACGUGUAAUCUUGUAAGAUAUGUCGUUUGUGUUUCAAUAAUUAUUCAUGGAAUUCAAAUAAUUAACUCAUCACGUUUCUUGUGGUUCUUAAUUAUAUAAAGUUUUCUUUCUGUCCCAUUGAUUAAAUUACAAAUGUACUAUAUCAUAUAAUUGAUCUCUAAUCACAUCAAUAAUAUGUAAUCAAUUUUUUUAAUUUCUAGUGUGAAGUAUCUUUGGUAUAAUUUCUUUUUUUUUUAUCAUUACUUUAGUUUAUUUAAUUAACAAUAAAUUAUGAAGAUUAAAAAAAUAUCUAACUUUUGAAACAAACGUAUAAGUCAGCUUAAAUAAUGUUACUCUCUAUAUUAUCAAAAGUAUUAAUUCAAUGUAAUGUUCACACCCAAUCGUUCAUGCCAUUAAAUCUUAGUUCGCUUUAAUAAUUGGAUUAUGUUUGUGUGAACGAAAAAAACUGAACUGAGUUUAAGAAAGAAAAAAGUAUUACGAAAAAUAUCAUCUAUAUAUAAAGAUUUGUCGGUAUAUAGCAAAAAAUAUAUCUUGCGAACAAAUUUUAAGUUUAAUCUACUGUAGCCUUUAAACUUAGAUUUAGGUUGGAAAUACGCUCAAAAUCUUACGGCGGUUAAAUAAUAUGAGUUUAUAAAGGAAGAUACAAUUAUUUCUAGUGGUUAUGAACUUUUUAGAAUGUGAAACUCAAAAGAAAGUCUUGAAGAAAGUCGGUCUAAAAGUUGAUAAUAUCAUAUCAUUAGAGUAAUAUCUGACAAUUUAAAUAUUAUUUUUCAAUACAAUUUUGAGUUUAUUUAUUUAUUAUUAUUUUGUAUUUUAAAACUUUCUAAGGCCCCAAAUUAAACUACGUAAAGCUAAGCUUAGGUUUUCAAUAAUCCUUCCUAACUCUUUUUUUCACUAUUCCACGUCUCUUUUUCAAUCAUUUUCAAAUUUUGAGAGAUGGAUCCCACACGUCAUUUUCCACUUUUCUACAUUUUCCCAAUUUCCUUUUCUCUCUCUUUCUUAAUUUAUUUCUUUAUAACAUCCUUUCUUUUUCUAUUUUAUUCCUUUUUUUCCUUUGUUGUCUCUUUCCUUCUUUUUUUUUUUUUCCUUCAUUUUCUUUUUCAUUCUUUUUUUUUUUCCUUUUUUUUCUUCUUAAAAUAUAUAUUUAGAGUGUGUUUGGAGUGGAAAUUUACGACGAUUAGAAAAAUGAUUAUAUGGCUCAAACAUUGUAUGGGUCAAGGUUUUCCAUUUUUGAGGAUUAGGGUUAAAAAACCCUAUAAACUAUCAUACUUUAUCUUUUCAUAACCCUACAAAUUUUCCUACUUCACCUUUUCAUAAUCCUACAAAUUUUUCUACUUCAUCUUAUCAUAAAAUUACACUCAUAACUCUUCUCCCAAACACUUGUUAUAAUAACACUACAAUUAUAACCCUUUCCCCAAACGUAUAUUAUCAUAAUACUAUAACAAUAAUCUUUUCUCCAAACACAUAUUAUCAUAACACUACCAUUCAUAUUACUUCUCCCAAACACAUAUUACCAUAAUACUACCAAUAAUAACCCUAACAUCAAACAUAUAUUAUCAUAACACCAUCAUAAUCUUUUUUUCCCAUAACUCAUUCCCUCCUCCAAACGCACACUUAAAGUUUAUUUUGUAGACUUUUUCACUUCCUAUAUAUGAAUUAUAAUUGUUCUUUUUCCAUUGUUUACUCGUAUAUUCAAUAACUCUUCUCUUUACAUUUUAUUUUUAUUUGUUUUAGUACAAUAAUUUUAAUAAUAUAAGUUUGUAAUUAUAUGUUUUCUAUUACAUGGGCACACAAAAAAAAUAAAUUAAUGAAAACUAACGAUUCAAGCUAAAUUUAUGAAAUGAGUUUGAACGUCACAAUUAAGAAGAUUAAAAAAAUUAAUUUGAAGCAAAAUUUUGUAUUUCAUAGAAAAUAUAUAUGCAUAAAAAAAAAAAAGAUUAGUGCAAAAGAAAGAUUGAAGCUUAAUUUAUGAUAUAGACGUAGUAAUUAAAAAACUUUUUUCAUUCUGAUGUACCAUAUAUAUGCAUGCAAAAAAAAAAAUGGUAAAAAGUAACAAUUAAUAAUAGCAGUUUUAACGUUGUAAUUAUGAUGAAUAAGGAAAAUGUGUUUUAAGAAAAAUAUUGCAUUUCAUGAAAAAUAUAUGUGGCAUGGAAAGAAAUAUUAGUGAAAAUGCAAGAUCCAAGCUUAAAUUAUUGCUAGGAAUCUUGUAAUUAGAAGCUUACUUAAUUCGAUGUACAUUAUAUAUGUAUGAAACAUCACGAUUGAUGCUACAUUUAUUGAAUGAAUAUCAUAAUAAAAAUUAUUUAAUAAAAUCAAUUUAUGAAAAUCGUGUAUUGGAUCUACAAUAUAUAUUUUAGUGAAAAAAAUUUAUAAAAAACCUAGAUUGUAAUAGUCUCCACCCAAAAUACACAGUUUAUAAUAACACAUAUUAUUAUCAUAUAUAAAACACAAAUUAUCAUAGUCUACAACCCAAAUGCAGACUAUCAAAACAGAUUAUAAUAGUGUAUGCGCUCCAAACGUAGACUAUCAUAAUACUAGAACUAUCCUAAAUCACUCGCUCCCUAACGUCCCUUUAAAUAUAUGUAUGAAAAUUUUGUUUUUUAAUUAAUUGAUUUAGUUUUUUUUUUCUUUACUUGUUUUAGGUUUUUCUUUUAAUAUUAUCAAAAUAUCUAUUUAAUCUUUUAAACUUUAAAACAUUGGCCAUUGGGUAGCAAUUUUAAUUUUUAGUUUUUUUUUUUUUAAAAAAAGCUAAAAGCAUUUAAACAUUCUUUCCCUUUUUUUUUAAUCUUUUAUCUACUUCUUUACCAAUAUUUUAACAAUCCAAGUUAAAUCUUGAAAAUUAAAAAAAAAAUUGUAAUUUCUUUCGCAAAUAAUUUAACUAUUAUACAUAAGAAUAUGCAAAUUAUGGUAAAGAAUUUGAAAAUAAAUAUUCUUAGUUAAAAAAAAAAAACAAAAGUAAAAAGAUUAUAGAAUAAAGUCUAGUACAUUUUAAAAAUAUCUCACACGUAUAAUAGAAAUAAGAAAAGUACUUACAUGCAUCUUAGACAUUUUACUUAUGUUUCGUACAUUCCACCAAAUUGUCCAAUCAUAACUUAUCAUAUACCAAAUUUUGCUAAUUUUCUUUUCUUUUAGUAGAGUAUUUUAAUAUGUUUUUAUGUAAAUGGUAAGAAGGGAUGUACAAAUUAAAUGAAAUGCACCUAAGCAUACUUACUCUAUACUAAAUAUUCCCCCAACUUCAAUCAACCCAUGCCAACUUUCAAUACACGACCUAUGCUACGAGAAGAUUUAAAAUAAGGGGAAUGGUUUCGAAUACAGCAAAAAUGAACUAAAAUAUUUAUAAAUUAUAGCAAAUUUUUAUAUUCUCUAUCAACUACAGACACUCGUAGUCACUAAUAGAAGAUUAUCAAUAGUUAUGGGUGUCUACAAUUCAUAGAAUAAUUUAAAAUUUUGUUUUAUUUUAUAAAUAUUUUCACCAAUUUUAUCAUUUACAAUAAUUUUUUUUAAAAUAAACAUAUUUAAAUAUGGGAAUAAACUUUGAAUAAUGUAUAUAUCUCAAAAAUGUUUCCACUCUAAAAUUUUUAGUUUCAUUCCAAUUCAAUAUCUUAAAGUUCAAUAAUUGUUACAAACUUUACCCUAAUUUAUUCAAUCUCUAGCAAAUUUAAUUUAUUCAAUCUCUAGGAAAACAUGUCUCUCAAAAAAAAAAAUCAAAUAACACAAAAGAAAAAAAAACAUCCAUAAUUCAUUGAAUUAUUAAAAGCAAACAAACAUUACACCAAACGAAGCCUGCAUAAGAUCAAAUUAAUCGAUCAAAUUCGACUGAAUCAAUAAAAAAACAGAACUUUAGAGCCCCGUUCAGUCAUUAUUCAAUUUUUGGCUUCGAAAAUUUUGCAGUACCAAGUGACAGUUUAAGAAUAUGAUAAUCAUACGUUUUUUUUCCUUUUGUAGAUAUGACAAUUUUUAGUGUGUCAAAAAUAUGAAGUGUAUCGUAUAUAUCAAAGGUGUAUUUUUGUUUUUACUCCCAUCAAUUUUAUAGUGGAGAUAUGCUAAAUUCACAUCAUAAUUAUACUUUUCUAACUAUGAAUUAUAAAAAUAUAUUAAAAGGUAAAAAGUAUAAUAGUUCACACCUUUCGAGGUUUGUAUUCAAUUUAAUUUUUCAACUGACCACUAUAUCAAUUUAAAUUUUAAAUUUUCAAAAGUGUAUUUCUUCUUAAUCAAAAUAUUGUGUUAAACUUUAUUGAGUUUACAUUUGAAAAUCAUCAAAACAUUUAAAAUCCUACACAUGUGCAUGUAGAUGUUUUCGAUCGUCGAAUUAAUAAAAUGAACUAUUAAACAAAAUUGAUAGAUGGAUAAAUUUCAAACAAAAUGUUGAAAAGUAUUCCAAAUUGAUUCGUGAAGAAAGUUUAAGCAUUUAAUCAAUAAAAUUCAAAAACAAAACAAAACUCUUGAAAAGUGUAGGAAUAUAAAUGACUAUUUUUACAAUAAUAUUAUAUUGUUAGACAAAUCCAUAGAUAGUGUAUAUACUAUGCUUAUACUUCCAUCGUUUAUUAUUUGGUGGUAAAGGCACCAUGGAAUUGUGUAGAUAUCAAAUAGAGUGAAAAUCUUUUGUUGGAAACACUUUUUCAUAAUUACCUCAAACAACAAUUGAUGGAUUCAAAGGAAAAGAGGCAAUAAUGGUGGUGGAGGGGUAAUAAUUCCAUCAAAUAAUUAUAUUUCUUUAGUGCAUUUCCUUUAGUUGUAUUUUGAUAAUUAAUGGAAUGAUUAAUUAUUAUGCUCAAUACCUUUUUUUUCAUACCAUAAUUAAGUUUGGUCUUGCAUUAAUGAUAAAGUUUUGAAUUGUACAUGUAUGAUGAUUUUUAACUAUUGUAUUUUUUAAUUUUGUUACGGUACAACUAUGGUGGAUGGUUAACAGUUAAAUGAUGUUAGUUCUUAGUUCAUAAUCAACAGGAAGCUAUUAGAUUAAAUUACGAUAACGAUUUAAUGGUUGGAAAGACAAUUUUGGAAUACAAUGGUGGUAGUUUAUAUGUAGCCAACAUCAUAUAUUUUCAAGCUAAGUUUAAAUAAUGGAUGAAAAAAAUGUUUCAUAGUCCAUUUUAACUUGUCAUUCCUAUAAACUAAGAAAACUCCAUUAUCAUUGUCUCUUCUUUCUUUGUUAAAAUACAACUCAAUUCACAUCAUGAGAAAAAAUGGUUAAGUCAUAGAGAUUAGGAUCAAACCAUGGGGACUGUUUUUAAGGUUUUAUAUAAAAAAAGAGCUGACAGAAAAAAUAGCAAAUUAAUUUACUGGUUUAUUUUAGAUAAAUGACAAAAUUUAAUUUAAAUCGAUAAUAUAGCAAAAUUGUUAAAAAUGAAAAGCAAAAAAGCUGCAAAAAGACGGUGAAAAAAACCCAUCACAAAUAUAAUUAUUUCAAAACCCAAAAUACCUUAUAAUUGAAUUAGACUCCUGACUAUUACCAAGAUCGUUUCAACUUUCUCUCUAAUUUUACCCUACCAAAACUAUCGAACCAAUUAAAAGCCAUAAAAUUUCAAUUUUCCCUCAAACUCAGUUCGUCUACCCUCAUCUCCAUUGAAGUCAAUUUCAAAACUUGAAGUAAAGUGUCAGCUACUAUAACCUUUGAAAGAGCAGUGAUAGUUCACAAAAAAUCCUCUCAACUAAAAGAAAGACAUCCAACUUCGAUUUCUGCAAAAACAAAGUUUGUUUUGCCUUUUCUUCUUUUGUGUUCUCCUCUGAUUCCUGCAGCUUAGUUAAAUUGAUGGUUAAUAGCACAGUGUCAAUUAUCUUGAUGGACCGAUGCAAUCAGUCAUCCACUCCACCAUAAAUUGACUGUAACAGUAUCCAUUGAAUUUCUCCUCUAAAAAUAUCAACAUGCAUAAAAAUAUUUAAAUUUCACAAAAACAUGGGUGUUAUGGCCUAUUUUUCUCAAAAUGUUUUUUUUUGUCGGAUAUUUCUCAAAUUUAAAGGAACCUUGGGCCUUGGGCCUCCUCCCCACAAAAAUCUCGUUGGGCCAUAAACGAGUUACCCACUACCCAAGGCGUCCACUUUAUUCAUCGGAGCUCAGGUUGCAUGAACCGCGGAGCUCCGUCCAUCAAUGGCCAUCAACAAGCCUCCUCCUACUACAAAUUCCGACAACGAACGCAUCGUUAUUGGAUCUGCCAUAGCCUCACGGCUUCUUCUACUCUUCUUAAUCGUCUUCUGGCGUUUUCUCCUCAGCCCUUACGACACUUCAGCAUCGCUUAAUCCUUCAUGCUUAAUCAACCCAUCUUCUUUACCCCUCACCCAACAACCAGUUCUUUUUCCUCAAAUUGGCUCCGCCAUUGAGAGCAGCAUUGUCUGGGAUGGCGUCUACUUCGUCCGAAUCGCUCAGUGCGGUUAUGAAUAUGAGAAAUCCUACGCCUUCUUGCCCCUUCUCCCUUUCUGCAUUUCCCUCCUGUCCCGCACAGGUUUGCUAUUUAUACUUCAUUUCGUUGUUUAUUCCAUUGUUAUUUUUAUUUUAUUGGUUAUUAUGUAGAAUGAUCGCUUCUUACAUUUUACUUGGGUGGCUUAUGAACAACUGCCGAUGUGCUUCGGGGAUUAAUUCAUUUUUUGUGUGGUUAAUGCGGUUCUAAUUUUGGUACAGUAUUGUUGCCUUUGGUUCCGGUAAUUGGGCAUAGAGCUGUAUUGGGACUGUCUGGAUAUCUAAUUAAUAACAUUGCUUUUGUCCUUGCUGCACGUUAUCUUUUCAGGUGGGUUUGUUGAGAUUACGAGUUUUUGGCCUGUAAUUCUUAGGUUUAUACUCUGAUUUUUCAAAUGGGUAAAUAGCCAUUCAUCUGCUUUUGUACUUUCUUGCUUUUAUUCUAUGUAAAAUCCUGACAUCUUCUACCUGGUCGCUGUAAUAGGCUUUCACUUAUUAUUUUGAAGGAUGCGGAAGCAGCAAUGCGGGCUUCAGUUCUGUUUUGCUUCAAUCCUGCUUCUAUAUUUUAUUCAUCAUUGUAAGUGACUUUUUCUUUCCUAUAUCACUAUGGGCGUAAAAGGUUUUGAUGGUGAUGGACUAUACUUGCAAUUGUAGAUAUACUGAGAGUUUAUACUCGCUAUUUUCAUUGGGUGGAUUAUAUCACUUGAUGAGUGGUAGAAGUAGUGUUUCUGCUCUGUGGCUAGCUCUUUCUGGCUGUGCUAGGUCCAAUGGAGUGCUUAAUGCUGGUUACAUCUGUUUUCUGACUAUGCAUUGGGCUUAUGAUGCUCUUUUUCUGAAGAAAUGUAUCCGUGUAAGUAUCCUUUCUAAUUAAUUGAUAAUGAGUUUUAUAAUGUCUGUUUGUUAAGUUAUCUUGGUUGAGAAGUAAUGCAUUUCUCUAAUUGUUUGUGUUUCUGAUUUAUUGGUCAAAUUUCUCUUUUGAGUUUUCCUUUUGUGAUGCAGAUUUCUUGUGCUUUUAUACAAGACAGAAUCGAGUUGUUUUGUAAUUAUUCUCUUUUAGAUAUUGGUAAAAGUUGGAGUAUUUUUAUGUAAGCUCUUAGGCAAUUUUGAGGAGAACUCAUCUGCUCUUUUAUGCUUCAUUUUCUGAUGGAGUAGGUCCUUUUACCCUUCUUUUUACUAGGAGAUUUCUUUGGAAAGUUGGGCUCUUGAUUAUUUUGUAGUAUAUUUGGUCAGAGAGAAAUAGAAGAGUUAAGGUCCUUAAUCAAAGUGGCUUUAUUUAAAAGAAAAAAAAAAAUUUAGAUAGACAAAAUUUCACAUUUAUUAGAAGAAAAGUACAAGAGACGGUGGACAAAAGCUUCAUUUAGGAAGGAACUUAAGAAAAAGCAGUCCUGUAUUGUUUAACUAUGAUAAACAAAAAGGAAGUUGAAGAUGUAAUGUUCUAACUUUGUUUCAUGGUCAGCAAUGUAGCAUUAAUAAUAGUUUAUUAUUUAUUCCAGAAGGGACUGCAGGUUCUCAUUUCUGGAGCCCUAAACUGUGUCUUUAUAUUUGCUCCAUUCAUUGGAUUUCAAGCAUAUGGGUAUUACAAUAUUUGCAGUGGACGGAUACCAGAAGAAAUGAGGCCAUGGUGUAAAGCUAGGGUACCGCUGCUAUACAACUUUGUUCAAAGUCACUACUGGUAUUGACUUUUUAACUUGCCCAGUAUUCCAAACUUUAUAUCAAUAUUCUGUAGACCAUAGAUGACUUCGUAAUUAUUUUCAAAAUCUUUAGAUAAUCCUGUAAUUCUAGGGUUUCUCAUAUAUAAAUGUUUGAACUUGAAAUAGUUUGGAAGUGUAGGAACUUGUCGACAGAGAGAAUUAGGUUACAAGAAUCAGUUAUUAAUCUAACUAUCAAUUUGAACAACUCAGUAUCCCAACUCUAGAGGAUACUAAUUAUACUUUACAAGUGAGAAAAAGAAAUUAUAAAUUUUAUCAAUGAAGAGAAUUUUACAAAGAAUGAGUCUGUCAAGACUCGACAGGAUAAAGUUUCUUCUCUCUGAAGGAAGAGUUAUGAAGAAGAAUAGGGUUCCAAUCACUGCACAAAAAUUCUAAAGGAAUCCAAUUCAUAACAUUGCAAAUGCAAAGUUAUAGACAGCUUCCUAACAUCCCCUGAUACUGACAGGAUGAAUAUGUUAGAUACCUAGAUUAGUAUAGGGCUAAAGGUAGUUAGUUAUGUAGGCAGUUAGAUGGUUAUAAAUAGGAAGUUGGGGAGGGAAGAAAAGGGAGAUUAGUUUUGUGGGUAGUUUUUCUGCACUCUUUCUUGUUCUUAGUUAGUUUCUAUAUUUUCAUUUCAUAUCAAAUUUUUUUUGUAAUAGUGAGUUUAUAUCAAUUGAACAAGAACACGUUUAUUGGUGUUCCAUCAGAAUAACAAUCACAUCCUGAUGCUAUCAUACUCAUUAAGGAAGCAGUGAGAUUAUGUGGCUUCCCACGUUCAAUUAUCUCUAAUCGUGACAGGAUAUUUGUGAGACUUUUGGAAUGAAUUGUUUAAGAUACAAGGAACCCAACUUCAAAAAAACGCCACCUUCCAUGUUUAGAUGGACGAACUAUGUGAGAUUGUCAACAAGUGCUAGGAGAUCUAUGAAGAUAUUGAAGAAAAUGAUUUGUAAGAACAUCUUUUGAAUUUUCUUUUGUUACAUGUCAGGAACCAUGCGAUUUUGGUAAGUUGAAAGGGUGGGAUACUUUGGUUGGGUGUGAAGUAGGACCAUUUCCUUCUUCAUACUUGCAUCUCCAUUUGAGCCACAACCACAAGAUUUGUUUUUGGGAUCUCAUAUUGAGUUAUUGUGAGUAAGAUUCAUAAGAGACUCGUCUUGGAAAGAGCUUUUUCUUGAAAGGUGGUGGAUUUACACUCAUUCUAUUUGCGGAGUUCUCGAAAGAGGUUGCAACGAGAUGGUUGAGAAGUUCCAUCUCAAUCCUUCUUUUUCAUGAGAAUGAAAGGUUUUUAUGGUGAAUCGGGAUGUGUGCAGUCUUGUGGGACUUCUGGGGAGUGCAGAGCAAAGCUUGAGAGAUCGUUGAGUGAUGUUUGGUUUAUUGCUAGUUCUAACGUUUCUUCAUGGGCCUCAAGUCUAUUCUUAUGUGAUAGAAGGCCCUUGUUUUAAAUUGUCCACUUUUAAGGAGCUUUACUUUUUGUAUCCUCUUGUAUUAUUUCAUUCUCUCUUAAUAAAUCCUCUGUUAUAAUCCUCUGUUAUUCAUUAUAUAUAUAGAUAGGUAGAGUCUAAUUUUAAGAGCUUUAUUUUUUUGGGGGUUUUUACAAAAAUAACAAAAAAAUUUAUGAUAAUAGAGUUUAUGUCACAACAUUUUCUAAAUUCUAAAUUUGCAAAAGUAGCAAAUUUAAAAGUGAUGACCUCUGAUAGCCAUAUGAUUGUCGUCUGAUAGCCUUAUGAUUACCGUCUAAUAGUCGUCUAAUAUCACUAAUUUUACCAUAUUUGCAAUAUGCAAAAAAUUGAUGUCAUGAGCUUUUUUUUUCUAAAUAUUUUUGUCAUUUGAUGCAAUUUCCCUUAUUUUUUUAUGCUCUUGAUUUAUUUCAUUUCUGCUCAAUAAAUCCUCUGGUAUUCAUAUAGAUAGAUAGAAUAUAACUUCAAGUUUUUUUGGACACUCAAAUCGGAAAUUAAGGCUCUGGUAGUUUUCAAAGAAGCAGGCGCACAGGAAAAGAAAGCAUGUAGAUUUAAUUGUUUAUACAAUUGGGAAAUAUCAUUCGAUUUUCAGUAUUCCUUACAAACUAUUGUGAAAAGACAAUACGUUAGAAAUGUUUACUUUGUUUCAGAAAUUCAUUAUAAACCUCUUUUCAGAUUUUAUUAUUUAUAUUCUAAUUGAAAUUGCUAUGCUCUUUUUUUAACAUCUUGCAUACGUCUUUUGGGAUGGCAGGGGAGUAGGUUUCUUAAAAUACUUUCGAUUCGAACAGCUACCAAACUUUCUACUUGCAUCCCCAAUUUUGUCUUUGGUUUUUUUCUCAAUUCUCCACUACGGAAAGUCAAAGACAAAGCUUUUAUUCUCGGUGGGUUUCCAACCAAUGGAUGAUGAUAGAAAUUCUGCUGCCAUGCUUUACUUUCCAGAACGUGUUUCAAGGUCAAGCACACCUCAUACUACAUCUUCCUCUGGGUUACAAGGUAAUGCUUAUUUUUCAAUGGUAAUGUAACAAGAUUUUGUGUUGUAUGAGUAGGUAUAAGUUUUGAAAUUGAGUAGUAUCUUGUCUUGACUUUCCUUGUCAUUUUGUUUUGUUGCAAUUUUUAAAGCACCUUAAGCUAUUAUUUCAUAGGAAAUCAGAAUCUUAGACAGAGAAAGAAGAUUUUUGUACAGGAUCCUGCUGAGCUUGCAGUAGAGGAUAAACCGUCCAAUGGGUCAGGAUACUUUUCUGCUCUUGUACUUCCAUUUAUCCUACAUUUGGGGUUUAUGGCUGCCACAGCAUUUUUUAUCAUGCAUGUACAGGUUUGUCUCCUCUCCAUAAUUUGUACUUUUUUCAAAAGAAUAUGUACAUGGUGUGUGCUGAAGAAUAUCAUUUGCUUGCUUUCUGUUAUUUCAGCUACGAGUCAGCAUUAUUGUUUGCAUUAUAAAUCUAGUUUCAAUAUAUAUACAUAUAUAUAUAUAUAUACACAUUAGCAGCUGUUGAAGACAACUAUCAAGUAAUUUUUGAGUUUGGAACCCUCUGGUCCUAUGAGGCAAUAGUUCUCAAGUUAUUCCUUAUAAAUACCGAUAAAUAGUCCAUAUGGUAUGAAUUGUGUACGAGAAUUUUAUCAAACCAUUAGACUAUUUGUGAGAUUUUAUUAAAUCAAAUGGAUUAAAUUCCAAUUAUAAAUCAUAGGGACUGAAUUCUAAGUUUCUCCAAACGAUUCGAACCAAAUUUGCAAUUUAACCCUAAAACUAUGGUUCAUGUUGUAUGGACAUUACAUAGUUAAUUUUCUAUAUUUUAGAGAGUAAUAUUCAGCAUAAGCCUCUUCUGUUAGAAGCAUAAGUUAUUCAAACCCUAGCAAAUAGCAAAACAAAUCCAUAAAAACAUUCUAAGUUCCAUGUCUUGUUUUUAAGCUUAGUAUCUCAGAGUUCAGAAUUCAACAGGUUGCAACACGAUUUCUCUCUGCAAGCCCUCCUCUCUAUUGGUUUGCCUCAUACAUUACAGUUAAGCGAUGGAGAUAUAUUAUCUGGGCAUACUCUAUCGCAUAUAUCCUCCUCGGUAGUCUGCUGUUUUCAAAUUUCUACCCAUUCACAUGAUUUGUUGCAGCAAAACAACACUUUAGCUUUGGUAUCGAAUCAUCUUGGUUGCUGAUGAUCGUGCUAUUGCUUCAUAGUCCACACUGUUUUGGAUGAGAAAAAAUGUUUAGAACAAGAGCCACAAAGUUCGUUAUAGUUCAUGUAUUAGGGGAGUUCUUCGAGUAGAAGUUAUUUAAGUAAUUUAAAGAAAUUUUGUUCACCUUGUAUGUAAUAAUUGACUUAAUGAGGGUAAUUGUUGAUUACCAAGUUGUAUAAUUGCUUGUGUUUCAGGUUGCUUUUAGGUACUGUCUUCAAAUACAAAGCUUUCCUAACUAUUCAAAUGUUCCAUUUACAAUUUCUUCUCCUUUGUUUAUAUGUAAAUAUUUGGUUAGUUUUAGCUUUUGAAUUUCACUUUUAAGUUUAUUUUAGUCACAAACUUUUAGAGAAAUGUAUUUUCACUUUUAAAAAGUGAUUAUUUCAAUUCCGUUCUUUUAACAUGAGACUUUAUUUGCGACAGUUCUUAAAAUAAAACCAUAAACUGAUAAUAAAAAUUUUGAACUGUGUCAAAUUUAGGUUAAAAUUUUGUAACUUUGGAUCAAAACAGUCACUUUUUUAAAGACUAAAACAACAAUUUAAACUUUUUUUUUUCUACUUAAGUUUAGUAGGAGAAUGUUGAUUAUUAGUAACUAUAAUCCAAGUCCAACGACAAUGGUUAGAUGUCAUUUUUAAAUACUCGUCAAUCGAAUUGCUGCUUUUGUUUACAGAUUUAGACAAUGGUCUCAUGUGUCAAUACAAACUAAGCAUAAUCAAAUGAAGCUCAAUUUUUAAAUUACAAUUAAUUCAUUCUCAUUGCACUUAGUAAACAUGGUCUAGAUGCCGUCUUACUACUUUAUAGAAAUGAUGAUUAAAAAUGGUUAGUGAUAGUCUGACCAAGUCCAUCUAAAGUUUCAUAACUAAAUUUCAUAAAAUUGAAACCUUGAUGUCGAUUAAAUAACCUAGGCCUAUCAUAAAACGAUCACAAUGAGACAUUUCUUCUAAAAGCAAGUCCCUAUCAACAUUAGAGAUGGAUUAGUUUCAACUUUCAAACACUGUACAAAGAAGUUGAGAUACAAUAAUACAAAGAGAUCAAGAAAUAUCUCAAACAGAGGGACCAGAUCUGAGCACUCUCUCCAGUUUCUCAGCUUUUGUGUAAUCAUUUUCAUUGAGAGGCCCAGCAGGGAAUGGAGUUAUUUCCACAAUAAGAUGUGGGGUUGGAAGCUCAUCAAACAAAGCUCUCACAUUGUUGCAACAAACACUCUCCCCAUGAGCACUUUCCCUCCUGAUUUGACAACCCUACAAAUCACAAACCUCUACAUUGUGAUGUCUUUGAGAAUAAUCAUGCAAUUGAGCAAAAAACGGAACGGUUUGUGUGUGUGAAGAGUGAACAGGAUGGAUAACAAGCAUGAUGUGGAAUGGAAAUGGAGGAAUGAAUAAUUCUAGGAUUGUGAUUAGAUUUAGAACCUUGUGAGAUGUGGCAUCAACGAAGUGAUCGUCGUCGGAAAGGAGGGACAUGAUGGCUUUAAGAAGACGCCGUCCUUCGGAUUUAGAUGGCACUCGAUAGUUCCUUCUGAGGGUUCCCUUUGUGGUAGGAUGCCAUUUGCUCACUAGUUUUCUUUUAUCAACUGCUUCAUCCACUGUCAACAAACACAAGAAAGUAUGAUUCAUUCAUCCACUGCCAAUUCCAGAGGUUGAGGAAAGAAAACACUGAAAGGGAUUAAAACAAAUUCCUUUAACCACACUUUUUAAUUUCAUAUACAAAACUCUAAUUUGCUUGUAUCGUUCCAAAUUCCAAUUUUAUCAGAUGUCUCCAAAGGGGCGAUACAAAACUCUAAUCUAGAUAUAUUAUACAAUUCAACAGAGCUACAUAAGGUGUAAAGAAAAGAAUCAAAGAAUACCAGAUAAUUAGCAUACUAAACUCUAGGAUCAAAUUAAACAAAAUGUUGUAAGCAGAGUUGUUCAAUGUUUAUAAGUAUUCCAUGUUUAUUAGACUAAUAAACAUGGAACAACUCUAGAACAUUCACAAAGAUCACUGAGAAUUAUAGAUGGUCUGCCAAACCUAGCAUUCAAGACUUUCUUUUAUAGGAAACAACUAUAUUACAAAAAGAAAACUCUAUACAAGAGAUCCCCAUCAAAUAGAGUAGCAAAGUGCCUUCCAACCCAGCAUUCAAGAUUCAGCAGAAGAAUGGAUUAACAAAGCCCCAAAGUAUUAGUUCCAACAAUGUUUACAUUCAUAACUUAACUGCUAAAACUUUUUCUAUUAAUCUUUCGUACCCUAUCAAACAAAAAGAAGUCAUUCAAUGUCAACUACAUAGCUAAUGAUUAUUGAAGCUUCAGCCAUAUGAUUUGUAGAAUUUUAGUCCCUUGUUUCAAUUCAAAAUCAAAACAAAAGGCAACGUUGAUCAGUGAAUUCUUCAGUUAAUGUAUCCUUCAGUGUAUUCUAACAAACUAUGCUCAGUUUGGUAAGUUGAUAAAAUUCCUUUACAUAACCCACAAAUCAAGCAGAUUUAAAAGAUCACCAACAAACCUGGCUUUCCUCUUACGCUCUCCAACCAUUUAGAAAACCCCAAAUCACUGCUGCUUUCUCCAUCAGAACUACCACCAUAGGAUAAGUCCAAAUCUGGAAAGAAAGAAGAACCAAAAAAAAAAAAAAAAACACGAACACAAACACAAAAUUUCCCUAUAAAAAUCAAAUCCCAUAAUAAAAAAUAAAAUAAAAAAGGAAAGGAAGAUUGAAAAGGCAAGAAAAUCAGAAAGAAGACGAACCAGAGAUAAGUGGGUUGGAUUGAGAUCCAGCAAGACCAGCUCUUAGAAGGGCAUAGAAGAUGCAAAGUCUACCAGCCCACAAAAUAGGAGCUUCGAUGAGAGAAGCGCGAGUGGAUGAAGGAGAAUUGAAGGUGUUGGAGAGGGAUUUGUUGGAUCUUGUUUUGUGGAAAUGGAGGAAGGUUGUGAGGGCAUUUUUGGGGUGAGAUGGAAAACCAGGGAAAAGGGAUUUGGGGAGAAGAAGAUUAAUGGAAUUGAGAGAGUGAAAAUGGAAGGGGAAAGUGGAGGAUUGGGAAGGGGAAAUGAGAGAGUGAAGCAUUGUUGAGUUGUAGACUGAUGAAAUGCUCUCUAAUCCACGCAGUGGCAGUGCAUAGCGAGGGAGACAAGCUGACUCUUAGCCUUUCUACUCACAAAACGCUACCGUUUAACCCCUUGAAGGGAUUUUUUCUAUUUUUCUUUUUGUAAGUACAAAUGUCUAACCAAGCAAAUUAAGAGCAAAUUCAAGUUAUAUCGUUAAAUAAAAGUAAGCAUUGGAUAGAAUCAUGGUUAUAAAAAUCACAAAUCAAAUCAACCAAAAUUUCAUUCAAGUUUCUAAACUUUUUUAUCAACAGGUUUUCAACAAUUUGAGAAUCAGUUUGAAUCCAAAGAGAGAAAAUAUCGUUUUAAGAGCUCUAAUCAAACAUGUCAAAGGACUUAGCAAGCAAUUCAAUUUUGUUGAGCAGAGAUGUAGACAAAUUGAAAAUAGGAAGGAUGGUGAGUGGGUCCAAAUGGGCCAUUUUAAUGCCUUAUCCAAAUGCAAACAAUGUAUCUAACAAAAGUCUUUAAUUUCCUAAGAAGUUGUAACUUUUGGAACUUACGAAAUUAAUAGCAAGAGUGAUUUUAGCCUGUCAAACUCACUUGUAUUUAAAAUAAUCAUGUUUGACAAUAAAAUAAAAUUAAUUUUUAAAAAAUAAAAAAAAAAUCACUUUAAAUUGAAGUGAUUCUUCUUUAGCAAUGGUAAGGGAAGCAUCUCCGAUAUUAUUAGAAAUAAACUAAUAAAAUUAGAUAUUUAUUUAAAAAAUUGACAACCACUUUCGGCAAACUUUUGAUUUUUUUUUUUUUUUUUUUUGUAACUACGACUGCUUUUCUAUAGCCAUCGAUCAAUGUUUGAUGAUCACAUUUCUUGGAUAUGGGAUGAAAUAUAGGUUGAGACGUAUGUGGAUAUUUUUUAAAAUGUAAAAUGUAGGUUUUGGUUGUUAUCGUUUUGUAAGUUGUCAUUGUUUUGGUUCUAGAGAAAAGUUUAUGAGCAACACUAUUUUUUUUUUUUGUAAGUUAUUAUUGUUUUGGUUAUGUAAAGUAAAAUUAUUUAGUAUGUAAGUUGUUAUGUUUUGGUUGUAGAGAAAAGUAUAUAAGUUUAUUUUUCAAAGUGUGUUUAUUGAAUAUGUUUCUAUUUUUUACUUUUAUUUGUUUUUCAUAUUCAACUUUCAAUGGAGAUCACUUCAUGGCAUGCAAAUAAAAGUUUGUGUACUAUUUAUGUAUUGUUUAUUGAAAUUUUUGUUACUUUAGAUUAAUUUACUAUUUUUGGUAUGUUAAUUUUGUAAGAAACAAUUGUAACUUUUAUUGAAAUAUUAAAUAAAUUCUAGUAUUUUCUAUUUCUACCGUUUGAAUUGUGUUUAGGUACAAACCAAAAGUAUGGUGGAAAAACAAUACAAACAUAAAAUAUAUAAUUUUUUUAAAAAUAUAGGCUUCUACCCACAACACACUAUUUUAUAGCGUCGACAUUUCGUGGAUUUGUCGACAAAAUCUAUAAUUGUCGGCGUAAUAGAGCUACAUCGUCGACAAUACAAGGAUAUGUCGAUGACAUUCUUACAUCAUCGACAUAAUAAAUGCCCACGAAAUAUUUUCACCGUUGGUGAAUAGCCCUUUCACCGAUGGUUAACUUCUAAUGUGGGCAUAGUUUCGUAGAUUCAAUUCUGUCGGCAUGCAAUUUCAGUAUUCACCAACGAUCACUUUUUCGACAUCAACGAAGGCUCUUUCAACGAACCUACACCAACGGUUUGUGUCAACAGCUUAAUAUCGUCAACAAAAGAAAAGUCGACGCAUUUUUGAAGAUAUGUCAACGAUUUAUGUCAUCGGCAAAAUGUCAAAUUCUUGUAGGAAUUAAAUUUUUGUAUUUAAAAAAGUGAUAUAUAGAGUUGGUGUGAAUGAUUAUUUAUUAUUUAUUACUAUGAAAAGAUAUUUUUUUCGAGAGAGAAAAUUGUCAAUAUAAUAAUUAGAUUAAGAAAGUGAUUAAUGAAGCAACAUUUAAAAAAAAAAAUCAAAUAUUAUCAAAUUUGUGAUAGCUAUCAAUGAUGAGAUAAAAAUCUAUAAUUAAUAUAUUAUCUUAUAAAUAUUAAUUUAUCAUUGAUAGACCAUGAAAGUUUAUGACAGACUUUAUUAUAUUUACAAUUUAAAAUAAAAAGUUAGUUUUAGACAUUAAUAUUUCUUAAAUUGCAUUUACACAUUUAUAACUUUAUUAAAAAGAUGGCAUUUGGAAAGAAAGUGUCUGGGCUUUAUGGAUAUGAUCAUUGGGCUUACCUAUACAAUGCAUAAAUAUCUUCUCUUUCUCCUUUCUAGGCUACCUUAUAUAUAUUUUACUUUUAACUUUUUCCAUUUCCUACUUAAUCCAUAAUGAUUCGACUUAACAGAAAACAUAUCGUAAUAGGUCAAGAGUAAUUAGACAAGAAAAAUAAAUUGACUUAAAAAUAAUUAUUACCUAUACCUUUUUAUUUUUGUCUAAUUGGGAUUACCAUGGUUAGACUAAACAUUAUCAAAUUAGAACAAUUGUUUAAAAGAAAUUGUGGUUUAUUAAUUUAGUAGUCUACAACCCUUCUUUUAAGGGUCCAAAGUUUGCAAAUUUUACAUUGUUUUUCAGCAAAAUAAUACUGCAUGCAAACACCAAAAUGCUCCAUUUCAACAAAGGAAUGAUCCUUCCUAAUAGAUCUAGAAUCUCAACCAUAACAUAUUUGAAAAUAAUCGUCAACAGGUUAUUUGGUCAUUAAGUAAAAUAAAUUAAUAAGUUGGAGUUCAAAAGUUAUUUCACAUUUGAAACAUAGAGCUGUAAGAUUGAGUUUUACUCUAGUUGUGAAAAGUAAAAAGAUGAAGACAACGAUAGAAGAUAAUGUAAAUAAAUUAAAAAAAGAAAAAACGAAUUUGUUCGAAAAACGUAAAAAAUAGAGAAAUAAAAGAAAAGAAGUUAGUACUUUAAAGUUUAGUUAUCUAACACGAAGCUAAUACAAUUGGUUGCUCGAACAACCCUAAACUCAUUAAUUAAAAGUAUAGUUGUUGGUGUCUAUAACUUUGGCAUUUCAAUUCCUCUAACAACUCUAUCUACAGAACACCCCUAAUUUAUCAACUCUCUUAAUCGUUCUAGGCGUAUUUUUCUUUUCAUCAUUUACCUUCCUAAAAUAUGUACAUAUCUACAUUUCACUAAAUUAGCAAUCACCUUAAAUAUAUCUAAAGAAAUUGUAUUUGUGUUUUAAAUUAGAGCGCUUUGUUGUAUAUAAAAGGUUUUCAAUUAUAUACCAAAAUGAACUAACUUAUUUAUAAAUAUAGCAAAAUUUUAAUUUUUAUAUGUGAUAAACCACGACAGACUCAUAUAGAUAUCUAUUUACCUUAGUGACAGACAUUUGCAAAUGUCUAUUUUGAUCUAUCAUGUAGUCUAAGAAAAUUUAACCAAGAGAAAAAAAUAAUUGAAAUUACCUUUUCCUUUCUAAAAAGAAAAAUGUUUAAACGAGAAACUAUGAAAAACUAUGCACAUUAAUCAACCAUAUGAAAUGGCAAAAGGGUUAAAAGAUCGUGAGUUAAAUUUUUUAUUAUCAUUUACCUAAGAUUUAGUAUCUACGAACGCUUUUUACAUAUCUAAAUAUCAUAAUGUCAAAUUAAGUUUAUUGUCGUGUAUGAUUAGUCGAAUUACAGGCACUAUAUAAAAUAUAUAUACACACACGAAUGAAUGUUGAUUGAACUUACUGUUAGGAAUUUUAAUAUUAAAAAAAUUAUGAUGAAGUUAAUUAAAAUUAAAACUUAAAUAAUUUUUUCAAACUCUCUAUUAUUAGGGUUUUGAAAAAUCAAGAAUAUGUGUCAUUUUUGUAGCAUGAGAAAUAUAUAUAUUAUAUAUAUGCUCCACUAAAUCUGAAAAGGGCUGGAAGAGGGCUCUCAUCAUGAGUUAUAAAUAAUUAAUGAAAAAAAUAUUGUCCCAAUUUUGAUUCUACUUUUUAUUUUUUAUUAAAAAAAAUACAAUAACCAAAAUCACAAAUAAACAAAGAAAUAAAAAAGUCAUAAGUGGUUGUUUAAUAAUUAGGUUUAAUUAUUGGUUACAAAUUAUAGAGGAGAAAAUGGUCCUCCCUAUGUAAAGAAAUUUUUGUAACAGAGUAGCCUUUUCCCUAUUCAAAAUUUAAAACCAACCUCUUUUAUUGUGAUUUUCAAAUUAUAUGAUGAUAAUUUUAGUGAAUCUAUCAAAUUUUACUUAUUUAACUUCUUUUUAUAAUUUUAUAUAUAACCUUCUCAUAACGACAACAACCGUAAAUUUAUAAUUUGAAUAAGAGAGAAUUUUAUAAAACAAAAAAAAAAAAAAACGACUUUAAUAUUGAAUUCAAAGAAUAAAUAUAUUUUGAAUGGAUUUGAUUUAGGUUUAUCUUAAUUGGACAUGGUGUUUUUUUCUUUCAAUUGAUAUGUUAUUUUAUUUUUUAUUUUUUAUGUAAAAUUCUCCCUAGUUCUAAAAUUAAAAUAAGUAAGUAAUUGUGUAGAUGAUAUGAGAUGCAUUUCUACCACUAAUUUCAUAUAUAUUAUUUAACCUAAGUAAAUAGGUUUUUAAUUCUUAAUUGUAGCCUUUAUAGGGUUGAGGGGUCCAAAUUGUGUCAUCAACUAAAGAGUGAGGAUUUUGUUAUCGAGAAAAGAAAUGGUAAUAGAGAAGAAGAGAAAAAAAAAUCCAAAGGCUAACCUUAGGGAGGGGAUAGGAAGGAAGAGAGAAGCUGUGUGAUGAUUGAUAGAAGAUAAAAGAAUAAAUAUAUAGUUGGUCAAGCAAAGUUAUGGAGAAAAAAGGAAUCUAUUAUAAUAGGUGGUGGAUAUGAUUCGAGUCAAAAGACGUUUUAGUUGCUAGCUAGCUGACUACCAAAGGUAUAUGUUGGUUAACCUAUGUUUGCUAUAGAAGUGUUUUGUAUAAUAUGUGCUAUAAAUUGUUUUUUUAUAUGUCAUUUGAAUUUAUCCAUGAAAAUCUUGUUUUACUUAAAAGCAUGACUUAAUAUUCGAAUCAACGUAAGCAUGACUUAAUAUUCGAAUCAACGUUAAAUAUGAAUUUGGUCUCAAAUACUACUGGAAUAAUCAAUGACUCUAAUUCUCAUAGUAAGAUUUCUCACCAAAUUAUCAUUUUAAUAUAUAUAUUAUUCUUUUUAUAUAUAUAUUAUUUCUCUAUUUUUAUUAUUCAAAUUAAACUACAGUAUAUGUAUAAAUGAAAGGAACUAAAUUUUUUUAAAAAAAGUUGUAAAAGUGAGUGUGAAAUAUGGAAGCUAAAUCUAUAGGUGUAAAUUGAAACAUUAGAACUAAAAAUAUAUUUUGGAAAAAGUAAUAAUUAGACUUCAAAAGAUGAGCAAUUUUAAGGGUGUAAGAAUAUGGGUUGAAUCUGAUAACUCGAACUACCCGAACUAUUCAACCCAUAUUGUAUGGAUUGAGUUGAUUGGGUUAAAAAAACUUGAUUUUUUCGAGUUGGGUUGGAUCUUAGGUUGAAGGAUUGAAAAAUUCGGUUCAACCCAAUCCAACCCAAAUUAAUAAUAUAUAUAUCUAUAUAGUAUUUAUUUAAAAGGUCUUCCUCUUCUCCUUCACGCACGACAUUCCUAUUUUCGUUUGUAACCUUGAAUGUACAAAUAUAUAUAUAUAUAUUUAAUAAAAUAAAACUUAAAAAUAUAGGUCUUCCUCUUCUCCUUCACCUUCAAGCACGGCAUUCCUAUUUAUGUUUUUAACUAUGAAUGUUUGGAUUUAUGUAUGUUUAAGAACUUUGAAUUUAUUUAUGUUUGUAUAACGACUUUGAAUUUAUGAAUGCUUCAAACUUUGAGUUUAUAUAUCUAUAAAAUUUUGAAUUAUGUAUGUUUGAACUUUGAAUAUAUAUCAAUUUUGAACUUUUUUUUUUUUAGGAACUAUUUUGAAUUUUACAACCCUUGGAAAGUGUAGGGAAAAAAAAUGCAAUCCGACAACAAAACUCAUAUUUUAUGGGUUGGGUUGGGUUGGAUUGAGUUGGAAACUAAAUAACCCAAAAAUAUUGGUUGGGUUGAGAAUGUCUUCCAACCCAACUCGAUUACACCCCUAAGCAAUUUAUAUGUGUGUAAAUCGAUAAAAAUAAAAAAAUAAAAAAAAAAUUAGGUUCAAAACAUAUAAGCAAUUUUUAAAAAACACUUUAAGAGAUUAAAGAAAAAAAGAUAGAUUGAACAAGGAAGAUUUACUCUUUUUGUUUAUUUUGUAGAAUUUUUUUGAAAAAGCAACAACAAAUAAAAAAAUAUAUCAUUUUUCAUCAUUUUUACAAUUUCAUUUAUACGUGUGAAUCUUAUGAAGGUUGUGAGUUAGAAAAUCAAAUAUUUGUGUUAUAAAGACUUGCACUACGGUGAUGUAUUCAUGUUCUCCAUACUUCGACAAUUAAAUCACGAAUGUAGUGUUCAGUAAAAACGUGAUUAAUUAAGUUUUAGUACCUUUAUCAUAUGAUAGAGCUUAACUAUUUACGACCGCUCGUUUUUCAUGCAUUUAAACUUGUUCAUUAACGCAUGACAAUGUGUCAUCGAAAAAUAUGUCAAGGUAAUCAAUGGCAGCUAGAACAGUAAACCCAAGCUCAAGGAUUUCUAAUUUGAAAGUCUCACUGUUUCUUUUAGGUCUAGACCUUGCUUGAAAUUUGACCCUAACAACAUAAUUAUUAUUAUAUAAAAAGAUGUCCCAACCAAAUAUGUAGUAAGUAAGAAGUUGGAAUCGAGUAGUAGUAAUUAAUUUGGAGUAUAAAAGCUUUUUUAUUUCAAAAGAGAAAAAACAAAAGGAAAUAAAAAAAAAAAUAGAAAGAAUAGUAACUAGAAGAAGAAUGAUAGAAUGCAUAUGAAUGAUUGAAAAGAAAAUUUUGAAGGAAAAGUUUAAUAACAAGAAAAAAUGAUAAGAAGCACUUGGAAAGUACAAAUUGAGUUAUGAAAGUAAUUUGGUGUGUUUGUACUAAUAAAUUAACUAAUAUGCUCACAUGUGUAGCACUUUUGAUAUCAUUGGAAACAAAUGGUUAGUGGCCAAAAGAGGGAAAUAAGAAUCAAAAGGGGACCAACUAUGCCCUUUAAUUUUUUAUUUUUUAUUUUUUUUUGACAAAACUACAAAAAUCAUCGAAAACUAUAGCGGUGGUUGCAAUUAUAACCACAAACUUUCAAAAUUAAAAAUUAAGCUUUCAAACUCAUUCAGAAUUUAAAUUUUGACUUUCAAACUUACAUGAUUGUAUAAAUUAUUAUAUUGAUUUUAAGGUAUGAGAAUUAAACUUUUACGAUUACGGUAAGUUCACAAGGGUUCAUUUAUUACUUUUGAAAGUUUAAGGAUCUAAUUGCAAUAAUUAUCAUAUUUUAGAAGUGGUUUUUGUAAUUUGCCCUUUUUUUCAACAAGUGUGUCCUUUAAUUUAUCGCAAACAAGAGAAGAGAUCUAAUGUGUGUUUGAUCAAGUCAUACCAAAUGAUUGGAUUUUGAUAUCAAAUUUUGUGAUGAUAUAUCAAUGCUCAUUAUAAGGGUUGAUCAUGUAAAAAUAUGGCAUUCUUUUUUUUUUUCUAACAUGGUUUUAGUACUUUGUUUAAGAAAAGUCUUUUAAGGAUGCAAGAUAGAUUUCAAAAUUUCUAAAAGAAAAUUAAAAAUUAUUUACAAAAUUAGUGCAAAUUAUUGCAAAAAAAAAAAAAAAAAACUUUGAUUACAUCAUGUAUCGAUAAGAUAAAUAAAAUCAUGUGUUCAAACUUUGAUAAUGUUAUUAUGUAUUUAAUGUCAUCACAAUAUAAUCUUCAAUUAAUAUUAAUUUUUACUCAUUCAAAUUUACAACCAAAUUAAAAGAUUAUAAGUAAAGAAAGGGUGAAGUAUUCGUAAAAUUAAGUUUAUUUUAAUUUAUAAAUAUCAAUUUGAACUUUUGCCUUGAUAGAUGCUUUAACUAUCAUUACUUUUAAUCUAUGAAUUGAGACUUUUGAUCCCUCGUUUCAUACUGUUAUUAUACUAAAAAACUAUGAAACUAUUGAAAAUUUCAUAUUCUAUUUACGUUAAAAUCAUUAAUAUUAAUUGAUAGAAUAAAAUUUUGAUAUGUUUUAUAAAUAUUUUACGUUUAAUGUGUUAUAAAUUUGAAGAUUGCUUGAAUCAAUACUAAUAUAAAAAGAAAAUCUUUGGGAUAUAUACAUACAACUAAGUAACAUGCAAAAUCCAUAUAAAUUAACCUUCGUACCUAUAGCUUAUACAAAUUAUCUAUUUGUCUUCACUAAUAUAAUUUGAUUAAAAUAUUAUUUUAGUCUUUUUCUUUUUUAAUUUAUUCACUUUUAGUUCAUAUAUACUUAAUACAUCUUAAGUAUAGUAUCUUGCUAAUUUAUUGUUGAUUAAAGAUUGUAAUCUAUUAGUAUUUUCACAAUAAAUUUUAAAAAUAUAUUCAUCUUGUAUAGUUAGUAUGUUUAUUAUUUAUGGGUGAUUUUUUAUAAUUAGUAAAAAAAAUAAGAAUAAAAGCAAGAAGACCAAUAAAUCAAAAAAUAACAAAAUUUUAGACUGAAAGUACUAGCCUAAGCAUAAACGGGCUUAAAGAAGAUAAGUUCGUGCCAAAGCACAAACUUAUGUGUUUAGCUUCGGCCAAGGUCAAGGACAGUUUUAGCAAAAUAGUUAAUAGGACAUAUCCUACAUAUGCUCGGGCAAAAAAGGCAUUGUCCUAAGAUCAAAAUAAGGGCAUGGCUGUAAAAUUAUAGGAGAAUAACCUAGUUUUAAGUUUCUCUAUAAAUUACGUACACAUUGCUAUAAAUUCACGUGUUAACUUGAAUCUUACUCUCAAACUCUCUAGUUUCCACUCUUACUUGAAAAUUAUAUUAGAGUGUGUAUGGUCGUAAAGCACCACAUCAGAAUGCAAGUCUUCUCUCCUUCAAACAAAUCUAUUGUCAGUGUCACACGUGAAUGUCAAGUACGUUUUUCGAAUUUAAAUUUUGACAUCAAAAUUAUUUAACCAAUUUUAGUCAAAUAUAACUUUCAAAUACUAAACUCAAGUUUUGUUAAAAUUAGUAUAGAUAUUAGAACUGAAUAAAUUUGGAAGUAUAAACACUAAAAUGAUAUAUUAACGGAUAAACUAUUUAUAAUGAUUACAUAAGUUAGGAAGUUGUAGUUGUAUAUUAUUUGAUCAUUACAUUGGAGAGGAUGAACUUCAAUGAAAAUUAAUUAUAAUAUGAUUAGAACAAGCUUUUAGAUAAAGUUAUUAAUUGAUUUAAUUAAUUUUGAGCUGACAAAUGGCCGAAAGAAACGUUGGAUCCCACAGAGAGUUAUGAUUUUGAGUUAAAUAUUAGGUUUCCAUUAUGGUAAUACUUAAUAUUAUUUUCAUAUGCAUGAGAGAGACUUUAAUUUUCUUUUUUAAAAUAGAAAAAAGAACAAUAUAACAACUAACUUUUUGGGCAAUUAAGGUUUAAAUGGUUACCAUGUGCAUGGAAAUUAAAUAGUAAAAUAAAGGUUACAUACAUUACUAUUAUUUUCUCAUUAAUCAAAUAAUAAUUUGGCUAACUGGUUUGAAUAUUCCAUCGUUUUAGAAUCUUAUCAUUAUCAUUUCAAUGCUAAAAUGAGUUUAGCUCAAUCAUGAUUGAUAUCAACUUUUCGUCCGAGUCUAGUUGUGGAGUUGAGGGUUCUAUAAUCUGAUUUGCAUAUUGCAGAUUAAGUGGAAUCUACUAGCUUUUUCUAUAUACUUUUGAAUGAUAUUCCAAUUUUUCUUUUGUGUAUACCAAUAUAGUUAUCGUACUAUUAUAGAUAUUGUUUAUCAUUACAACCAAAAUGAGUCUUAAUGUUAAUUUAAAGAUGCUAUUAUAGAGGUACGAUGUCAGUUGUCAAAGUAGGAGAACUAUAAAUAUGUUAAAGUAUUAUUGUCAUUAUAGAUAUCGAUUAUCGAUUGACUCUAAAUGGUAACGGUAACACUAAUGAUAAAAACAUAAUGAUAUUAGAGUAAACAUCUCUUCCAAUAAUAAUUAAAUUACAUUUUUCGAAGGUAUAAGUAAAUGUAAUCAAAAGUAAUCCAAUUGUAUUUUACAAUCGAUAUACAUCAACAAAAAUCCACUAUGUGAUUACCCAUUCCUUAUUACGAUUAGUAAACAUAGCCUAUAAUCAAUAUUGCAAGUUAUUGUAAAAUUAUUUGAUGAAUUUCAUUUUAUUUAUUUUAAUUGCGUGAAGGAUCCAUUUGACUAUUUAAAAUUUAAACCUCCAAACGUUAUUUUAAAAAAAAUAAUGAUAAAGAUCAAUUUCAUUUUAAAAUUUCAAUCAAUCAAACUUGAAUCAAGUUCAACUAAUUUAAAUAUAUCUUCGAUCAAAACAUUAAAGAUUUGAAUUAUCACGUUAGAUAAACUAUAUAGUAAGUAGAUUUUAAUUUUAAUAAUUACAUAAAGUUUUGGAUUAAACUUUGGUAUGAUGAGGAAAAAGUAGAUUAGAACGUGCAAAGAGUUGCAAUCAAUUUAUUUAUACAUAAAGCAUUAAGAGUGAGUGUGUACAUAAACUUAUCUUUAGUUGCCCUUUAAUUACUAUUAAUUUUGUUAAUUUUGCUUUGGAAAAAAGGGGAAGGGUCGAGAAAAGGGGAAGACCCUUCCUCUUCAUCCCUAUCGUUUUUUUACGAGUGAUAGAAUCUAAAAGUUUAUUAUAUAUAUAUUUAGUAAAUAUUUUGUUUAUUGAAUAUAUCUGAAAAUAUCUGCUAACCAAUUAAGAGAUAUAUGAACUAAUUGACAAAAUUAUUUAAUCUCCGAAAUUUUAUUAGCUAGUAACUUAAUUUUUAAUUUUGUUGUAAAUUAUAAUCCAAUCUCUAUCAUUAAAAUUACCAAAAAUAAAGUGUUAAUAUUUAAUAUUUAAUAAAUUAGUCUAUAAAAACUUAGAAUAUAUAUACUUUGGUCUAAUUUGGUUUGCCUUAAAAAGAAAUUCAUAUUGCUUUCUUCUUGUGGGUUUGGUUUUAAGCAAUUUAUUGCUUUACAUAAUGAUAACCUCAAAUUACUACUUAACAAAAAUAUUUAUGACAUCAAUCCUAAAUUAUUAACAAUUUUAAAUUACAAAAAUGAAAGAUUAUUACCUAAUCGAGCAAUUAAUUAAAUCGUUACCAACUUUGGAUGGACUAAAUAAUUACUUCAAUUAAACAAUUACCAUCCUUUUUAUUUUUUAAAAAAAAUCUUGUUCUUUGAUCUUCUUAUCUUUAAAUAAGGAUUAACAAAAUUACAUGAACAUAGAUCACAAAAUCUCUCAUUUUCUUGGUGGUUAGAUUACCUAUAGAUUGUACUCAAUGAUAAAUUUUUACAAUUACUUGUAAAUUCAUUUUACUAAAUUACAAGUCAAGUCUUCCAAAAAAAAAAUUUAUAGAUGCAUCACUAACAAACAUUCUUCAUAUUUAACAUAAGAAUUUAAAAAAAAAAAAAAAAAAGAUGGGUUUGAGUUUUUUUUUUUUUUUUUUUUUUGUAAUAUAAAGUUCAUCCAUAAUAAUAAAAAAAUUUGUCUUAUUACAUAUAUAUUGAAAAAGAAAUAGUAAGAAGAGAAAUACAAUGUACAUAAUUAAUAGUUACUUAUUUAUAACUUUUACAAACCCUUGAAAUUACUUAAAUAUGUUAAUCUUACUGAAUAAAACUUUAAGAAAAAAAGAAAAACUUCUACAUACUUCACUAUUGUACCUGAAAUUUCACAAAAUAAUACACAUUGGGUUUGAGUAGUUUUUCUUAAAUAUGAAGUUCUUCCAUUAGAAAUUUACAAUGGUAAUUAACCAUAACAUGAUGAUAAUUAUGAUAAUUGGAACCUUUUCAAAUAUACAAUAUAUGACCCCAAAAAAAGAAGCCAAAAAAGGUCAGAAAUGCACUGACAAUGGCAUCCUACAAGUUAAGACAUAUAUAGAUAGAAACAAAGUUAUACUCAUAAUGCAUCCCUUUGUAAUUUUAUAUAUAUAUAUAUAUAUGUAUAUAUUGUUAUUAUUUUAGAAUGUCUCAAUUUUAGUCCAUGUUUUUUCAAAAAAAAAAUCUUAAAUUUAAUGGUUGUUAGCUUGUUUAUUGUUUAACUUUUCAAAUCAUUUUUUCCUUUGUUAUUUAUUAAUACUUUUUACUAUAAGUUUUGGAAAUAUUGAAGUUCUUUACACGGAAAAAUAUUAUUUCUUUACCCUAAUUUGAUAAAAAUAUUAACUUCGACAGAGAUUAAAUUUAAGAUUUUUUUGAAGCACUUUGCAAAAUGGUAUUUUAAACUGAAAAGAAAAAAAAAGUAAUUUACUUGAGAACUUACAAAUGAAUUAAGGGAAAAUUCAAUUAGUAAGAAAGAAGAAAUAAAGUAGAAGCAACAAAAUGGCAACACUCCAAGGAAACAGAAGCAAAAGCAGAAGAAACCCAACUCCCCAUGGGAAUCCCACAGCUGAAUGGUUGUUGUUAUAUCCUCCGUCGCGGCCGAGAGAUAGCCAGUGAACGGCAACAACCAAAAGCAACGGCGAAACAACGACGAGCCUCUGAAAUACCUCUGAUGCCGAGGCAACGGCGGCAUCGUACACGGCAUAAGCCAAGAAUCCAAAGAUUAUAAGAGCAAUGGUUGCAAGAAGCCAUUGGUCUGAAAAGCUCAAGCUUGAAGAGUUUCUACAAGUAGCCAUAAGAAUAGAGAGAGGGGGAGAAAAAAAGUGAAAAGGGUGUUGUUGUUUUGGUGUUUGUGUUUAGGAGUGGGAAAUGAUUUGUAGUUAAAAAGAAGUGAAAUGUGAAGAAAUACAAAAAUGGGGUUUUCUAGUUUUGGCUUUAUAUUGUGGUCUUUACUCAUACUAUUGGGUUUAGAAGAUAAAUAAUUGACUGUCCCAUUGCUGCCACAAUCAUACAAACCCUUAAAAUUACAUACAACACCCUCAACAACUCUAGUGUCUGCCUUUCAAUUAUGUUUUUUAACUUUUAAAAAGUAUCUUUGUAGAGUUUUUAAUUUUUUUUAUUAAAAUAUGAUGAAAGGUGACGUGUUGGUUAACGAGAAAAGAAAUUAAAAGGCAUGUGUGAUAUUGUUUUCAAUAAUGCCAUUUAUGUAAAUCGAUAAAAACCGAUGAUGUGAAAAUUUUUAUUGUUAAAAUGCCUUGAAUCUAAUAUUAGGUGCUCCGAAUUACUAAGUAUUGAGCCUUUGAUGGUUUGUAUUAAUAUAUAAUAUUAUAAAUUAUUCUCUUUAAUAAUAAUUUGUUUUUCAUUUGUCCAUGGUUAGUAAUUGUAGCUAACAAGCUGUUAGUUCCACGACUCGAGUUUAAGAGGGAGAUUACAUGUGAAAAGAGGAAUUAUGAAGACAUGAGAUAUUGGUAAAAAACACUUUAAAAGAAUUGAAAAUUACUAUAUAUACCAACAAGAGCGGUGUAUCUUCAUUUUCAUUAAUUCAAUCAUAAGAACUUUAAAGUUAAGUAUGCUAAAUUUACCUAGAUGCAUUUAAGUGAGAACAAAGCAUGUUGAAAGAAUUCAUGUUUGAAUAACUUUCACUUUUAGAAGUAUUCGAAACAAGCAAGAAUGAAGUUGUUAAGUCACAGAUGGGAGUGUCGAGGUCAUCAAGUGUCAAAUCCUAUACUUACAGUGUUAUAGUUAGUAAAUCAGAACCACAUAAGUCUAUAUGUUGAUUCUAUGUUGUUUAUACCAUAUUGCUAAUCGAUUUUAGUUAUAUGAACAAUUUUCGUUGUCAAAUCAAUUUAUAUCCUUUUAAUAAAAGAAAAAAUUGGAAUGAAUUGCAAGGUUGAUUGGUAUCUUUAGAAUAGAAAGUUGAUGAGUAAAAAAUAAAAAUCUUCAAAGUUUGAGGAGAUGAUUGAAAGUUUAGGGAUGUUUUAGUGUAAUUGAAGCUCACAAAAACAAGAAAUAUGAGAGCAAAUAAUUGCACCAACUGUCUAAAUAGUCCCCAAAAUGGAUCCAAACUUACACACCCUUUGCUUAUAAACCUAUAGAGAGAAAUAGCUUUGAAGUUAAGAACCACAAGGACACUUUAUUAAAAUGCUUUACUCUUCUCGCAUUUCUAUUUGCUUACUUCAAAGGAAAUGAAAAUACCAAAUUAAGAAAUCAAUAUGAAAACAAUUUGAAAUAUAACUCAUCAUCUCAAAUAUAUAUAUAAUAAAAAUUAAAAACACAAUGAGAUUUAUGUUGUUUUUUUUAGAAUUCGUACUAGCCAACCAAUAUAGACAUGACUCAAUUAACAUAAUGUAUAAACAUUCAAUCAAUUUUGAAUUCCCUACAUAUGAUGAUGGAAAAAAUGAAAAGGAAAACGUUGAAUAACAAAUACGUAGAUCUCAACGUAUUAAACAAUUAUUGUUGUUUUUAAAUAUGUGUGAUUAGGUUACACCUAUCCAAAAUCAAGGUGAUGCAUUUAAAGUCUCAAUUAAAACUUGUUAAAAGCAAAUAACAAAAAUCCAGACUUACUUUGUAUAAUUUAGCUUUUAAUUUAGACUAUUCUCUAAGAUCUCGAUGAUUUCCUUAAUGAACGUAAUAAAUACAAAAAUUAAUCUACUUCCCAUGCUUAAAAGAAGAGUUAACUCAAUGUGUAAUAAUUUUCUAUGAAGUUCAUACAAGUGUGUGUUUGAGGUGUAUAAUCAAGUUGAUUGAGGUCAAAAGUAUCUAGCACCAUUUUUGUAAUCUAAAAGACUUUGAUAUUUUUGUUGGCUAUUUUUGUUUGUUGAACUUUUCUUGGACAUUCAACUAAGAUACCAAUUUACAAACUUUACACAUACUUGACAAUUAUGUGCAUGCAACUUUUGUAAUUGAGCUACGCAAAAUACUUGGUCACCUUUCAUUACAACAACAAAACUGCAAUGUUAGGUACUUUACAUUCAAUUAGGCCUUCAUAUGUUAGAAUUAAGAAAUUCUUAUUCAAAGAAACAUCUCUUUUUAAAUAGAAAAACAAAUAACCUUAAAUACCUUAGCAACUUAGAUCAAAGUACAUGAAGAUAAGGAGAUAUUUCUUGCUUUCGUUCUUUACAAAGCUUAGCAUCUAACCUAACUCUCUAGAUCAGUAGCACAUGUCUAAAUGCCAACAAAAACUUAACUAAACUAACACGUGAGUGUACUUAAGAACCAAAAAGUUUCAUGCUCAAAUCUCUCCAACUAUAAUUUGCACUACAAGAAAUAGCAUAUGUCUAAAUUAAUUAAGUAAAAAUUUCAAAUUUUGUAUUUAAAAAUAUUUUCACCAACCAAGUUUUUUUUGUUUCAAGAAUAGAGUCAACUAAGUUAGUCAUUGGGAAUGAUCAACUAAGUCAAGUUAGUCAUUGGAUCAACUAAGUCAAGUUAGUCAUUGUGAAUGAUCAAUUAAAAUAGUGAUUAGAAUUCACCAAAAAAGUGGUACUCAUUAGAGCUGGUCGCUAGAUGUGACUCUUGCCAGAAGUGGUACUCAUAGAAUGUGAUCGUUAGUGUUUGUCAACAAUGGUUGUUUCCAAACUUAGUCAUCAACAAUGACUGAUGUGUAGAAUCAUUGCAAACAUUGGAGGUGAGGAGAUUUAGGUCGAUUUAGUAAUUUCAUCAACAACGGUGCCUCCUAGAUUUAGUUGGGUUGAGUUGAUAAAAACUAACCACCCAACUUAGUGAACAGAACAGCCAAGCAUUCUUAAGAUACUAGUAAAGAAAAUGGCAAAUUUUCAACUCGUUGGAUUAAAAGAUCAUACACAAUUCUUUGUCAAAAACCUUUUUAGUUCAAUUAUAAAUAAAGAAAAUUAAACUUCUAACCACUGGUUAGUUGAACAUAUACCUAAACUAGUUAAAGAAUGUGACCCGAUUGACUUGUAACUUAUUUUGCUUCAAAAUUCAAACCAUUGAAUCAAAAUUGGGUAUAUUUCUAGAGAACCUUAAGACAACUUGUAUAUAUAGCCAGAACAAUAUUGGGAAAUAAGAGUGUACCAAAAUGUUAAAGUAGAAAAACAACAUAAAAAAUAGAAACUAUCUGACUUUUUGCCAAACUGUGUUCAUUUUACAUGGUUCACAUCUUAAUAUCAAAAACUGCAUUAGAAAAAAAAAUUACAACGAUCUCAAGAACUUAAUAAAAUAAUAACAAGAGAUUCUAAUUACUGGAUGAGCAUAUAUCAUUACUAAAAUCAAAAAUCACAAUCGAUUCAAUGCGGAAAUCUAAUUCAAGUUACAGAAUAGGCACUGAAUAUGACAGAUUAGUGUAGUAUAAUAAAUGUCACAUAGCCAUGUAAUUGGUUGUGAUAUAAAUAUCAAGGCUAUCUCUUCGUUGUACAUUUCAACGAUACAACAAUGAGAUAGAGCGAAUAAUCCAACAUGUUAAGUCAGCAUACAAAAUAAUUUUAUAUAAGAUCUUUUGAAAGAAUUGCCUCUUCAAGCAACUUCUUCAGAUGAUUUAGAAGAACGUCGUUUGAGAAUGUUGGGAAAUCUUUUGGGUAGACUACAUACAGGCGUGUCUCCCGCUAAACCUUGAAACGCCAUGCCUAAGGAAUAUCCUAAAGCUCGAGCAACCGGUACCGCAACUGCAUUUCCUACUUGUAUGUACCUGUUACAUGACCAGUUCUUAUAUUGUUCGUGUUUUGGAAUAGGUACUUUGAUCACUAAUCUUCAAAAGAACAUAGUAUAUUAUUCUGGGGAUUCACUCACUAGAACAAGAAAAAUGACUAUGUUCAAUGGUGGUCAGUCAAAAAAUUGUUUUCUAAGGGACACGAAGCAAGUUUUUCUAAAACAAGAAACAGAUUAUUGAUAAAUGAAAACAUAUAAAACAAGAUGGAUAAAAUGCAAAUAAAAUACGCAGAAAAGGGGGAAAAUAAAACAAACAGGCUCGCCGAAAGGGCAUACUAACCAAAAACUCCAAAACAGCAGACUAGUCCACAAAGCAAGUUAUUGCAAAGGUCAACCAAAAGCCUCAAGAAAUAUUUGCUUUAAUUGAAUUGGUAAAGCAAUAUAUAUUAUGUUUCAGAUGGUGGAAUUAAGUCCUUCCUUAAAUGCAAAGUUUCUAAAACAUACCUUUCUUUCACAGGCCCAAAGAGCUUAUAAUAAUCUGGAAAGCCUUGAAGUCUUGCAUUUUCUCGAAUCGUCAUUACUCUAUCUUGCUCUGGAUGUGUAAUUGCCUGUACGUAUCAGUGGACAACACAGAAAUGAGUUGGUUGAAGGCUGGUUUAUACUGGAAAAUUAAGUAAUUUCUCCUACGCAAAAGAUAUAAAAAGGCAUACAAGUAGAGUUAUAACCUGGUUGUGAGGCUCUGCCCGAGUAACAACUGUAGGCACUGUCUCGUCCCACCAUAAACGAGCAAAUGGCCUUUUUAUCAUUUCGUAAAAAUGGGAAAUAUAAGUAAGGAACAGGGAAGUAAAAUGUAUAAAAAGGAGAACGAAUCAAAAUCAAUGCUUACUUUGAUGAUGAUCCAUUCACAAAACUCAUGGCAUAAUCAGGAACCUGCAAUUGCAGUGGCGUAAGAUAUAAUAGGACUAGGAAUGGAAAGAAACCAAAAAUGCUCCCAGGAACUUUUAAGCCAAAGUUCAUACUGAAAUGGAUACAAAUGAAGUAAAUAGAGAUCCAUGCAAUGAUGAAAAUUGCAAUGGUCGUAUCUCAAGUGUUGGAUGUCAAUUGAUAUUUCAGAAAAAAUAACAAUAGACCACCACAACAGAAACAUGUAAAUUUGUUUAAAUUGAUGAAUGAAACCUUAUUGUUUUUACAUUUAAAAGUACACAAUUGAAACUUGCAUAUUUUGCUCUAUAUUAAUUUUAAACACAUCUGAGAGACACAAGCAUCUUACCAAUGGCUUCCCAGAUUCCAAAUACACUCUCUUAACAUCAGGAUCCCAUUCAACUCUUUUAUCAGGGCGAACACGAACACCAGAUAAAUCUCUAAAGUUUGCUCCCUAUGGAAAACAUAGGGGUUAGUGACUGAAUUUUAAAAACUAAAAAAGUCCAUCAAACACAUUAACAUUCAAGAAAACCUUUCGCUUUGGAAUCUGACAAACACGUUGGUAGUCAUCUGUAUUUAGUUCAAGUGGCCGAUGAUCGUAAAGUGGGUGCGUAGCUGGCUUAGACAUUGUAGAAGUAUCAAACAUUUCUGUAAAUAACAAUCCACCAAAGAUAUUAUAAUGGGCAGGAACAUAUUCAAUCAAAUAAAUGAGAAGAAAAUCCUACAGAAAUAGAAUAACUUGUAUUAAAGACUAUAACCAAGGAAACCAUAACAAAAGGUUAUUCAGAUCCUCAACAUCACUUCAAAACAAGAGAUGAGGCUUCCAACAAGACACUGAAAAUACUAAUCCAUCCAAGGCAGACAGCCAAGCACUCAAAAAAAAUUCUAGAAAGGAUUCUAAUGGUGCCGUUUGCACCUUUUGCUUUCAAGAGAAAGGUCACAUGCUUGGCAAGCCAACCUUUUUGGUGUUUUCUAGUUUACUAGCUAGAUAGAUAGUUCAUAUAAUUAAAUAAUUAAAUCAAUUCUAGAAAGGAUUGUAAUGGUGCAUUUUUUUAGCCUCAUCUUUCAAGUUUCAUUUUAUUUCUUCUAAUUAGUUUUGUAGUGUUCCUUGCUUUUGGUUGGCUUUCUUUCUGUGGGUUGCUUUUACUUCCGGUUAUGAGUGAGCUGAUUUUCCAUUUUUUUAAAAUAACACAAUAGAAAGGUCCAUCCAACAAAUUUGGGUAUGAAGAUUUGGACACUCUACCUAAAAGAAUAGAGUGUAUAUGUUAGUUAUCACUAAGUUGGGCUCAUGUUAGACCUUUCUCGAUUGACCACUCUACCACUGCCAUUAAUAACAUUACUCUCACAAUUAAAAUAUUGUUGAUGUCACUCUCUUCUUGUUUGACCUUGCUUCUACAGGUAUUGCUUUCACAUUUCACUCUCUACCCUCACAGCCUCAGCCUCACUUUCUCCCCAGCCUCCCCUCUCUCACUCACUCUCUUUUCCAACUUGUCACUGCUGCUUGAUAACAAAAAUAAUAUUUUCAAGAAUAUAAUACACAUAUAUAUCCCAAACCAUCUAGGAAACUGACUGGUAGUCUGGUUCAACUUUUAAAUCCAAAACAGUUCUCAAUUUAGAAGAUUCUAAAACAAGAUGGUUGAGUUCAAUCAUUGAUUUCAGCAAAAAGAUCAAACUGAACCAAAUUGUUCAUAACCUUGUCAUAAAUCACAAGUUGCACAAGAGACAUGAACUUUGCAUUCAAUAAAUCUAAGAUACAUAUCAAAAGAUACUUGGGGAAGAAAUAAGUAGCUAACCUUCCCUUGGUGAUCUAAUUAAAUGCUGAAACUCAGUCUUGGGAGGUUCAUGGUAAGGCAUUUCAUCUCGCCGUUCAUCAUUUUCAACCUGCAUAUAGCAAAGCAAACAAAAAAGAAUAUAAGCACAAAAUUUAUAACUGAAAACCAAUCUGAUAAGACAUGUAUAACAUACAGCAGGAAGAUCAGAAAUUGCAUCUUCCAAAAGAAGCUUCUUUUCCAAAUGAACGUCUUUAUGUCCUUCCUCGUAAGCAACAACAUUCAUCUGCAUUAUUAUCAUAUGUUCUCGUUAGAUAAAAUAAGAAACGAACAAUAAUGCCUCAUUAACUAUCCCAUACCUCAAAUUCAGUAGGAAUUACACCCCUCACUACAACAUCGUGAGUUGGAAGAGGAUACUGUGGAAGCUUCUGAAAAAAGGGGAAAUUAAUGUUAUUACAAGUUCCACAAGGUCCCCAAUACAAAAAUCAAAGUUCUUAUGAAUCAACCUCUGUUGGUUGGGCACCCCACAUAAACAUUCGCAUACGAAAUUGUGGAAGACCAUAUGCACCUGCUGCCAUCAUUCCCAUUCGAACUUGAUAAUUCAUUGAUAUUAAACGACCAAGAGCAUAUCGUCCCAAAAAUCCAUUGGCAAACUUUACUAUAUCAACUACAUUCUCCAUCAAAACAUAUUUAGGCCUGAGAUACUCCACUAAGUCCAUAUAGACAACAAGCUGUUUGUUUUUCUCAUCUUCCAGUGGAUUUUCUUUGUUCCUAAAGCGAUUGAAACCACUAAUGCCCUGGCAGGGAGGCCCUCCACAUAUAACAUCAACAUCACCCUAUCAACCCAAAAGUUCUAAUUAGACCAACAUUGAAAAAAGAGGACAAGUAAUGAAAAAUUCAGCAAAAUACUUAACUUACCGGCAAAGGUAAGAUCUUUGAUUUGUAACCACUUGUCACAAAAUCUUUUAACUUUUCCUUGCAGUUGCUGUUCAAUAGAAUGUAACAUAUAACUCAUUCAAAUGCUUGAUCAUACACACAUAGAUCAUAAAAUUAUAACAGGCAAGACAAAUACACUAGAAUAUGUACCUCAACCCGUCAAUUGGCUCCCAUGUGUCUUCAUCAGAGCCAUAACCCUUCCAACGAACCUACAUUUAAAUAAAAAUAACUAAAAUAAUUUAAGGGGUAAUUUUAUUUUUAAAAAUCAAUAAUAAAUAAAUAAAGAGGAAGAAAAUGCGUCAGGAUUAUGUAUUUAACUCAUAUCAGCUACAACUUGACCGUUUGAAACCAUGCCACACAGCUAGAACUCACUCGAUGCUUCUAGAAAAUGCAAGAGCAUGCUAAUGCUAUCUUUCCACCUUCCCUUCCAUCUUUCCAUUUUAUGCUUCUUCUCUUCCAUUCUUCUUCCUUUUCUUCUUUCAACUCUUCCUAUUGUGGGUGAAGAAAAGUGGCAUGUUUCCAUUAAAACGUUCAAAAUCCACAAAUAGUGAACACCCUUGACCCUUGACCCUAUUGAAGAUGUUCGCAUAGAUGCACACAUGCAAUGGUCACACACCUCAUGCCACCCUCACCAAAGUCAAUCAUCUAAAUGCAGCUUGAAAACAUUGAUCAUAGCUUUUUCCAGUCGGAUGCACAAUGUGCAAACCUUGUUGUCCCAUUUUGGUUGUUCCAAAAUUUCCUAGAAAUUAGCAACACCAAAAUUCUCCUCCAUCCAUGUUUCCAAUAGCAUCUUCUUUAAGCCAUAGCAAAAUUUACUCAGCUGAGUGAUACUGCUCUGAAGGAUACAUAUUGAUCAAAUUGUCCAAGCAUUUGUGUAUUGUGAUCUCUGUACAUAUUGAUCUAAAUGAUCCAAGAUCCUCAUCUGUUCUACAUUCCCAAUUGCUCUCAUUAAAAUAAAUAAAAAUCACUCUUAACACAUUACUUUGCUCCAUAUAAAUAUUACUUUAAAAUUUACCUACAUCUCCUCGUAUCUUUAGAAGUUAUCACGAGGUAAAAUAAUAUAGCUAAGAACAUCACUAUUCUGGAACUCUAUUAGGAUCAGAAAUAGAAAGGAAGAAAGUGAUCAAAUAGACAAAUAUUAGUUCAAAAUCAUAUCUACAUCAAACUGAUUUGGCAAAUUGAUAAUUAUGAUUCAAGUUCAAAUACCUUAAGAAACAAUCCUCGCUUUUUAGUUUCAUUGGGAUCACCAUAACAUAUUGCAAGUAUUUUUUCUACUUCAAACACCUCUUCAUCCUCUUCAGUUUUUUCAUCCUCAUUUUCCUCUUCAUCUUCAUCAGCAAAAAGAUCGAUGUACUUUUGUUGAGGCUCUUUACUCUUUACCAAAGAACAAUAUUUGCAAAGCACUUCCCACUCUUUAACCAACGAUAAAAAAUCUUCUGCCAUUUCAUUUCUCACCUGCAAUAAAGAAGCUUAGAAAGUACAAGCCCAUAUUAUGGCAGAACAUCAAGUUGAACUCAAUUAUAAAGUGUACCUGAGUCUCUGGAUGAUUGAACCUCAGACUUUCACAAGCGUAUUGAUUUAAAUCAACGGCCCAUUUCUAUUAAACAAACAAAAAAAGACAUUUAUAAAUAAAUGUAACCAACCAUAGGUUCCAAAAAAAGGCAAAAUAAAAAAAAAUAACUGAUGAAAUAACUUUUUGCUCAGUGGAAGUAUUUAUAGCAACAUACUGUGACUAGGUUCACCCCAGACAAAUUGCCCCCUAAACAUAAUCCAGUUGACAUGGCACCACAUCCUGAAUACAAAUCGAGAAGUGCAACGUCAGGCUUACAGCACUGCUGUGCUUGAGUAACAUCCCCAAUUUGUGAGUUCACUUCACAUGCUUCAUUGGUAUCAACAUCAGAGGAAAUUGUUGAUGAUGUCUCACUGCCAACCUUUUUCUCACCUACAAGUUAAUAUGCAUGUGAGAACCACAAAUUCUUGAAACUUGAGUUACAAUUGAAGAAAGUGUUCUCAGAAAUUAAUUCUUUUACAAAAUUACUUGUUGGCAGUUUAACGAAUGAGGAAUAUGGUAGCAAGUAUAACAUGUCACAGUAGAAGUCACAAGAAGGAAGACAAUUUUUCUUCUCAUCCAUCUAGAAAAAAACAAACAGACAAACAAAUUAGUAUCACUCUAGUACGAAAAACCUGAAACAUUGACUAGACGUAAAUAACAAAAUCAUACAGUUAGAGGUAUUCUAGCAAUAUUUAGCUUCUUAACAAGACAAUCCAAUGGAUUAUCGUCCCGAACUUCUGAAAAAAAUACACGCUUGUCAUUGAUGAGAUGAGCGUGGUCUUUCACAACCUAACAUGUAAUAAACGAAAAUAUAGCGUCAGCUAAUUAUCUAAACACAUUUAUGACUAAAACAUAAUAAAAUUGCAUAAAGAUUAUCUUACAGUAUCUUUAGCUCUAUAAUACCAUUGUGCAGUGAAGUAGAGUUGCCCGUCAACAGCCUCAAACAUUUCAAUAAUUUUACAUAUAUAAUCAUCCUCCUCACCUUCAGCCUAAACAAAACGCUCCAUGUACAAUUAUAAUAAGAAUCUAUGCAAAGAAUUUAAAAAGGAAUAUACUACCUUACAGAAAUUUUAAAACUUCCUCUAAACGUGACUGUAAACCACACCUUCACAUGGGCAUCAUCAAGGAGAUUGUAUGUGAUAUUGUCAACUUUGGCCUGUGAGUAAUGAUGCAGAGCCUGGAUUACCUCCUCAGAGUCAUCCCUAUAAGAUAUCAGAAACAGAAAGGCACCGAGAAGGGAUAAAAAAAACUGUUAAUCUUAAGAACACAUUCAAUUUAAGAAAGAAACCGUUCACUCCAAGAAAAAUCUACACUGUCAUCCGCACAACAUUUCUUUCCUAGAGUAUUAUGCUUUCCUUGAACAAUAAUGAGAAGUCAUUUUUUGGUAAAAGAAACAUUUCAUUGAACUAAAAACUAUAUAAUUAAAGGUCAUAACUCAAAAGACUUGUAAACAAGUAACAUCAAUCUAUGAUGAAAAAAAGGUUAUCUCGUCCCUUCUUUGAGAUAACAGAGGAACUCUACGACACACCACUUUCCCCCCACUGCCGUAUCAGAUAUUUGACUUAAAGUAAAUAAUAGCAUUAUUAGAGAUGUGCCGAGCUCUUAGAAGGAAUUUAGACCUUAGCUAGGUUUAUUGCCUUUCUUAGGUCAUUCACCAGAAGAAAAUAAUAAAAAUAAAAAAUCAAAGAGUUGUAGUUAUCCUCUCUCUGGUUCUUUUGAGUUGCUGAGCUGCAGACCUUUUCAUUCUUAUGAAUUGUCUUUAAGUCUUGAAAUCUUUUUCUUUGUAUUGUCAUUGUGUAUUUUUUUUUUUUUCAUUUCUUUUAACCAGGCUAAUUUUAAUUUUUGAAAAAAAAAUAAUAAGAACAAAACUGCACAUCUGUACGUAUUCGACAUGCAUAGAGCUUAUCAGCAAGAGUUGGGAUGGUUCAUAAAAUAAAGACAGUACCUUGAUUUUUUUUCCUCAACCACGUUCUUCUUCUGAACAAACAAAUAAAGAAGAAAAUGAGUAAUGUUGAGUAGUGUUGAGAUAAGAAGAAAAUGAGUAGAUAUGAGUAAAUCUAUAACCAAUUCUGAAUACGUUGUCCAUAAACAAGCAUAGUUAAUAACAAUAUAGGUCACAAAAAUCAACUAAUGAUCAAUGUGCCAGAGAGCCUAAACAGCAAGAGCAACUACAUGGACAACUUGGAGAUCAAUGGCACAAUGAGAACUUAAGUAACACUGUAUCAGCAUGCACAUGAAGUGUCCUCUAAUAUUACUAAAAUUGAACCAAAAAUAACAUUAAGAUAAUGUCAACCAAAUGUAAUAGGAUCAAGUUGUCCCAUGAGUAAGUGGGAAAGUGGCCUUGCUACCACAAUUCACUGAGAUUCAAUACUUCUUUGCUCCAAUUAGUUACUUUAACAAAAAAAAUCAAGUUGUCUCAUGAGAAUGGUAGCACACAAGCUAGCCCAUACACUCAUGAAAAUUUUUAUUUUAGAAGAAGCUCCUAAUUUUUUUAUUAUUAGAAAAAUUAAUUAAGUUUACAUUUUAAAUUAAAUAAUUAUUAAAAAAAAAAAAAAGUAAGAAAACCCUCCAAAUAGGGUUUAACCUUCUUUCAUUUGAAGCUUUACUCUCCUCUUAUAUCUGAGUUUCAUCCAAUCGAUAAAAUUGUUUGAAAUAACAAAAAUUCAGUGCAUCAUGAGAAUUCCGACAGCAAAGAGUCUACAAAACCAUGGAAGCAUAGUACAAAUUCACACUACAAAGACUUCAAAAUUAAACACAAAACUGUUCAUAAAUCAUAGAACCCAAAACUUUUAGCAAAACACCCACUUGAAGCUCCAACCUAAUCGUAAAUACAAUAUCCCCAUACACAAAUAGCCACCUCACUCCAACCCCGCUCAAGAACCAAGAAUGACGAAACGAAUCCACUUUCCUCUCACGUAAAACCAGCACAAACCCCCCAAAUUCUUGCAGCUAAAUCCCUCCAAUAAACCCAACAAGCAACAGAAUCUUGAAAAAACCCAUCAACAUGCAACAACACAAAACCCCCAAUACUCAACUCAAACCCAUCCACAAAUAAAAUCACCAAAACCCCACAAAACAAAUUUCAAUUCUCUUUGAAAAUUCCAAUCACCUUUCUCGCAUAGCGAAGAGGCCACCGCACUCUGGCGUCACUAUCAGGGAAAUGUGGCUGUAAAAACCUAGCAGGAGCAUCGUCCUCCUCAACACUCAACUCCGCCUUCACUUUCCUAGUCUUAGCCGCACUCGGUUUAGGAGAAGAACGGGAAAUGGGAGUUAAAUCAGCAUUAAGCUCGGUUUUAAGCUUCUUCUUGGAGGAAGAAGAAGCUUCAGGAUCGGGCUUAGGAGAAAUGAGAGAGAGGGAUUUGGAGCGGCGCCUGGAAGACAUAGUGAGAGAGAGAGAGAGAGGAAAGGAACGGCCGGAAGAGAGAAAGAGCGGAAAAAAUGGAGGAGAGGUAAAGAAAGAAAGGGAGAAAAUGCAUUUUAUAGUGUCGGAGAAAAUCGAAAAUGGAAAAUAAAAUUGGGGGUAAGAUUUCGAAGUUGGGCGGGAACUCAAAUCUUUUUUCUUUUUCUUUUUCUUUGUUUUAUUUAUCUAAUUAUUAUAUUAUUGUUUUUUAAAUUUUAUUAUUUAAUUAUUAUUCUGUACGGUCUGUAUGGGUUGUGAGCCGGGUUUGGGGAUUCGGGAUUCAAAUUUAUUAUUUAGUUCCAACCUAAAAAUUCAACCAACAUAAUCCAAUUUUAAAUGGUUACUUAAUUUUAUAUUUUUAAAAAGGUUUCCAAAACAAAGUUUUUUAUUGUCUUUUUUUCAAAUGUCUCAUCCUUCCCAAAAGAAAUAAAACAUAUACAUUAAUGGAUAAUUACGAGUCGCACAAGAGUCAUUAAAAAAUAUAUUUUCUCUCAACCCAAAUCCUUGUCCAUCCUACGUACCACCAUGGAAGAUCUACUAGUUGUUGUCUCCAUUUGUGUUGUCAUCGACGACCCUUCCAUGCUGUUGUCAACAACGUGUUUGCCUAACUCAACCACCGCAUGAAUUUCUUCCUCAUAUCUUGCAAUUGUGUGAGUUUAUUUCAUAUAUCUCACCAUCGUAGUUUCUUCUUUACAUCUCGUCAAUAUGAUUUGGUUAAAUUUAAUGGAUAUGAAUCUGGGAAAUGACAUGAUGACAAGUACUUAACGAGAAGGUAUUCACAGGGGAAGAUGGUUGUGAAUACACACAAACACACGGAUGGACAAAUAGGCAUAUUGAAUUUAUUUCAAAUAAUCCAUAUAUACCUGACCAAUCUAACUUAAGGUUGAAAAUAAAUGGACGACAAAUCUGAAUAUAUUAUCAAAUAUAUGAUUUUCAAUUACAAGCAACAUAGUCUAUACCAUUGUUGUUUUAAUGUAUAUUAUUUUUUUAAAAAAAUUAUAGUUAGUAUGUGAUAUUCUAUUGUAUAUUAUAAACUCAUACAAUUUACCCUACAUUAUACAUCAAUUAUACAAUAGAAUAUGUAUAUUGAAGGAGAAAAAAGAUUAUUGACCCAUUUUAAUUCCACAAAUUUUGUUUGCUUUCUUUGAAUAAGUUUAUCUAAUUUGUGGCAUAUAAUAUGAGGUAUAUAUUUGCAAAAUAACUAAAUAUACACAAGUAUAUAUGAAAAGUUACAUAUAAUAUAUAACUCAAAUAUAAACAAGACCGUAUAUUCUAUUAUUCUAAAAUAUACUUAAAAAUAACCAUGAAAUUAACUAGACUAUAGUAUAUAUGAGAUAAUAAUGAAAAAUAAAAAGAAACUAAAACAAACAAUAUCAACGUAGAUAAGCUAAAAUAAGUCAACAAUGACAUACAUAUCAAAUAUUGUGAGAAUAUGUUAAAUAUAUACUACGAUUUAGGAUGAAUAUUGAGCCAAUUUUUUAGUUGUAUACUGUGGUAUAUCUUAAACACAUAACACAAUAUUUUCAAACACCGAGACAAAAAAUUGUUAUGUAUUUUGGCUUCAAACAAAAUCUACAUAUUUAAUUUUUGUUUUAUAAAAACAUUAAAUACGUACUCUUCCUCUAAUUAAUCGAACAGUAACAUUCAACAAAUUACACUUUAUCUAUCCAACUAAAUAUCAAUAGACAAAUGCACUUUAUCUUUUCCAUGGAACAAAUCAAUAAAAUCUCAACAAAUAAAUGUAUUUUUUCUCUCCAUUGGUAAAAGUGAUUAGUAAACCAUAGGGAAUAAAAAUUCCCAACGCCAAUUUCUCUAUCCAUUCGAGAUUAUUUUUGUCCAAAAUUAACACUAGAGGCUAUUUAAAAAAAAUCAAAUAUAAUGGUAUUUAUGAAAUAUAUGUGUCAAAUAUCAUUUCUUAUGGAAAGAUUUCAUACAAAAUUGAUGUCUUUCAAUAGAAAAACCUAUGAAGUUCACAACUCCUACAAUCUUACUUAUAUAUCUUCCAAUCCCUCGGACCAAACACAUGUACAUAUAAAGGGAGGUGGUAAGUCUCAUCAGUUUUUAUAUUUUCAAGAGCUUAGCAUACUAUUGAAGAGCUUAUGUAUACUAUUGAAAGGAGAUAGGCUCUAAAUAAAUAUAACUCAAUCAUUAUUGUUGACAAUACUAUACUUCCAACCUCAAGUUAGAGGUUUGAUUCAUGUUGAAAAGGAAGAAAAAAAUUCAUGGGGUGUAAAAUCUAUGCACGAGUUUGGAUAAUUUGGAAUGUGUUCCAAACAAUUAAUUUGAUUAUUAGUUAGUUAUUUGGGAGUUUAUUACUAUUAUAAUAAUAGUAAUAAUAAUUUUUAUUAUUUUACUAAUCCAAACAAAGCAACGAACAUAUACUCUAUUGGCUCCAAUAAUUAUUUUAAUUGUAUAUAACUUUGUACAUAUGGGAGAUAAAAGGGAAAGUGUUAUUUUAAUAUUUGAGAAAAUAAAAACGUGAUUAUAGUACAAACCUCUAAUACACCAAUAUAUCAAAUUAUUAAGUUCAAAAUAAAAAUUAAACUUUUCAAUAUCUAGAAACAUAAAGGAACACUGCCACUGCAAAAUUUCGUUUAGGUUGAAAAACACAUUUCAAUCCUAAAGUUUCGUACUGGUUUAGUUUAUCUACUCUUAUAACAAUUUAGUCGAUAUUGCAAAAAGAUUUAUACAAUUUAAAAACAAAAAUUUAAUCCAUCCAAAUCAACAAAGAUCAAACAUUUUUAUAAACUAUAAAUAAUAAGCUACUACCUAACAAAAAUUGACCCAUAAUUUUUUACGAAUUUUUUCUCAACAAAAUCUAGAUUGUUACACAUUGAAUUUUACUGACUAAGUUAUUACAAAACUGAAAGCACAAAACUAAAUUGUUAGCAACAAUAGUUUAAGGACUAAGGGCAUUUGGGACAAAUACUAUCUUCCAUUAUAAUAACAAUUCUUUUUACCAACUAAAUCUAGUAAAUAUUUUUUUAAAAAAUCAAUCUUCUAUGCUGUUUUUACAUUUAUUGUUUUUUAUUUUUUGUUACAUGUUCACUAUUUUCUUUUCAAACUUAAAAUAUUUUAGGCCUCAAACACAUAUUUUUAUAACUCAAACUAAAAUAGUCUACCUCAAAUAUAAAAUAUUAUAACUCAAGACUACAAUAAUUUACUUCUUGCUCCAAUUGUUACUUUCACGAAAGUUAACCGACCAAAUGGGUUUUUUAACCUACCAUUUAUUUAAAACAUAAAUUAAACGAGAGAGUAAAAGAAAGAGAGAGAAAGAGGGAAUUCCAAGCACAGGUCAAAAGGAAUAGUCCAAAAAUAAAGUUUGAAAGUAGAAAUAGAGAUAAUUUUGAUGCGAUUGAAAAAUAUACAUGCAGAAGGAGAUGAGAAAAAGAAAAAACAUUUUAGGGCUGAGUGUUUGGUAACCUGCUGAGGAUGGAGUGCUCAGGUUUAUGCUCACAUUCAAAGUCAAGAUGAACAAAUGCCCUUUCAACUUCUGGAAGCUUUUCAAUCUUUAUUUGCAAUGUCUCUCCAAUGGCGUGUGCUUCUUUCAAAGGCAGCUCCUCGGGAAGUUCAAUGUCCACCUGAAUUACAUUAUUGCUUCUCAGUAUGUAUAAACCCCACAUUUAUAUAUACGUUUCAGAUUCUUUAUAUUUUUUUUCUUUUUUAGUCUCUUUACAAUUUUUCUUUAACUCUAAUAAGAAUAAUAAUAAAGAAUGUCAUGUAAUUGUGGGGUGAAAUUUCAACGUUCUGGUUUUAAGGCUAUUCAUAUCUUAAAAGGACAUCACGAGUUACUGAAGUUAUGAACUUGAACUUAUGAUGCAAGUUGUUAAAAUGAAAAGAGGAUCAAUGAUUAGGUGCAACCUCUAAAAUGCAUCCUAUUUCUUCACGUAAUAGUAAUGAUAAUAAUAAUAAUCCAAUUUGAAAAGAAAAAGCAAUCUGCCAUAAGACAAAUUUGUAUUGGUGUGUAAUAUGAAUGCACAAAGUGAGUGCACCCAGGUUGUGUCCAAGUUUUUUUCACAAAAAGAGAGAACAAUGGAGUUCAAUUAGUCACGAAUGGCAGGAGAUCAAAAGUUAUUAAACGAGGCCCACAACUACAAUUGGCAUGUGGUUGACCUUUUCAUAACCGUUGGAUGUGAAUUCAUGAGAAAUAUGCAUGCCACCACUAAUAGACACUAAAUUCAAAUUUGAAGCCGUUUUAUAGUCUUUUUCUCCUACAUCUAAACAGUGUAUAAAGUUGCCAAACGCUAGUCACAUUGUGGUGUUAAUACGACAUUGGAGAAAUUCUAAUGCUAGAGAGAAAAGUGACUCAUAGAAAAGUUGACAGGGUAUGGAUAACCUCGACGAAAUAAAGGACGCCAAAGGUGUAAGCACGAACUGUAUCAACACGCUUGACUUCAGGAUGCCUAAUGACAAGAUAAGUCAACAUUUGCAGGACUUCGGGAGGGGCUGAUUUCCCCACGAGUGAAACUACAACAAGAAUCAAUUAACCUUGUGUUAAUUGUAAAAUUUGAAAGAAUUCAAGUAACAUGAGAUGAGAGAGUGACACACAAUUCAAAAGGCAGAGAUGAAACUAAAAAUGCUACAAACAUACAAUUACUUCCGGCAUAUGACAAAAGUAUAGCUAUUUCAAAUCUUUUUUAAAUCAUAUCACAUUUGAAGAUUAUUGAUUGCACCAACAUUUUCAUCUCGAACUGUGGUUGCUAAACCUACAUUUGUACAACUCCUUCCGGAACUAGUCGUUUUAGUAUUUAGUCAAAUGAACAAACACAUGAGAUUUCCCAAAAAGAAGACAACUGGCAUAUCCAGCAAUCAUCCUUUCAAUUUCCAUAUUGUUCAUAAAUUUUCGUUUUAAGAGAAGGGGAACAGGAUGGGAGUAAAAAAUAUACCUGCAUUUUCCCACACGGUUCCAGACCAAUUUAAAAUUGUAUAUAUGGCUAAGGCAAUAGCACCAACUGGAUCUAUCCACCAAAAGAUCUUAUCACCAAGAAUAGCUGCAACUAAUCCAACCACAUUUGUUACCACAUCGAAGUAAUGAUCCUGAGAAUCAGCAUUGAAAGGAUUUAUGCCAUGAAUACAGAAGAAUCAUUUCUUUGAAAAUAAUUGCAUAGUAAUAAAUUGUAGGUUUAACAACCUUCGCAUAAGCGCGCACAAUAUCAUUUCUUGAGUUUUUGCAGUAUAACCACAGGGCAAGUUUUACUACUGUGGCAAACGUCAUAAUUGCACACAACCAGACAAAUUGUUCUGACGAUAGACUUUCAGAAGGUUUAUCUUGAAUCAGUUGUUCUACAGCUUGAAGUAAUACCUGAAAGCCUAAACAAGAAAUUGAAGUGGUUUAGCUACUCCACAUUGUUAUAAGAACCCAAAUCAUACUAUCAUACUAUGCUAACAAUGAAAGUAAAAUGAAAAUUCGAUGUACCGAGUUUAUUCAACCACGGAAGAUUCUAUAAUACAAAUAUGAAUAGAUAAUUGCACAACCUUAAUAUUUGCUAGUUACAACUCACAAGAAAUUGGUGUAAUAUCCAUCAGUUGGCAAUGUCAAUCCUUUAAAUUGUUAUAAUUGAGAAAGGGGCCUUCAUUUUUAGCAUUGGUAGAUAGGCAAUCGAAUUAGAAGACGAAUAAGCAAAUCAAUGCAAUUUCACACUGGUUUAUAGAAUAAGAUAUACCUAGCGUAGCCAUUACAGCAGCAAAUACAAUAAUGCCUACUGGCUGGACCCUCAGCUUUCCGAUCGGGUAUUUAUAAAUAUUUACUUGCUUCAUGUACAAGUGAGUAAACCAAAGUAUUCCACCAGCCAUGAGAUCAAGUAAGGAAUCCAAUGUUGAUGCAGCAAUGGCAAUGGAUCCACUCCGCACUGUAGCAUAAAUCUGCAAAUUGUCACUGGAGAGUGAGUGAGUUGAGGAUUUGAAAUAAGGGAGCAGAACAGAGCCUUUCAUAAACCACGAAACAAACUCGACAUUCAUCAGUUUAAUAACCAGCUCUUCCAGAUGGGAUUUAUAUACGCUCAAUGUUAAUUUGGGGCACUCAACAGUCUCAACAUCUAAACCAUACUAAUUUCAACUUCUUGUCCUUGUAACUACAGAGUCUUCAUCAGAAAGUUGUUGUGUUAUCAUAACUAAUGCUGCUUAGAAUAAGCCUAUGGCAAUGUAAGUCUUCAUCUAAGGCAAUAAAGUCAUGGUGACAUAAACGACCUUCAACAAAAGAAGUACUAUAUUCGCAUAAUUUGAGAUCUUCAUGGCCCUCUCUUGCUGAGCUCCUUCCUCCAUGUCUUCCUCAUCAAUGCAAUCAGAUGACACCAACGAAUCCACGUCCUCAAAUGAUUUCAAAGUAGCAAGUUGCCUUUCGUAGUAGUCCUUUUCCUCUAUAACAAACCAAUACGUCAGAAAUGAACAUUCGCAUCACAACCAUUCUAGGUUAAAUCAAAUUUCAUUCUAGUAUACAGAGGAUAUAAAACAGAGUCUCGGCAUGGUCUCACUAUACAACAAUCGGAAAAAGAAAAGAAACAAUUAACGAUAAAACACAACAAUAAUUCACCUCAUCUAUCGUCUCCAAUCUCUCAACAACCAAACAAAAAUUGAACAGAAUGAAAGCGAAAGAGAUUGAGACCGAUAAAAGAGAAAGAAGAACAAAACAAACCUCUGCUGAAGCCAGAGGACUUGGAAAGAUCAAUUUCGUAGGGAGAUUCAACAUCUUGAAGAUGAGACCUCAGUUUGUCAGGUAAUCUAGAAAUGAACUCGCUCCGGAGAGAGUUCACGGAGUAUCGCCGACUGAGUCGGCCGCGUUUACCACCACUGCCGUUCAGCGAGGCUCCCAACAACGGAGCUUUCGGACUCAAAUCCGAAUCUCCAUCCAUUAGUAGUUGUUAAGUUGUUCGGGGGAGGUCCAACGCCGGAGAUAGUCGGCUUCCUCUUCUCCGUCAAUUGAGAAACGAAGCCGUAAAACCAAUGCAGCUGAUCUUAUAGAAACGAUCAGAAAGGCAGAGAAAGCGAUACGCCUUUUUAACUCAAAUUGAAAUUUUCUUUUCUUUUCUUUUCCUUUUUCUUGGUGUCAGUUGCCAUUUAAGCACAAAAAAAUAAUUCUAAUAAUAAUUUUAUUAAUAAUAAUAACAAAAAGAAUAUCACUGAAAGAAAUAAAAUAAUAAAGCGAUAAAUUGAUACCUCUUCCCUAAUGCUCAAUCAAACCUUUGACAAUUUUAAAAAAAUAAUUUUCCAGUCAAUCAUUUUUUUCCAAACAAAUAUUAAUGGAUUUAAAAUAUCAUUUCUACAAGGUGAAUUUUCCUAUAUUUGGUAAACAUAUCAAUAAUUUUAUCAUUUACAAUAUUUCACCUAUAUUAAGAAGUUUUUUCUUCCUUUUUUCCUUUACCUCUAUGGUUUUAUUGGUCUAGUUGUCUAAUCUACAUCUUUUGGAUGAAUCUUAAAUUUUAGUUAAUUUUUGUCGAAAUUAAUUCAACAACCAAGGUAACUUUUUAUGAAAAAAAAAAUAUUUAUAACAUAUAAUAAAAUUAUCGGAUUCUAUCCAUAAAUAGACAUAAUUAUAUAAAAUUUAAGUAUUAAUAUAAUUUAAAAUUUUAUUAUACCUCAUAAAUAUUUUAAUUUAUUUUGUUAUUUUAAAAAAUGCUCCAAAACAAUACUGUCAUUUUCAAAUAUAACAAAAUAAAUCAAAAGAUUUACAAAAUACAUCAAGAUUUUAGAUUCUAACAAUGUAGACAUUUCUAUCACUAUCUUAUUAAUGAAACUAAUAGUUAGUGUUAGAAAUUUAUUAGUGAUAGAAUCUAAAAUCUUGGUAUAUUUUGUAAAUAUUUUAAGCAAUCUUGUGAUGAUUUUAAAUUUUAUAGUGAACAUUUUAUAAAAAGCUGACCUUUUUUAUAAAAAAAUAAAAUAGAAAUGAAGAUUAAAUUUAGAAUUUGUUGAAACUAUGUGUAAUAAAAUUAAAGAAAGUUGAAGGUUGGUAAACCAAAAUUAAACGAGUUGCAUCCAAUGGAAAUUUAAACUCAUAAUUAAAUCAUUUUCAAAUAUAUUGACAAAAAUUAUAUUAAUAAUGCAAUUUUUAUUCUUCUUCCUUAAUCGAGUCUUGAUUCUAUUUCUUUUUUAUUUUUUCUUCAUUUUAUAGUUUAAUUUUUAAAUUUAUUUAAAAUGUAAAAAAAGAGCCGUAAGAAAAUAGUUAAAAUGUGAUAUGCCAAUGUUAAAAUGUGUUGAAUUAAUUUUUUUUAAAUAUAUUAAAUUAAAUAAUAAAAAAUAAAGAAUUUGAAUUAAAAAAUGUUGGGUCAUUGUUUUAAAUAAAAAUUAUUUUAACUAAUUUAAUAAUUUUUUAUUUUAAUUAAUUCUUAUUUUUUAAUUUAAUACUAAUUUAUUUUCUUCCAAAAAAUCCACUUUUUUCUCAUUUUAACUAAAUAAUUUUUUCCUAUUUCGGCGACUUCUCUCACAUCGAAUAACCCAUUUUGUCGGUGUUGACUUUACUGCUUGAUAUGAUGUAUGACUUUUAAUAGCAAAAUAUUUUCUUAUACAACUUCGUGUUGUCAAUCACCACAUAGACUAUAAUUGGAUCGUGUUCCUAAACGUUAUCUACUAAUUUAACUUACUAAAUGUAUUUAAGAAAAAUUCAUACUCACAACAAUCGAAGCUCAUGUAUUCAAAUUCAUCAUUAGUCUUUGUUUUAAAGUCUCUAUAUUUCUUGUUAGCCACCAUUUUUGUAUCAUCGUACACUCGUUAUGCAUUUAAGUUUAUGCAAAAUUAGAUCAUACAUUAUAUUUAUGUUUCCACAUGGAGGUUGGUCAUGAUCAACCUCAUCGAUAUUAUAUGAUCAUUUGUAAACAACAUAAAUGACACACACAUAUUUGUUGUUUUGAAUUUUGUAUUGAAAGUCUGCACAUCUUCUUCAUAUUAGUACUUCUCUUUCGUCAUAUUCCCAUUUCUUCAUCUCAUAUUACAUAAUUUUUUCAUCAUCUCCUAUUCCAUCAUUUUUUUCAUUAUUUGUCAUUUGUCAUAUUCGGUUUCAUCUCCUUGUUCUUUUUUCGUUAUCAAGUAUUGUGUCUUUAACUUAUUUUUUUUACUAUAAAUCCAUUUAAAUUUGGUACACUCACGUUACAUCAAUAGUGUAAGGAAGUUGAAUAUUAAAGAACUAAGAAAUUAUUAGAUAACUCGUAUGGAACCAUUAUACGAGAUUUUAGUAGGAUUUAUUUUGAUUCUAACAAAAUUAAUAUAUGAUUUUGAAUUUUUUUUAAAAAGAGCAAAUUUUACAAAAUAUUACAAGUUACAGCAAAAUUUUUAAAUUUUAUCACUAAUAGCAAUUUUAUCACUCGUUAUCAUUGAAAGCCAAAAUUUUGCUAUAGUUUGUAUAUAUUUUAAUUUAUUUUGCUAUUUUAAAAAAAUGUCCCUGUAAAUUUUGUAAUAAAUUUUCUAAUAUUUAAUAAGUUAGGAUCAAAUUUGAUAUUAUCUUUGACUUUUUUACUUUAUUUAUAUUAAUAUUAAUAAUAAUUUUAAAAUAAUUUAGUUUAAAAAUAAUUAUUUGAAAACAUAUACAGAACAAUUAAGUUCAUCUAAACGAUAUAAAAGAAAAUAAUGAUAGGAAAGGAAAUAAAAGUUUUUUUUUUUUAAAAAAGAAGAAAGUUAGGUCAAGCAUUCAAUGCUCGAUCUAUGCAUAUUUUUUUUUCUUAAAUUAAGGAGGGUGAGUUUUGAUAACUCGUCCAUGCAAAUUAAAAAAAAAGAAAGAAAAGAAAAAAAAGCAGUAUUUUGAUAAAUUGUUCUAGAAUAGCAUUAUUUUGAUAAUAAAUUUUAAAAACAACAAUAUUUUAACAAAAUAUUCGAUUUAUAUUCUCUUACACCCUAAUUUAGUCAACAUUAGAUUUAUAAUUUUAUCAAUUAAAUUUUAAACUUUCGUAAAAGAAUCUAUUCAAACUUUAAAUUAAAAAUUUCUUUUAAAAAACAGUUCAACUAUGAACUCAAACAAUCAAUUUUAUUAAUCCAACGUUGAGAAGAACUUAGAUUUUAUAUAUAGACAGACAUACAUCCAUUUGUUAUUGUUACUUAAUUUAGGCUUUUAACUCUAUAUAGCAUUUUAGUAUAAUUCUUGAAAAGGAAACAAAUUCGAACAGAAAUCUAUAUUUGUAAUUCAUUCACUGUACUCUAACUAUUUGUACUAACAAUCAUCUAUGGAUAUACAUUAAAUUACACCAUCUACUUUUUACAGGGAUAUUAUUAUAAAUAAUAAAAAGGUAGAAAAUAUUUAUUAAAUAUUUAUAUUUACCAUUUUUUUACAUUUUAGAAUACUCCUGCAUUAAUUAUAUUUUAGAAAUUUGAAUUUACAACUUUUAAAUUAACAUAUAUAUUUUUUUUCCAUUGUAAAUUAAUCUUAUUUGGAUUGAUGACGUAACAUAUAUAUUAAAUUAGGUAAGUCUGUGUAAAAUUGGUGUAUGGUUCAAAUAGUUGAUCAAAAUAAAUCCAACCAAUUUAUGUUUGACUUCUCCUCUAAUUAUAUUAUUCAUUAAUAUUCAUCUAACUCUUUGAUUAGACAGAAAAAUAUCUAUUUUCUUUUUGUCUCGAUUUCACGUUAAUUUUAAUUUAUAAUAAUCAUAAAAUGUUACAACUUUGUCCUUUAAACUUUCAAUUUGGUUAUAGAUUUGAAGAUUUCAUCUUACGCUAAUUGCAAUUUAAUGUAAUUAUAUUUAUUUUAAUUGUUUUUUAAAAUUAUUUAAUACAUGUUGCCGGUAAAGAUAAAAGGUGAGUGUUUAGUGAAAAGAGAGAUAGAGACUCUAUUAAUGGAGAUGACUUUAAACUAAAACCAUAAACUCGUUUAAGCUAAAACUCAAUAAAAAUCACGUGAGUCAUAAUCGAAGUAAGUGAAACAAGAUAAGUUGCGAUAUGAUUAAAUGAGAUGGUGUAAUUAAAUGAAUCACCUUCACCACGGUAGCUAUGGUCCAACGAUGUGAAACAAUUGUGGCUCAUUGACACUAACCAAACAAAAAAUGAAAAGUGGUCAAUGGAUAGGUUAUAGCCAAAUGUGCAACAUUAAAACCUAUUAGGUGGGUGCAACCUAAAUAGAGACAAAUGAGUUAGACAAUAGGGUGACCAAAUAAUACAUUAAACCACUUAGUUCACAUUGGGCUCACCUUCCAACAUUUAAUUUGAAAUAAAUCAAAUAUAGCACGUGGUUCAAGAAGAUUACAUUAGACAUUAUCCAACAAAUUUUGAUGUAAUGUGACUAACACGUACUAGAUAAUAUGCCACCUACCGCUGUAGUGAUCAAUUUGUCCUAUUUGUUAUCACUAUCAUCAACCAGAUUUAAAAUAACGUUAUUGUAUCUAAUACUUAUCGUUGUUAUAAGUAAUUUCUCACCAUACACGCUACCAAUCUUCCUAAUUAAUUAGUAGUCACUAACACUAUACAUCCGUACCAAAAAUAAAUGAAAAAGGAAGCAAAUAAAUAGAAGGACGAAACUAAAAGUGUAUAAAAAAAACAAUUGUACAAAUAAGGGUCAACAAUAAUGGUAGAAAUGGUCUUCCUAAUUUGGCGCCCAAGGCCAGAGCAGGGCUUGCCGUUUGGAUGCACUUGCAUGCCAAUGGCGCGGCGCCAAGCCAGCUGCCAUAUAUACCAUUUGAUUGUGGUGCAUGUCUCCAUUUAUUCAAAUAUCUAGUAUUUGAUACUAUUUUUAGUUCUUAUAGGACUUUAGUUUAUUUUUUGGUCAUUUUAGUUGACACUAUUUGAUUCAUUCAUGGUCAUUUUUAAGAACAAAAUAGUUAUCAUUAAAAGUAUAAGAACCAUCGAUAAAUGUAUUACCUCUACGAAAAAAAAUUAUCACCAACCUCCUUGUCUACUAAUAAUAAUGCUACCGCGUAGUUUCUUUGACUUGUUUAGAAAUAGACUGGUCACUUGGUAAAAUUAAUGAUAUAUAUUGUUAGCCCUCAAAUUUUAUCUUUGUUGAAUGUCCUUGCAAGGUUCUCUUGAGUUUGACUUACGAAUUAAUUGCAUCUCUUUGGUAUAUGAUAUGUUGGAAGUUUACGUAAGAUAUAAUGAAAUGCAAAAUAAACUAAACUAUAUCUCAACCUCCCACUUAACCGGUUAGAGAGUGAAAUGAUUAAUUCGAUCGUAAAAUAACGAGUAAUAAAGCAAAAGAAAAAAAGAAAAAGUCUCAAAACUUGUUAAGGCCAAACUAACAAUGGACAUUGGCACUCAAAUCUUGUUUGCGUUGUGUGUAGUUGUAAUGUUCUCUUAAACUUCUUGACUAAUUGCCUGCUUCUCUACUUGAAUUAUUAAAAUAAACUAGAUUAGCUUACUAGCAAUUUGCAUCAUCUUCAUCGUAAGAAAUAGUUUGAGGUUUAAUUUGGAUUGUUUUCUGCACUUAGUGCUAAAAAGGAUAAAUUAUUUAAGGAGGAUUGAAUUAAUGAUAAAAUGAUCCCAAAGUGAUUUUAUAUUGAUGUGUGUAUGGCUGAUAAGUUGGUGAUAUAAAUACUAUGUAUGGUUGAAUGUAUGAGAAAGAGAGAGCAUUAAAAACUAUAUUUUCAAUAAUAUAUAAAAUUAUGAGAAUCGUAUGGGCUAAAAACAAAUAAUAUAUGUUCUAAGACGACAAAAAUUAAAUUGAGUAAAAAAAGCAAAAUACUAAAAUUUAUUCAAUUUUAGCCUAUAUAAUUUGAAUGGUCUAAUUUAGUAUAGUAAUUUGAAUAUAUCUUAAAUUUAGUUUCAAAUUUUAUUUUAUUAUAAUAUAUAUUUUUUGGCAAGAAAAUAAAAUAUGUGUAUAUAUUUCCUUAAUUUACCGUAAAAUGGUAACAAAUUAAUAGUGAAAAGUAAAUUAAAAAUUUGUUGAAAGUACAUCGAUCAAAGUGUGACAAUUAAAUAUAUAUAUAUAUAUAUAUAUGAACUAAAAUUUUACAAACUGAAAUGAUCAAUUUUUAAAUUAGAAGAGAAACUAUCCAAACUGGUUUGUUUUUUCUAAAACCUAAUAUAAAAAAUCAAGAAAUAAUUGAAUAAAAUAUGUUUUUUUAACUAAUGCAUUUAAAAUAUCAAGUCAUUUUCACUUGACAAAUUAGUUAAUUUAAAAUUAUAAACUUUUCAUAGUGGUCCAAAUUCUUUUAAUAUAGAAUUUCCUACAAAGAUUUAUAGAGUUUUUGAUGAUCAUAGAAUAAAAAUAAAUUAAACAUAUGAAAUAUAAUUAUCAAUGAAUGGGUUGGGUAUUGGGAGAAACAUUCCAACCUCUUAAAUACUUUUGGGUUUUAUAAUUAUAUUAUAUCUACAUUUGACUUUUAAUUAUAAUUUAGUAUCCAACUAAAAACAAAAACGAAAAAUGUUAGAGCUCUCCCUUUAACUUUUAGUAAAAUUUGAAAAAAAAAAAAAACAAUCAUAAUGUAUGGAAUAACACGAACAUCGUAUUGAAACGUUUGUUAACUAAACAAUUUAAGUUAAUGAAUAAAAGAUAAAUUUAAUAUAAUUAUCAACAACAAUACUUGAAUACACAUUUAAGGAGAACAUGUAACUAUCUUUACACGUCUCAAUCUAAAAUCACAUAAAAUAUAUAACAAUACCAAAAAUAUUUUGAAAUAAAAGAAAUGAGAAUAGUUUUAUUACGUAGCAAUUGAUGAUUGAAUAAUCAUCCAUGCGUUGUUAGCAAUAUCGCGGUAGAAUUAGUUUGGUUUCAAUGAAAUAAUCAUUUGUUCCUUAUUUGGUAAGGGUGACAAUAGGCUAUCGUUGAGAAUCCUUUUUUUUUUAUUUUACUCUUUAGUUUGUUUCAUGAUACUGUUGUUUUGUCUUUCGUAGCUUAAAAAGUUUCUUGUUUAUUUUUCUUCUUAAGGUAGGGAUUUCGAACUACAACUCUGGUAGUUGGCUAGUACACUCGAACUGAGCUAAUUAAACUUUUGUUGGUAUGAAGUAGUAUCUCUCCAAUAGGAAUUGAUUUUGAACAAAAUUAUUUAUCAUCUCUUUUGCUCAUAUGUUGAAGAAGAAAGAAAAGAAAAAAGAAACAAAAUCAAAGAAUCAACAAAACCAAAGGUCGGUAAGAUAUUUCAUCUCAAAUUUUCGAUUGAACCAAACAAUUUUAAGUUUAUCGAUGAAGAUAAAUUUAAGAUUAUAUCAUCAAACAUUCUUUCUCACUUGUGGAUUUGCAAUAUGUAGAAGACCCGACAAAUGAAAAUCGAUAUUAAUUAGAAAGAAAAUAACAAUUUGAAAACAUAGAUUUCAAAUAUAUGUAACAUUUUUUUAUAUAGAAAAUAGAAAAAAUAUCCAACUUUCAAUCUAGUUUCUUUUCCGUUCCUAUGUUUGAAAUGUAAUUUACUAUCUCAUGAGUGCACAUUUGAGUUGAGAAUUUGUGUUAACUUUGGAGAGCAAUUGACAUAUACGAUUUGACAUCUCGAGGUCUUGUGAAAUUUUGCUUUCAAAGUAGUGAAAUCUUCCACUUCACAAGAACAAUAAUCAACCUUUGAGUUUCAAUUAAUAUAAUAUUUAGAUCAAUUUUAAUACAUUUUGAAAAUAAUCAAAUUCAAUAUUGUUACAAAAACAGCCCAUGUGUGAGAGAGGGUUGCAUCUGAUGCAGUCUCUAUAUGGGGAAGAGAGAAAUGUGUAAGAAAGUUGUUUGAAUUUGUACAAAAUUAUUGCCAAAGCCCAUACUGCCACAAGGUCCCCUAUUUUUAAAAUUUAUAACAAUUAAACCAUCAAUGAAAAUAUGAUAUCUCCAUGGGGUUUUACUUAUUCUUUUGAAAUUUUUGGUACAAUCGUAAACAAAAUAGACUGUUUAGUUUAGUUUUAAAUUUUAAAUUAAAAUCUAAAAUCGCAAUCUUAAAGUUAAAACAAACCGUAUCUAACUGUUUAGUUUCGGUUAAGGGAAAUAGAAUUUUCUUUUUGAAGAGUAUCUUAAAGUAUAUGGGAUGGAUAAAUUUGAACCCAAAACCUUUUUGUUCUCGAAAACCAACAGAUGUUAAUUGAGUUGGGAUCAUGUUGGCUAGAAGAACUUCGACUAGAAUAUGCAAAUACAUAUUUGUGCACUUCUAUUGGAAGUUGGAGCUUGAAUUGCACAUAGCGAAGUAUGUAAAAGAUACAAUGAGUCCCACAUAUCUCUCAUCAAUAACACACCUUUAGUUCUCCAUUACAUAUAUUUACAAUUUCGACAAAAAAUGACAAAAGUAAUAUGAUGAGGCUCGUUUGCCAAAAUCGUGUUGCAUAUGUUUGCGAUUGCGAGUUGGUAAAUGAGACAUAAGUUUAAGGAAAAAACAUUUUUUUUUGUCUCUCUCUAUUGGACAACCAGAAAAUCUUCCUAAACAAGUUUGUUACUAAUACUCAAGAGAACCCCUAUUUAUACUAAUUCCUAAACAAGUUUAGUCACCUCUUUAAACUCUUGUCAGCUGCUAGCUUCUACGUACUCUAAGUGGUGCAUGUGUAGACUUAAGGUUUAGCUUAAUCAUGCUUAACUUAAACUCUACACGUGGUCUAUUAAAUAUCCUUAGAAAAUUUUCUAUAAGUUUUCUUAUUUCUUCUCGUAUAGCUCCUUUGACUUCUUGCCUAACACCAUCUCCCAAAGACCCUUCUUCAUAUGAAAAACACUUAAACUUCACAAGUCUUGUCGCAUAACCUUUCUCGCAAACUAUCUUAAUUAUAAACUCUUACCUCGUAGUUUGCUCAAAACGCCUUCUCAAAAACAUUUAGUCAACAAUUACUUCUUAUCUUAAAUACAUGUCUUACAACACAAAAUACUCCAAACUCAACCGAACUCAAAUUAUAAUCCAGACAAUUAUUAUCAACUUCUAACUCUCUAACCCUCUAACCCACCCUAAAAAGAGGAAUACAAAUACAACUUCUUACUUUUAUUCAAUCAUGAAGACAUUCUUUGGCAUGAAUGUGACAUGUUUGUUGGCUAACAUGGAGACUUCUCUUUGUGUAAAGAAUAAUGAUUUCUUUUGAUAUUUGCAUUGUAUGUACUAUACACACAUGCAUGUAUUAAUCGACAAUUUUUUAGUUUAGUUUUAAAUUUUAAGAUGAAACCUUAUCCAUAUUUAUAUAUAAAAUACUAGUAGCUAGUAUUUAUAUUAUUAGUAUCCACAAGGAUCCAACAAUGGUUAUACAUCAUGUACUUUGUGUAUAUACUUAGUAUUUGCAUUGUUCAUGUUCACAAUGACACAACUAAUAUUUGUUAUGUAUUAGAUUUUCUUAUGCGGUUUGUGGAAACUGCUUCUUGGAAUUGAGUAGAAGAAUUUUAUGAGAGAACAUUUGUAAGAAAAAUUGGGAGAGUAUUAGAGAGAAUGUGUAGGAAGAGUGUUCUAUGAGAGCUCCCACAGACCCCCAUUAUUUAUAGAACUUUAUGUUACUACUAAUCCUCCUUAGCCGUUUGUAUUUUUAAAUCAAUUAUUUAAUUAUCUUCUACAAAUUAAAUAAUCUAUUAUUUUAAAAGUAUAACAACCACAAAAUAUUGGAACAAUUUAGAAAACAGCAUGUACGCUCACAAUAAACAUACCAAAAAUGUCUCAAUGAUUAAUUAUCACCCAUCGUGCAUAGUAGAUUUGGUAAACGAUUUUUUUAAAGAUUAUUUGUACACGAUUAUUUAGAUUUGACUAUUUUUUGUAUUUAUAUUAUUUAGCUUAAACUAAACUAAACUAAACUAUUUAGCUUGAUCAGAAAAAACUGUCGCUGGAGUCCAAAAUUUUUGUAUACGAUCUUGAAUAACCAAAUAACAGUUUGAAUAUUAAUAAAAAAGAAUUGCAGAAGAAGAGAAAAAUAUGAUGAAAAGAAAAAAAAAUUGCGGAAUAAAGAAGAUGAAAAGGAAGAACAAACCUAAAAUAUUUUUAAAAAAUGGAUAACUUUAUACCUAAAAUAUUUUUAACAAAUAGAUGACUUUAUAGAUAUUUUGAUUGGCAGACCCUAAAUAUUUGGAUGUUUAGUUAUAUUUAUGAAAUUUUUUCUAAUUUAAUUAUAUGAAUCUCAUCCAUCCAAAAAUAAUGAUUUAAAUAAAUUAAAUCUCCCAUUAUUUAUUUAAUUAGAUCUUAUUCAAAUUAAAAAAAGUUAUUUAUUUAUAUGGAUCUUAAUCCAAUUCAAAUAAGUAACCUUUUCAAAUGUAAAGGGUAAUCAACUAAAAUAAUUAUAAAAUAUAAAAACUUUCGUAUUCGAUUAAUGAUACGCAUUAAUAGUCUUUUAUUAGUGUUUCUCAAUGUAUUUAAUUAAUAGAUAUUCAUAGACUUUUAUCGGUGUCUAUCAAUAUCUAUUAGGUCAAUGUUUGAUAGAAGAAUUUGAAAGUUUGUUAUAUUUUGUAAUAUUUUUAACCGUUUUUCAUCUUCAAUUACUUUCCUUAAAAUAAAUUAAUUAUUCUCUAUCUUUUUAACCUUAUAAUUUGAAUCUUAUUCAACUAAAUUAAACUAUAUAAUAAAUCAUGUAACUAAUUGUAUAUGAUACAAUUAAUAUGUUCCCUUGUAAACUUGAACAUAAUUUUCUUUUAAUCAUUAAAUGAUCUAUGUUGGUCCGUAAUGAGCUAGCAAUGGACCUUAUAGACCUAUAGAUUACAAACUCCAAUAAUCUAAAAUUACUUAAUUAAAGUCUUUAAUUAAAUUAAUUUUAUUUCAUAAACCAAUAGACCCAUAGUUGAACUCUUAUACAUUGUACAACAAGUAUCCAUGGAUAUACAUAAUCAAUAUACGCAAGUGGAUAAUUCACAAAUUGUUCAUAAUUACAGUUGCGUCAAAUAUUUCAUUUACUCGUAUAAUUAAUUAUAUCUUUUUCUUAAAUCCCUCUCAGGCCAGUGAAAGGAAACUACGUACUCAUCUAGUACUUCCUCUUAUAGAGAAGAAAUGAAUUUAUGUUCCCAAUUCCCUAUUUUAUCAAGUCUCCCAAAGUGGUAUACAAGCAUAUUAAGUCGACAACUCAGCCCACUCUAAUCUUCUAAAUAAGAGUUUCUAAAAAUCACUCAAGAUGAAGAUCAAGUUACACCUAAUUAUCCUAUGAAAUAUUAAUUUUUAUCAAUGAACAUUUUUACAAAGAUGAAUUAGAUAUUUCAUAACUAUGUGUUUUAUACAAACUCUUUGCAUAAGAUACCGCAUUCACAUAUAUUUGCACAUGAAAUUUGAAUCAAACCAUUUGUAACUAUUACAUAAAGUAGGUCGUAUUCAUAGUUUUCAAUAAAUAUCAAUUACAUACUAUUGAAGACUAUCUAUAUUAACAACCUUCAAUUUUCUCAUUAAUGGAUAAAUUAAUAUACAUAGUUAUUAAUUCAAUUAAUCAACUACUAAAUUAUGAGGUUUUACUGCAUAAAUCUCAUCCUUUAUAGUAAUAAAAUAAUGCUUUUGACCAAAAAAAAAAACAGAUUGAUGAAAUUGAUUUUUAGAAGAAGCCAAAAGCACCAAAAUGGGAGAAUUGAUUUUUUUUUUGGAAAGAUAGUUAUUGUUUUUAAUUAUUUUUAAUUUUUCUAUAAGGAAACUAAAACUCCCAUUCGGAUGAAUAAAAAGAUAAAUGUCCAAUGUAUGUUCCAAAAUUUCAUACAAUGUUGAUUUCUGUUCCAUUAAAAUUUAUUUUCAUUUGUAGAGUCUACUUUAUGUUUUGAGCCCACAAAUGAAAGGUGUAUUAGAUUAAAUAUAUAUAGUUAAAUUCACUUUCAUCUAAUAUCUUAAGCAUUUGGAUUUAUUGAUGAUUUAAAAAUGAAAUAAUAUAUAAACCAAUUUGGAAAACUUAACAAAUAUAGUAUUAGGUUAUUUGAAGAUACGAAAUGUUUUGAAAGGUUAUGAUAAGACUUGGGAUAUUUGCAAUCCUUGCCAUGCAUGUGUGCCCUUCAUACAAAAUAUUCCUUCUCGCCCCCAAAUGAAGAAGAAGACAACAGUUUUGCCGCAGAAAGGAGAAAAGUGGGAUCUCACAAAACCCAUGCAUCGGUCAUACGGCCAGCAAUUAAUCGGUUACAUGAACUUGAAAUCGCAAUACCUAGCCAGUGACGUACACACACACAAAACCCUUGCUGCAAUUACUAGAAAAACGUCACACCUUUAAAAAGUGAAUAAAAUGUGUUCUCUUAAUUAAUUGUAUCAACACUUUGUGAAUUUACUCAAUCUUGUAUACUCGAUGCUUGAUACUAGAUUGAUCCUAGAUACUUGAUGCAUGCAUUAUGUUAUAUACUAGAUAUGCGAUAUUCGAUACUCAAUACUAGAUACUAGAUAUUCAUCCGUCUAUGCUCAAUAUUUGAUGCUCUAUGUUUUACUUAUACUAUAUAUGUUUGUCACUUAAUGUUCAAUACUUGAAUAAACACACAAAGAGUAAAAAUGUAGAAAAAAACAGAAGAAGAAGUACAAAAAGACUCAAAAGAGAGAAAAAAAAAGUUAAAAAUAGAAGAAGAAAGGAAAGUUACAAAAGGAAGAAAAGAGAAGAAAAUAAAGCAUUUAAGGUGAAUGUGUUAAUUUUAGAUAGUGAUGAGAUAAGGAGAAAGCUAAAUUUGAUUGAUUUUAGAAAAAGUAGCAAUUUUUUCAUUUGAGAUUUGAGUCUCCUAUACAAAUUUGUCCAUAGUUCGAAGGUUGAGAAGAGACAACACAAAAGGAGACUCAACUAUGAAAUUCCUUGGAUAGGCCAAAUUACAGUCACUUUGCAAUUGAAAUAGGAGAUAGAGAAAUCAUCAAUUUCCAGCAAUCUAUUUCAUCCCAAUUCCUUCAAUUCAAACAAACUAGAUCAGCCCAAGACCCCUACAUAGGCUUUUAAUCUUAUACAAAAUAUGUUGUUUAUAAACAAAUGAUAAUCAAUUCAACACAACAUGGGGAUGUAGCUCAGAUGGUAGAGCGCUCGCUUAGCAUGCGAGAGGUACGGGGAUCGAUACCCCGCAUCUCCAAAUCAUACAUUUCUCUUUUGAAUUUUAUUUCCUCAUUUUUCCUUGAUGCUAACAAACAUCCUUGACUUAAACAAACAUCCACGUGGUUUAAGAAGGGACCUUGUCCUUAUGCACAGAGGCAACAAUCCUUUGUCACAAGGCACAGUAUCCAAUUCCUCCAAUCAUCUAUCAUCCACCGUCCAUCACCUUCAUAAUCCACACAUCAUCUCCUUAACCCAUCAUCUGACGGCUGUGGUUUUCCCAUUAUGCCACAUCCACUACAGGCUCACUUCUCAAUUUUCACCCAUCAAUGAUUUUUUCCAAUCUGUAAAAUAAUGUCUUUUCUGUUCCUUGAAAACGCUUGAAAGCGAAAUCUUUUACAAUCUAAUCCAUUCCUUCUACUAAAAUAGAUCAGCAGAGAUCUAAUCCAAGAAGAAUUUCAAUACCCCAAAAGGAUUUUUUGCUGAAAGAAGCGUAUUUCUGUUCUGGGUUUUGGAAGAUCUUGCCUUAGUUUUGGAAAAUGAGUUCAUCCAAGACAGUGAGGAAACUCCAAGUGGAGUCUCCAGUGCCUGCAGAUAUAGUCAUUGCUAAUUCAGUGGAGCCUUUGCAUAUAGAUGAGAUUGCUAAAGAGCUCAAUCUUACCCCCAACCACUAUGAUCUUUAUGGCAAAUACAAGGCCAAGGUGGUUGUGAUUCAUUACGCUUUUUUUCCCCCCUUUUUUAGAUUUCCUCUUUUUCUUUUUAAGGUCUUGAGUUUUUGAGUAAUUCUGUAUUCUGGGGUUGUUUUGAUUGAAUGAUUUGGAAAAUGGAAAUACAUUUGAUCAAGCUUUGUUGUUAUCUUUUGCUUUCUUUAGGAAUGUAUAAAGUUGAAUUGGAUUGUUUGGUGUUUGGAGGAUUGAUAUGGCUGUUUGGCAAUUUGAGGCUGGAUUAAAUUAUGUGGUUUUUGGUUUUCAGGUUUUGUUGUCUGUUCUUGAUGAGGUUAAGGGAUCUAGGGAUGGAUAUUAUGUUGUGGUUGGGGGAAUUACUCCUACUCCCCUUGGAGAAGGUAAAUCCACUACUACUGUUGGACUCUGUCAAGCUCUUGGUGCUUUUCUUGACAAAAAGGUAGUUUCCUUUUUCUUGAGUCAUCAUAAUUGUAGUCUUUUUUACUGACUAUUUCAUUUUUGGUUUUUGAAAAUUUAAUGCUUGCCAUUUCUCUUGGGAUGGUUUUUACUAUUCUUGAAUUUUUUUUUGGUAUUCUCAGUCAAAUUUUAGAAACAAAAAAGUGUCUUUAAAAACUACUUUGAUUUUGCAUCUCUGAUUGAAAUGAAACAUUGUAGUUUUUAUUUGCAACAAACGAGAUGAAAAAGGGACACUUUGAAAGCAACAGUGCUUUACGUGCUUUAGAGAUUUUUUUUUCCCUUUUUCUGGAUAAGAAACAAUUUCAUUGAAAAGAUAUUUCCAAUUGAAACUUCGGAAAAUUUUUGGUUCAAAUCAAACUCUUGAAGUCAAGAAGAAUGCAUGCUUUCAAAUUCAAUUCAUCUUUGUAUGUAUUUUUUAUCCAUAAUUCAACUUGUGCCUAUUUAAAUAUACGUAAAAUUUUCUGCGUGUGCAAGUGACUUACAAAUAUAUUUGUACUCUCUAUUCCCAGCUGAAAUGCUUACCUUAGUAAUUGAAUGACUCUUUUAUUGUUAGCCUCAACCCACUUCAAGAACAAUUCUUGAGUUUUUGGAGGAUGAGAUGCAUUAUUUUUGUUCAUUUGAAUCCUUUUCUAUUUCCAGUUUUGAUGAGGAAAAAGGGAUCUUAUAUCAUGUUUUGUUAGAACCUGUGAAUCUAUUCUCAUUAUAUUAUGGCUUUUAAAAUCAUGGUUUCCUUUCUUUUAACUUUUUCUAGGUUUUAUUGAUCAGCAAAUUAAAUAAGUGUGCUAGUUGCGAUUAAUCAUGAUUAUACUUGGAUCUAUUUUUACAGCAUGAUCACUUGCCUAGGUUGAUUUCAGGUGGUCACCUGCCUUCGCCAGCCAUCACAAGGACCGACAUUUGGAAUCAAGGGUGGUGCAGCUGGAGGCGGUUACAGUCAAGUGAUUCCAAUGGAUGAAUUUAAUCUUCAUCUAACAGGAGAUAUUCAUGCUAUAACAGCGGCCAACAAUCUCUUAGCUGCUGCUAUUGAUACCCGAAUUUUUCAUGAGGCAUCACAGUCGGAUAAGGCUCUUUUUAAUCGGCUUUGCCCGACAAACAAAGAAGGAAAACGAAGCUUUAACGAUAUCAUGUUCAGACGUCUGAAGAAACUUGAGAUCACCAAGACAAGACCUGAAGAUCUGACACCGGAAGAAAUUAAAAAGUUCGCCAGGCUUGAUAUUGAUCCAGAUUCUAUUACCUGGAGAAGAGUAAUGGAUGUAAACGAUCGGUUCUUAAGGAAAAUUUCUAUCGGUCAGGGUCCCGACGAGAAAGGAAUGGUAAGAGAAACUGGAUUUGAUAUUUCAGUUGCCAGUGAAAUAAUGGCAGUUUUGGCCCUUACAACAUCCCUGGCUGAUAUGAGAGAAAGGCUUGGAAAAAUGGUCAUUGGAAACAGUAAGGCUGGUGACCCUAUAACUGCUGAUGAUCUUGGUCUUGGUGGUGCUUUGACAGUGCUGAUGAAGGAUGCUAUUAACCCAACAUUAAUGCAGACUCUUGAGGGAACUCCUGUUCUCGUCCAUGCUGGUCCUUUUGCAAAUAUCGCCCAUGGUAAUUCCUCUAUAGUGGCUGAUAAGAUUGCCCUGAAGUUGGUUGGACCUGGUGGGUUUGUAGUUACGGAAGCAGGUUUCGGGGCUGAUAUUGGUGCCGAGAAAUUUAUGAACAUAAAAUGUCGCUAUAGCGGUUUAACUCCCCAAUGUGCUGUAAUUGUGGCGACAAUAAGAGCAUUGAAAAUGCAUGGGGGUGGGCCUGAAGUUGUUGCUGGGCGACCUCUUGACCAUGCCUAUUUAAAUGAAAAUGUUGGUCUUGUUGAAGCUGGGUGUGUUAAUUUGGCCAGGCAUAUUGCUAACACAAAGGAUUAUGGUGUGAAUGUUGUUGUUGCUGUCAACAAGUUUGCCACAGAUACUGAAGCAGAGAUGAAUGCAGUUCGAAAUGCUGCUUUGGCUGCUGGCGCAUAUGAUGCUGUUAUUUGUACUCAUCAUGCUCAUGGUGGAAAAGGAGCGGUAAGCUACUUGAUGCUGAUAAAAUUAACUCUUACACAACCAAUCCAGUAAAACAACUCAACUUUUAGUAUCAUAAACAGAAGAACACUAUUAAUGUCAAGAUCAAUGAAAUAUAUGGAAAUAUUCUGGGCGUUUGGCCCACUGGUAGUAGUUAAUAAGUUUGGAGUUUAUAUUUGGCCCACUGGUAGUAGUUAAUAAGUUUGGAGUUUAUAUUUCAUAGCUAUGUUUGUGUUCGGGGAGUAGUGUUGUAAAAUAGAGUUUUUUGAUGAUUGUGAAAAGUAGAUUACAAGAGGAAGAUGAAGUUACUCGAAAAAUGUGGAAAGUAAAGGUAGAAGAGAAGAUGAAGUUCUUCAAUAAAUGUAAAAAAGUAAAAAAAUGAUAGAAAGAUGAUGUUACCCGAUAAUAUGCAAACUAUUGAAGUUGCGUUGUUUACACCAACUUAAAAAGUAAAAGUUGGUGGGCCAAAUGGCACAUAAAAGUAUAUUUUGGUCAAUAUGCUUGCAGAAAAUGGUAUUUUUCGUGUUCAUGCGUAUUAUUAUCUUGUGUACACUUCUAUGCUUUUUAAAGUUACCAAAUCCUAUAGGAAAAGGUAGAAUAAAGAGAGAAUCAAUUUCUAAUAGUAUGAGCUACGAACAUUUUCAUAAUCCAAGCCCCUAAAAUUUUUUCUUUCGCAUCACAUUCCCACAAAUUGAUCAACUUUAAUAAACUAUAAUAAACAUCAAGAUGGUGUCUUUGAUGAUAAAUGAUGAUUUUUUUCUUUGAUUGCGCAUUAAACUUCCACAUGAUCUUCAAUUCUUCAGGUUGACCUUGGCAUCGCAGUUCAAAAAGCAUGUGAGAAUGUAACUCAGCCAUUGAAAUUCUUAUAUCCAUUGGAUAUAAGUAUUAAAGACAAAAUAGAAGGAAUAGCCAAGUCCUAUGGAGCUAGUGGGGUGGAAUAUUCAGAACAGGUGAGCUCUUGUUGCAACUUUCUAUUGUUCGCCGAAAAAUUCAUUUUAUUUGCAUUAGCUUUAUAUAAAAGGAUUGAUUCAAUGAUGUCAUAGAUUCUUGUUUCUUCAAUUUGAAAUAAUCAUCAUAUUUAUAUAAGAAAUCUGGGGUCUAGAAAGGGUUUACCUUCUGACUAAUGUUGAUCCAGAAAGAGGAAAUUUUAACAGUUCUCUCUCUCCGGUGAGUUAGUUUCUGUAAGGAUUUGAAGAAAACCUUCCCUCAUUAGCUUAAACUUUUGGGUUGAUUAGUGAUCCCACAAUCACUGUUUUACUCAUGAACAUAUAACUUUCACUAAAAUCACUAUUUUGAAAACACUCUCAAACGAACAUAGCCUAAACGAUGAAUAGUUAUUAGUUCUAAUUGUAAAGCUCGAGUAUGGUGGUGUCCUGGCCUAACGAAAAUGAAAAAGAAAACUUAAAAGAUCCACAAUAAAUUAUUUAAAUCCCUAGCAUUUCCUACUACUGCAGGUGAGAAUGCAUUUGUUUUAUAUGAAAAGAGUUUUUAUAAAAGUAUUGAUAGGAAACUAAAAAAUGUUUAUUGUUUAAAUCGACAGGCUGAGAAACAGAUUGAGAUGUACAGCAGGCAAGGUUUUUCGAAUCUACCGAUCUGUAUGGCAAAAACGCAAUACUCCUUCUCACACAAUGCUAAAGAAAAGGGAGCCCCAAGUGGAUUCAAGUUACCGAUAAGGGAUGUGAGGGCUAGCAUUGGUGCUGGCUUCAUCUACCCUUUGGUGGGAACCAUGAGUACAAUGCCAGGGCUUCCUACAAGACCUUGCUUUUACGAUAUCGAUCUUGACACCGCUACCGGGAAGGUAAUUGGCCUUUCUUGAAGCUGGAAAAGGAGGUUUCUAAAACAAGCAGCAAUUCUCAAACACUUUGGAACAGCAGCUGUCUCAAAAGUUCCUAUCCGAGUGCAUCCUUUUUCUUCUUAACUAUUAAUGUUCUGAGCUUUCCUAUAAUGCAGCCUUUGCUGAGCUUUGAACAGUAUGAAGUUAUAUUUCUUAAUAAAAUGGAAAAAAUGGUUGUAAAGAUUUAUGUUCUUCUUCUUACUCAUAUUUUGCCUUCCUUUGCUUUGGUAUCUUUGUUUUCAUGCUUCCUUAAAGUGGAAAAGAAGGAAAAUGGAAGAAGAAAAAGGGAGUGAUUACCACUGGUGGGUUCCACUACUUAUUCUCUUCUAAAACUUUCUUAUUUUUGAUUUAGAAUUAUUUUACAAUCAAUUUAGAGAAUCAAAUGAGAAUGUUUUUAAAAAUAUUAUUUUGGGUUAGAUGAUUCUAGGUGUGUUUUAAAUAUAGGAAUAUAGUUUUGAAGCUUUCAAAAACUUCAAAAUUAAUCCAAUAAGUUAAGUUAGGCUGACUAAUAUUUUUUUAAAAUUUUCGAAUGAAAGAUUAAUAAAUAAAUUUUUUUCUUUCAGAAAGUCUAAUAACAUAAUGACAAUAGAUAUUAUCUUUAAGAUAAGAUAAUAGAGAUUAAUUUAACGAUUUGAUUGAAAGCAUGAACACUAAAUCUAAUUCAAUACAACUUUAACUCAAACAGACAAAGUAUAUACUCAAAUAGACAUAAAACUUAUAACAUAAUAUUAUCAAUUAAGAAAGUCUGAUAUUUUAACCUCUACCAUGUUGAAACUAAAAGAAAAAGAGAAAAAAAAAAAAAAAAAGAAAAUCGAAACAUUUUUUUAAAAAAGAGAAAACAGGAACUUAAAGAAGUCAUGAAGUAUAGGAAAAUUAUCACGAAUACCCACAAAUAACAAAUGGUAAUGAGAAGUAAUUGGAAAGUUUUGUGCUUCAUGACAAAUAACGACAAAUACCCACAAAUAACAAAGUUUUGCGUAUAUACAUAUAUGCCUGUCCAUCUAUUACUUUACAUAAUGACAUGCUUUACUAUCUUGUAGUUUGAUGAUACUUUGAUAGUAUCAUGCAUUUACUUUUAUAUUUAUUACUAGUUAUCAAAUAACUUAUAGUUUAAGAAGUGUAUCUUUUAUAUUUGUGAAGUAUUUGAACCACCUUACACGCACUUAAACCAAUCUCACAUAAUAAUCUAUUUGAUCCUACGUUAAAUCAAAAAAACUUAUAAGAAAAGAAGUGUGUUAAAUUUUUGAACAAAUGCUUAUCAUAUGUGUUCCUAAUAUAUAUACAUUAUUGAUCCAAAAAACAAUUUCCUCGUUGAUUCCAAAAACCACACCAACAAUUUUUUGAUUUGAAAUUCAAACUUCCAUUUGAAAUACAAACUUCCAUCAAUGGUAUCUUUUCAUACAAAUUAAACUAACAAAAUUCUUUCAAUAUCACAAAAAAUUAAACUAACAAAGUUCUAUCACAUGGUGUGUGACUUUAGUCUAUACAUUUCAUACUUCGACUAAUUUCACAAGAUAACUUGUUUAUAAUUUAUAAUUAAGUUACCUCGGUCGAAUGAACUCUUUUGUUUUUAACCAUUUAUUGAGUCUCUUUUCACACUAGAGGAGUCUUUGCUAUAAGAAAGUUAUGAGGUUCAUUAAUCAUUAUGUGAUCGACCAUUGGAGCACAUCUAGACAAAUUAGAACUGUUAAAUACCAAGUCCAACAUGAAUAUUGCUACUUCUAUUGACAACAAUUAGAACAGUUAUACUCAAUAAAUUUCAAGAAGACAACACUGAAGCAUAGUUCUGCUGGAUCCUCAAUUGGAUUGCUCAUAUGAAAAAUUCAGUCAAAAUCAACAUUAUAUGAUACAGUACAGUAGUACACAAAUUUUGUUACUAAAAUAUCAAUUCAAUUGAUAAAUACACAGGAAAUUGACAAUCCAAGCCGACUUUGAAAACUGCCCGAGUGAGAAUCGAAUUAAACCAAGAGAAUAAGAACAGCAAUUUAAAGGUGGCCUGUUAAGCAAUCCAAACAUCUGAAACCGGAAAGUACAACAGAUUGGGUGAGAGGCUAUAAGGAAAUUCCUGUUAAUCAUCUAUGCUAACUAAUAAGUCAUGAAGGAUUUUCUAAGGCACCCCUGGGGUCGGGAGAUAAAACCGAUGAAGAUAAAUUGCAUCUAAUUUACAAGAAUACAAACUGGCAGGGUCAUGCCACUCGGUAAAUCAUAGGGCAGUGUUGGGAUUGUUUCCAGCAAGAAUUAGAGAGAUCUCAAGCCCUCGACUGAAAGCCUGGUUGAACAUAAGACGAGUUUGGAAUGUUGAUACAAAUGGAAACCAUGAAAGGAAUGCAAUGGGAAUAAAGACGAGCAUCCCCAUCCCAGCAUCAUAUAGCCGAGCAAUUGAGCGAAUGGAUUUCCAGAGUCCCAGUCUCUUUAUCAAAGGUUUCCAAGCUGCUGCAAUCUGAAAAAGUGAAUAUUCUAUGUCAGGACAGGAUUCUAAAAUUUAACAAAGCUGGGGGAAAAGUCAAUAUCUUUUGAUUCCAUCCAAUUCCUGACCAUCAGAAUGAACAUAGAAGUGUACACACAUAUAUAUAGAGUAAUAAAACAAAAACUAAGAUCAUAUUUACUAAAAUGAUUAGAUACUUUUGUUAAAAGCAUUCCCAAACACACCUAAAAGAUCAUUUUGUUAUUGACAACGGGCAAAACUAAAAUAGUCUUGACAAAGGACGUGACCGGGGUAUGACAUUCACUAUUUUAUUUUUUGGUACCCAGUUAUACUCUCAAAUCAACCAAGAUAAAUGUGGUAGUAAGACAACAGGACAACUAGAUUUGGGAACUCACAGAAAGAAUGCCCCAUCCAGUAGGUAGGAAUGCCAAGAUGCAAGCAAAUACAUCAGGCAGUGACAAAUCUGUAAUAGCAACCGCAACUGCCAGGCCAGCCAGCGUCAAAAAGAAAGAAAGACCUUGGAUAAAUCGCAACAAAAGCUGGAAAUUGACAGUCAUCUUCUGGCUGAAGGUAAACACCUGCCAAACCGAGAGAUGCGGAAGAUCAAAUGACUAUCAUACAUACAAAUUGGUAAACAUGUACUAUUCAUAACUUUGAUAUUGAAUUGCACAUACCUUGAAAAGAACGAUAAGCCCAGCUAACACGAUCCAGGAGAACCCAUAUACCUAAAAAGUUGCCAAUUUUGGAGUUUACAAGUUGAUCAGAAAGAAAAUAUGGAAAGGCUAUAAAAUAAUCUGAAAUGAUUAUCAAGGCUUUUUAAAACAUGAAACUUAUUUAGAAGCUGCCAUUCGUAAAACUAUUUGAUGGCUAAAAAAUAUAAAAAAAUUAAAACAGCUGCUCAUAAAAAACAUAUAAACAAAACUUGGAUAUUUUGAAAAUUUUCUUCCAAUAUUGGUAAAUGUAAGUGAAAAAACAGGGAAAAAAAGUUCAAUAGAGAAACCAUACCGACAAUGAUGUGUUUGAUCCCUGCACAUGGAGCUUAUAAACAAUUCCGUAUUGAAAAAUAAAAAAUCUUAGAUUUAAAAUAGUCUCUGCUAUCCGGCCUUCAAAGGUUUUUAUGUGCGCCUGCAAAAGGAAUUUCUAUUUAGACUAGAAAAGAACGAGUAUAUCUAAUAUAUAGAAGUUUUUCUACAUCUGAUUAUCUAAUUACCUAAAUUUAACAGUCUUUACACAAUACAGAUUUUAACUUUUUCACUGACUGAAAGUAAAAAAAUUAAGAAUAAAGAACUAGGACCCAAAUUGCCGGUUCCAUAACACUGUACACCACAGAUGUAACGAGCACUACAUUAAAAAUUUAUAUACAAGGAAAAACAAAGAAAAAUAAUAAAAACUUGAAUUACCAGUUCCGAGUCCCACCAUGCUUCCCAACUUUCUUCACCCUUAACACCAAUUCCACCACGGUAAAAAAGCCAAUUGGUCCAUUCCCUGAAAUCCUCCACUGUCCUGAAAGGAAAUAUAGAUAAUCAGAAAUGGUUUUAAUUAGGGCUUUAGUGAUGUCCCGUUUCCAUGCUAAAGGGAAUAGAUAAUAAGAAAUGGUUUUAAUUAGGGCUUUAGUGAUGUCCCGUUUCCAUGCUAAAGGGAAUAGAUCUUUAAGGUGCCCAGAUUUUUGUUUUGCUGUAGAUUAUAGUCAAAAUCAACAAAGGAAAAUAUGUUGUGGCAAAGAUGACUUACUUUUGCCACUCAAACCCAGACGGAUUGAACAGAUAGGGAGCAAAAAGCCAAGAUAUUGCCAUGAACCAACUGCUAAGAGUUACAAGUAUGUAUGCUAAUGAACCACCUGAACUAUAUCCGUAGGCCAUGUAUACAACCAACAGAAGCACAACUUCCAAUCUGAAAACACAAUAAUGUAUUUAUUAAAAUUGUAAAAAUAAAAGAUAGCGUCUAUAGUACUGCUCAAAGCUUGAAAAAGGAGUAAUUUACGUAAUCAGCAGAGUGCAAAUAAGACAUAAAAUCUCUCAUGUGAAAUAGGAAAGAAUGGCACAAACCCUUUAACAAAAUGGCUGCGGGAGUACAGUCGGUAAUUUUCAGAGAAUUUGAUAUGGCGAACCACAAAUCCCCUUCCAGUUGCAUGAUACUGUAUAGAAGUAGAGUUUUUAAAAUACUACAAGGUCUCUUGAAAAAUGACAAGUGAGCAGAAAAUAUAGCAGAACAAACCUUCGCACCACCAUGAAGAAUUGUUCGGCCAAAAUAGUGAGUUUUUGUGCCAAGAGAGAAGGUGAAGAAGACAGAACAAAGCUGAAGCUGCAUGGUUAUGAAGCUUACAAUAGCCUGCAACCAGGAUCCAGAGUAAUAAAUGAGACGAAAACAAAAAGAUUGCUGGAGAAAAAUAUAACUAAACAAUGAUCUCAUUGCUAAGACUAUAGCUUUACUGGCAUUAAGCAUAUAUGAUAACCUCGAGGUUAGAGGUUCAAUCCCCCCACACCUCAAUCAUCAAAGAAGAAAAGGAAAAAAAGGACUGUUUGAACUUGCUCUUGCAUAUGACAAGCAUGGAUGCUUCAUUGACCAAACAGCAUUUGUGGUUAAUUUUGAAGCUAAUCUUUCAGAUGUGAGAGAGAGAGAGGGAGAGACCAACAAUGAUAGCAGUUCAUGAUCGUACAGGAGCAGUCAACUGUUUUGCAUACAAAAAAUGAGGUAUAUAUUUGAAUAGUAGCAUUUACCCUGAAGAAACCUUGCUCCAAUAUGAAUCCCAAGAUCAUAGGCACGGCAGUGAAGAUACCAAUUUGGAUGAGAAACUGUGUAUUCAAUGCAGCUGACAAUGCAGUAUUAUCUGUAAUAUUAGCUCUAUCUUCAAUGGUCUCACCAACUCCAGAUAGUGCCUGAAACAAAACCACGCAUCAGUUUACACCACAUUUUUUACUGGGAAAAAGAAGGAAACAUGUUAAUACAUAAAUAUUUAAACUAGUCGCAAAUAGGAGUGCAAGUUGAAGCCCAAAAAACCAGAAAGACCUAGUCCAAUUUGCAAAAAUUGGUCCCAGCAUCAAUUUGGUAAACAAGCAGAGAAAACGAGUACCUCAAAUCAGAAAUAAAUAAAAAAAUAUUAAUUAAAGAGCAUUAACAAGGUACACAUUGAAGCCCACUACUUGACUAACUGCACAGGAGUCUACCUUUAACUGUACCAAUCAAAUAGUUUUAGUGCCUAUGAGAGUUGAAGAAGACUUGGGACUCGUUUGGUUGGAGGUUUUAUGAGGAGGGAAUGAAUUUGGGCAGUUAAAGCCCACGUUUGUUUGAUGAGCUUUGUCCAUUUUCCUGGGAUAUCAUUUUCCCAGGCAUCUUUAUUACUAUCCGCAGUUGGAUUUUCUUUACCUUGCAAAAUGGUGGAAUUCUUACAAUCCUUUCCCUCGUGCAAACUUCUUUUUAUUAUAUUAUUCUUAUUUUAACUUUUUCUCUUACUUGCCAUUUCCUUAUUUUAUAUUUUUUGAUAAUAUAAACUUUACAAAAAUAUAUUUUCUUAUAUUAUUUAAUUAAAAUUAAAAUUAGAAUAUAAUUAAUUCGAUAUUCUAUUAAAUAUAUUAAUUAGUUAGUUUUAAUUAUAAACUAUUCAACUUUCAAAUAUUUACAUUUAAUAUUAUAAUAGAUUCUUAAUUAUAUUUUAUCAAUAUAUUGAAUGAUAUUUAUUCUCUAAUGAAUCAAUUUAUUACAAUUAUAUAAGAUUGUCAAACUUAAUUUCAUUAAUUAAAUACAAAAUAAAUAAAAUUUCAUAAAAUCCUGAAUCCUGAUAACAUUCUCAUGUACAACCCAACACUGUUGGGUUAUCUUUGAUUCCCCCACAUUAUAUAUCCAGACAUCUAAUAUUCGCCGACAUUUAUAAAACCUUGACCAAAUCACCCCUCAAGACUUUAUAUUCUAGAGGCACAGGUUACUUCCAAACUGUUCGUGAAAUUCAUGGAUGAUGGUCAUCAGGACAAUUAUAAAUUUACAUCAUACUACAAAGCAACUAACUUCUACCCAAGAAAACUGAACCUUAUAUAAAACAUAAUUGCACAAGAUAAAACUUACCAAAUAUGCUUUUCCAUAGAGAAAAAUGUACACAGUCAGCACCGUUAACUGCAGAAGAUUAUAAAUAAAGAAAAUAUAUCAGAUGUCUUAAAAUUUAUGAUAACAAAAUUAUGAGGCUGGACUUCAACUACUCGUUAAGAUACAGUCUUGUUCUAUAAACAGUAAAAGGUCCUCAGUAAAAAUUAUUUUGUUCAAUUGUUCUUGUUAAAAUAUUGCAACAAAUUUUACUUUGAUGGGAACAUUGUUUUGUUUCUUUUAUUAAAAAAGGACCCUCAAUAUUUUUCCUAAGAUGAGUAAACAUACAUAGCAGGAUAUGUCAUAAGUUAAUACAAAUUGGAAUCAGUUGGUAUCUAAACUUAAAGUAGGAAAUAGGAAUAAUCAAGAUAUUCUAUAAUACAUCAGGGACGUCCAGAUGUCAUUAGCUAAACAUACUCAAGUUUAAAAUAGCAAGGAAAAGCAAAAACAAGAUUGAAUUCUAAUUUUGGGGAAUGACAAACAGCAAGACUUAGCAAACCACAAUUUCUUUUUCCAGAUAAACAAAUAAAAAAUAUCUCUACUAGCGGGAAAUUCAAACUCUCUCUCCUGUUCAAUAGGUUCUAACGAGCUUAGAAAAUGAGUAAUCAUUGCUUAAUAAUGUACAUGUGACACGUACCAUAGUGCAAAAGUAGUAGCCAACAGUGGUGAAAUAGAAUGACAUCAUCCGGAAAAAAUCAAACAGUUGGCCAAGCCUAUAUACAUCACGGCUAAGAACCUGUUCUCCAUUACCACCAGCAACCUUUCCUUCGAAAAGAGCAAUCUGAUUGAGACCAACAUCUCGCCCUUUACCGACCUGACAUAACUCAGAACAGUUUUAGUAAGUUCACCAUGAACUGAUACUGCAGUAUUAGAAAAUUAAAUGAUGGAAAAUUCCACCUGAAUAUACUCAUGAUGAGUAACGUUCCCUUGCCUUAAUGUUGUGUUAAAUCCUUCAAUACAGAAAAGUACUCAGGUAAAUGGAGAGAUCUUAUGCCUCAUAAAGAGCAAUGAAAAAUUCAUACCAGUAACGAUCAAGAAAUGAAAUAGUGCAUACAAUAGUUCAGUGUUUGUUAUUCUCUUUUAUUAAAGAUGUUACAAGUGGAACACAAAAGGCAAGAAAUAGAUCGUGGUUGUUAAAGACUAUUAUUGGAAUUUCUUUGCAUGACUCUUCAUCUUAUUGAAUCAAUCAAGGUUGGUUUUUUGUUUAGAAAGAAACCAACGGAUCUACAAUAAUCCUCUUUAUUAAGAUAGGUUCGUUGUGGCUCGUCUAAGACACUGACAAGACAAUGUGCCAAUUUCCAAAAAAGUAGGACAACACGUUGAGGACACUUAUCUUUUCCAAAAAUAAAUAUAAGUUGUGCAUACAAGCAAAUAGUGAAAUAUUACUUUUAAACAUCAAAAUAAUAACCAUAAAAUUCAUGAAAAAAAAAGAAGAUUUAACAUCCUAAUUUUAUUGCCACAAAGGUUCCGGUAGUCAUUUUUUGAUUAAUUUCAAUAUGAUUAGAAGAUGGCUCUGCAAUUCUAAUUUUUUAAAAACAUGUAACUACAGUAAUACAAAAGAAAGAAAGAUUUAAUAAAAGGACCAAAAAACGUAAAAGAAGAAAAACGAAGAAAAUUGAAGCAAAACAUAAAAGAAGAGAAAUGGAAAAAAAGAAAGAUAAAACGGAAGUUAAGAAAAGUAAAGAUGGGGAAAACAUAGAGAAACGAGAAGAAAAAAGAAGUGGGAGGAAAAGAAACCAAAGUUGCCAGCAGUGGUAAUUUGACACCAACAUUUGGCCACGUUAGGAGCGUCGGUGAUUUAUAGCACUCUCUUGUUGAGUUCGAAACUUUUGAUCAUUAGUUUCGUUUCUAAUUAAAAAAAAUUUAAACAUUUUGCCACCUCGCAUGGAUUCAACAAAACCAUUAAUCAAGGGGCAUAGUCAAGCAUUUUCCAAAUGUUAGGAACUUGAUUGGUCAAUUUUGACACCGAGGGAGUAAUAUGGCAAAAAAAUUCAAAGCCUUGAGAACAAAAAAAUGUAAUUUAACCAAGAAAUUAUAAGAUAUAACAAACAAAUGCAGUUGUUUGAACCUUCAACAAAUAUAAAAUUGAACAUCGUUAGAAAAAUAAUACAUAACAAUAGAGUUCCAUAAACUGUCUGUCAUUGAGUAACGAAGAAUUUUUUUGCAUUUCUUUUCUGAAGAAAAAAACAAACGGAAGCAACUAGUGACAAUCAAUUACAAUUAUCAGAUAUAAUUACUUGCUCUGACUAGGGAAACAAAUAGUUCAAAAUGACUUUUGGCAAUCAAGUGACAUUCAAUAGUCUCUUCAAUGAUUUUGGAUGAUCAAAAAACAUUUAUGGUCUUUAAGGUUUGGCCUUUUGGAUUUAGCUUCCAUUUGGUCCUAGAUUUCAAAAUGUUACAUCUUUACUCCAGAGGUUUAAGCUUUGUUUCAAUUUAGUCCUUAGGUUUCAAAACUUACACUUUUAACCUAGAUUUUCACUAAAUACUCACUAUCGAACCCUCACUUCCAGCCUUUGGUGUCAAUGUGCAUUAACAAAUUGAAAAUCAUUAUGAAAUGAGAUUUUGAAUAUAAUUCUAAAGUUAGGAAACAAUAGUGAAUUAAUCAAUUAUAAUUCUCUUAAGUUAGUUAAUAGACAUUCAAACUAAAGAUUAAAAGUGGGUAUUCAGCAUAAAAACCAAAAGGUAAAAAUCAUAAUUCUUUACCAAAUUGAAACAAGAGUAAAUUAAACAUUUUUUAACUUGGGGGACAUUUAGGACAAGAACUAUCCCACGACUAUAACAACC
rnacentral:lncRNA from 1 species